rnacentral:lncRNA from 1 species
UGUUAUAUAUAAAAUUAUUUAUUAUUUUAUUUUAUCAUUUAAUAAAUGAAAAUUACAUUUAAUUAAAAUUUAACUAUUAGAAUCUUCAACAUUACAACAACAAAAAAAUUGAUGACCAUUAAUGAGUAUUUGUAAAUACAAACAAGCGAAAAAAGAAUUAUAAAGUUCGUAACUUGUACAAUCAAAACUGUUGAAAUAGUGGACCUCAAAAGAGAUAAAAUUAUAAAAGGGACUUUUGAGUAUAGGAUUUUAUUCCCACAGAGAAAAAGAAUGAACCAAAUUCAAAGAGGGUGCAAAAGUAUAAAAUUAUAAAAAAAAAAUUAGGAUAAAUAAACACCAUUAGAAUGAUUGUUCAGUCUUGGACGGAUUUCUCGCCUAAUUCAUUCAUAUUUAUUUAAACAGCGUCAGAUAAAAUCUAUUCGCCGUGGUGGGGUAUGUACUCUUCAAGUCAUUAGGAAUGCUGAACUGAACCCAGAAUAUUAAUGGGAGGUUUUACACAUAACUCACAACAGAUGAUAAUGAAUUUGUACGAAAGACUAGAAAACCAAUAAUUAUGAAUUUACAAGCAUCACAUUAGCUGGUUGCAACACUAAGUAAUGCCACCCAGAAAGAAAGCAGUUUGGCAACAAUUCUUGAAGCUUGUAUAGUUCUUCUAUUAUAAUUUGGAAGUACAUUAAAGUGAUAAACCUUGAUAGAGAACAUGAAAUUGUUCACUCCACAUGCGAAAGACCACCGCCGCUUUCAGACUUUGUUCUGCACAAGCCAUCAGUUCCGAUAAAUACAAGAAACUAUGUAGUAGCAUAUAAAACAUAACAGGAUUGAACUUCACAAUCAGACUUGAAAUGAUGGACAUUUAAUAAUUGUGCAAAUGCCACACAGAAUGAAAUUAUAAUAUAUAACAAUAGAAUAAAUUUUGAGCAUCAUUUCCUUCUACAAUGGUGAGAUUGAUAAAUAAGUUCAAAAACCCCACUAUCUAUGAAACUAUUCCUACAAGGAUAACCAAAACUUACUUGUGGUCGGAGGGAUUCGGCCUCAGCUCAUAAACAAUUGUUGCCACGACGUCCCUCUUCAACUGUUACUCAAUAGACCAAAAACAAACCAAAUGGGUGUUAGAGGUGCAGGAAGGUAUUAGUUGGAAGCACAAACAUUUCACAGAUUAGAACAAGGAAAAAAAAAAUUAUUAAAACAAAGACAAUAACAAAUUCAUAAAAUUUGAUCUCAGCCAAUAAAUUACCUGGGUGGCUUCCCCUUUUAGGCCAAUGUAGUGUAUCUGAGUUGUGUCACCACCAAAAUUGUCAGGGAAGUGUAAUGUGAUAUUGGCCACACUUUGAAAUUUGGAAUACCUAAAGUAUGCAUUAAUAUGACAUUAAAAACAGUUCGUAACAGAUGAUUUUUUUUUUUGGUGGAAAUACAAUACAACAUCAACCAAACAAUGGUAAGUUGCUAAUAAAUGGGAAGCACCCAAAUUCAGUAGAUUAUGCCUGGUCACAUCAAUUGCUCAUCAUGAAAGUAUGGAUAUGAAGUGUUUGCAAACAAAGCCUCUAUUGCAUGUCAACAAAACUGAGUAGUAAUCAAUAAUUACCUUGUUUGGUAUUCUAACACUCCUUGCAAAUUCUCAACCAAAUCCCAUUCCUUGGAACAAAUGGUACAAAUGUGUCAGAUGAGUUGAAAUGAAGAAUUUGCUAAAAAUGCAAUGAUAAGCCAACAUGAGGCAUACCUGAAUAGCUUGCAUAUCUUGAGCAUCUGAGAAGUCAAUACCCUCUCGAUUGAUGAACCUAUUAAAAAAUGAAAAAAAAAAAAGAAAAAAAAACUCAGGACACCACUUCUUCUUUUAAGAAAUAUAAAAGGUAGAGAAAUAAAAACAAAUUUAAUAUUUGAGUAAUGGCAACAAGGGACUAAGAUUGAGCAUUUUUCGCUCAAUCCGCUAAUCAUCUAAUCCUAACCCAGACUAGACACACACACACACACAAAACCACAAAAAAAAAAAACUAGACUGAGAAUUUUAUGAUAAGCCAAUGAAAAUUCCAUCUAAAAUUUAUAUUUCUAAGAUCAUUUGAUCCCUUCCACUUACUACGAUGAGAAAAAAAAGCUAUUUGAGUUUCUUUCUAAAUUGGAUAGUAUUACAUCUAACAAUUGAUGAAGCAUUAUGACAGCAUACAUAAAAUUCACAAGUUCAAACUCACACUCUCAUCUUCGAAGGACUUGUUCCAUCAGCACCACCAACAAUUGAAAUGCUCUUGAUCUUAACAUCUGUAGUAAAUCUAUCAAAAUCAAGUGGAAGAAGGAUUCUCAAUGAGCCCUUUUAGAACAGAAGAAAUCUUUAGGGAAACAUGUUCUUAAGAAAGAACAAUAUGAAACAAUAAUUUCGAGAGCAUCUUACUAUGAAGAAAAAAUAGAUUGGUUUUAAGAAAAAAUUUAUGCAUAAGAAUUAUAGGUGCAGAAAUGCGGACAUCAAAUUUUGACUUUGUAUACAAAGUUGAGCAAAUAUUAUCUUUUAGACUCAAGAUGGUCUCUGAUUGUUCCUAGUAAGAGACAUUAUCGUUCCACUAAAGGAGAAAAAGUAUGAAUAAAGAUAACAGAAGUCCUUAGUAUUUUAAUCAUAAAUUUCAUUUCAUUCCAUCAAGCUUAUUUAUGAAAUUAGUAAAUUUCAAAAUAUUGCUCAUUUUAACAUCAAUAUAAUACAAAUUAUAAUUAGACAUAUAGAUUGGUGGGAUAUAAAGGGGUUUAGAAAGAACAAAGCCACUUGGGAUAUGAAAAAAUACAAAAUUAAAUACAGCUGGGGACAUGAGUGUAAUGAAAAUUAAUGUCUAUUUCUCUGAACCUUGAGAUCCCAGCUACUGUUUAUUCUUAGAGCAAAAGGUAGCCACUUACGGAAUAUAAACAAGUAACUCUGGAUCACCAUCAUUGCUUUCCAAAUGUUCCUGGGUCCACAAUGAGGAUCACAUAAGCUUUAAGAAGGCAUGUAAUGAAAGACUUGUUUCGAUACAUCAUAAGCAAAAUAUAGCAUGCUAAAUAUUGAUAUUUCCCCCAAAACAUCAUCUUGAUCAACUUGGCUUGCUUGCAGAUUCUAUAGUAACUUUUCUAACAGGGUAAGCGUCUUUUUUCUUUCAGAUGUAAUUUCCAGUUCUAGGUUAGAAACUGGCAAGAUAUUAAUUUGUGUAUUCAUAAAAUUGCAAAGUAGAAUAAUAACGAGGCUGAUAAAUAAGUGAAACAAAUCGCACAAUAAUCAAAAGAAGGCUAUACCUCAGUGGUUUUCCGGUUUGAAAUAGAUAUUAAUCAAAGAGCACUACUCAUAUGAGUAACAAGAAGUAAUGUGUAUCAUGACCAAAUUUAUUUUGCUUUGCAUUCAAAUCUUUUUAUUUGAAGCUUUCUCAUCAUUUCAGAAGAACCUAAUCAAGUGUGCUUAAUCAGGGUAGUUAUCCUAAGCACAGGUUGCAAUAUUAACACUACUUUCACAAGAGAGGCAUACAAGUGAUGCAUACACUUGUUUGCAAGUGAAACCCAAUCUCAGUAGAAUGACACCAAGGGUAAAAGGAAUCAAUUAACAGAAAUCAACUUCCAGUGGUCAGUAAAACAGCUUUUUGCAGCAUAUUUGAGGCACAUCUUCAAAAAUCUUGCAUCCUCAGUAGAACUUCAAAAGAUAACCAGGCAUAAUCAACCACCUUAACAGAAAUGUUUACCUAGCUGUAAUGUGAAAAAGUCACGCCAAUAAAUCGAAAGCAAAUCAAUACUACAUGUAGAAGUCAAUCAAUGUAAUUUUAAUUCAAAAUGGAGACAUAGAACUAGAUUUCAAGUACAAAAGUAUAUGGCUAUGGUGCAAGGAUGAGGACUUUUAGGAGGUCAACCAAACCUUCAAUGAAUGAUUCAAUGAUUGAACAUUUAUAACAUACUUAAAAGUUGGAAAUAGAUUCUGUGCAGCAAGAAAUAUUUUUUCAAUCACAUACAGGCACAUUCACCUGAGAGUACACACCCACAGAUGAGACACGCUUCUUGGAAACAUGCCAAUGUCUAGAUAAAAAAUGAACUACAAAAGAGUAUACAAAUGCAUGAAUUACCCCAGAAGAAUUCAGACGCUGCUCCCAUGCUUUGAAAACUGACUUGACACUCCCUGGAACAGCCUCAUUUAAUGCAGACACCUAGAAAGGCCAUCCAGUACAAAAGAAACGGAAAAAUCAGUGAAAGCAAUUAAAUGAAAUGAACUGAAAAAAGAAAAUAUAAACCAACAACAGCUCAGAAGGAAGUAGCUUCCUGUCGCAAAGCAAACGGGGCAUCCAUUCAAAUGAAGCAGCCCUUCACUCUGGACCUGUAAAGGAACAUAACCCGGCCUAUCUACUGAGUACACCAAAACAUGGUGGGAAAAUUGAUCUUAAAACAGCUCCCUUGCAAUUACCAAGACUUUUUUUUGAAAGCUCACUAAUGUUUUUUCACCUGGGCAAAGGGUAAUGAGAACUAAGGGCAAAGCCAAUUUGACAGCACAGGGGGAGUCUUAAAGUGGAAAAAGUUCUGCACAGCCAAAUUCUAUCGAAUUCAAGCUCUAUCCUGCUUACCCAUAAAGCAAAUCACAACUACAAUUUCCAAAUGAUCCCUUUCUCAUUUUAUCAUGCAACUGGCAUACAAAGAUGCGAGAAUCCAGAUAAUUACACAAAACCACAGCAUGCGCACCUCGUCAUCCAAAAUUUUAACCAAACCUGACUGACCCCCAAAAUACAAACAAAUAACAGGAAAAGUGAACACAAAUGCAGUUUAUCAAGCAACCACGCCUUUUACACAUUUAUUUCUCCGGCUAUUUCAUAUAUAUCGAGUGUGAAAAGAUAGAAAUUAACCUUGGAAAGAUCUAUAUGUUUGUAGAGAGACCAAUCAGAAGAGCAAUCGUGAUCUUCACAGCUAUGAUCGUGCAAACACGCCAUCCCCUUCCGCCUCUAAACCCGGUUACCGCCACAACACACACGACUAUGUGCGAGCUACAGCCUACAACCACGAGUUAAUCUGAUAUGACUAAAAUACCCCGGAACACAAAGGGAACAAAACUCCUCUUCUUUCUAAUAAUAUCAAGGGUAUUUUCGUCGCACUAUAUUUUUUCCACUUUGAAAACUAAAACGGUGCCGUAUUGUUGUAGUCUUUUUGUGCCACGACGUCGUUUCUAGUUUCUGAUGCAGCAAUUCAUGCGGAUUCAAACGCAGCGUGUGCGCUAUCUGUGUCUCCAACGAAGCUGAAUCAUCACUGUGUCUGUAGAAGAGAAAUCGAUGGAGGGAAUAGAGGGAGAAAGCUCAGGAGCAGGGCGAUUCACGUUGCCGCCAAUGCGCAUAAGCAACGAAGACAUAAUAUUUUGUGUAGAUGUGGACGCCGAAUCGCUAGUGGAAAUGAAAUCAACUGGCUUCAAUGGGAAACCAAUCACCAGACUGGAUGCUAUGAAGCAAGCGAUCCUCCUCUUCGUUAACUCCAAGCUCUCUAUCAACCCCGAUCACCGUUUCGCUUUUGUCACUCUCGCCAAAACCGCUUCCUGGGUACUCUCUCUUUUUCCCCUUUUCAUUUUUCAGUUGAAAUUCUGAACGACGUGUCGUACAUCCGUGGGUCCUGCUAUUCUUGUGAUUAAUUGAAAAAAGAAAUAGUCAAAUUUGAGAAUAAAGUAAAGAAUUUUCUUCAAUGCAGUUAAUGUAUUUCCAAAUCAUUGCAACUGAAGCACGUAAUUCUAUUACAAAUUUACGAACAUAUUGCUUGUAACUCAAGUUGGAAUACGUAGUCUGUAUACAAACUUUGUAAGAGUAGCACUACUUGUAUAUUUAUGCGAGCCAUUUUAAUGUGAACAAAAUGUUGCAUGAGUCAUUGUCAAUUCUUUUGCUCUUUUGUUGAAAUUAAGAAUUUGAUGUGUGUUUGAUAUGUUGUAGCUUCGGAAAGAGUUCAGCAGUGACAUAGAGUCUACUUUGACUGCAGUCCGGGGGAUUUCAGCUACUUCUGCCUGUGGUCAGGCAGAUCUCACCCAUCUCUUCAAGUUAGCAUCUCAUGAAGCAAAGAAAUCUCGUGCACAGAACCGGAUUCUCCGUGUGGUAAGAUUUAGUCAGUUCAUCUCACUCUGCUUAACAUGUGCUUAUGCAUUUUCUAGCUGAAUAUACAAAAUGUUUUAUCCGUUUAUCUUGUUGUCUUAUUUAAAUUUGCUAUUAGUUAAAUAGUCAAUCAGUGUGAUUACCACAACUUGCUGCAUCUUCACAAAAAUCAUAUAAUCUCUUUGUUAAAUUUACUGGCACUUCCAGAGUUUUGACAAGUAUUUGAAGCUUUUUUUUUUUUUUUUAAUUUCAUCAAAGCAUUUCCAUCUUGUUUCAACUUCAUUCUGGAUUGAGGUCAUAAUAAGAAGUUAUGAAGUUGUGAACUGCAACGCAACAUGAGAUCUGAUAUUCUGCUCUAUGUAGAUUCUUAUAUACUGCAGAUCAUCUGUAAGACCACAACAUCAAUGGCCUGUGAACCAGAAACUCUUCACUAUGGAUGUAUUGUACCUUCAUGACAAGCCUGGACCUGACAAUUGCCCCCAGAAGGUCUAUGAUGCUCUUGUUGAUGCCCUUGAACACGUCUCUGAGAAUGAGGGCUACAUCUUUGAGAGCGGGCAGGGGUUAGCUCGUAUCCUCUUCCGGCAAAUGUGUGUGCUGUUAUCACAUCCCCAACAACGGUGUGUGCAGGAUGAUGUUGACAUACCCAAGUCUCUUGUAAAGAAGUCACCUGCAGCUGACACAACAAAUGGUGAAGAUACUGUUCCUGUAACAUCCAGCCAGUGAAAAAGUCAACAACCUGAUUGGUUAGUUCAUUUUGCCUCUGAGCAAUCAGUUCUGUUUUCGCUUUUAUGCUUUUAGGUGGUGUAUUACUUAUUGCAUAAAAAUGCUUACCCUCUUUGGCCUUCUCCCAUCUUUCUUGUACAAAUUGUGUAUCCUUCAUGAGACUGAAUGGAUUAUUGAAUAUGAAAUGUUCAGUAUCAGAUUUUGGAUUUUUUUUUCUUAAUUUUCCCGUUACAACACAUUGCAACCUUGCCGUUUAUUGUGAAGUCUUGUGGACUGGACAAGUGCUUGUCUCGUUUUCUGAGCUUAUUGUUGGUUUCAUUGGAUAAGUAUUAUGCUUAUAAUGUGAUAGAAACUUUUAAGCAAUUAGAAAAGAAAACCAAUCUAGAUGAAGUUGCUAUUAUUGAAGUAAGGUUGAAUACUCAUUCCAAACCACCAGGAACAUGAGUGAAGUGUACGGGAAUAGAAGCAUGUGAAUUGAAUUGUUGAAGUUCAUUGUAUUGGGAUUAAAUAAAUUUGUUUAUUGAAGUGUGAUUAUAGAAAUAGGUCUGAAGGAUGACAGAGAUUAGGAUUGUGAUGAUCCUUGUCACCAUCAUAAUCAUCUUGUCCUCACCAAGCACAUGCCAUAGACACUGUCCACCUGAUUCUGGAUAAACUUUGAGUCGGCUCUUCAUAGAUUCUUGCCUGUGAGGCCAUCUUUUCUUGUUCUGGCAAAUGUAACAAUGCGAUUUAUUGUAUGAAUAUUAUCAUACGUGGGAUAACUUAUCCUCAUAAAGAAAAGGAAUCCUGUAGAUUCAAAGAAGUUUUAGAAAAAUAAGAACAAUAAUAGUCAAUGGCUUCUAGCAGUACCAACAGCCAUCCAAAUUAUGUCAACUCAAUAUUUUAAUCUCUCACCUACCAUGAAGUCUGACGGCAACAUAUGUGUUAAUUACCACUAACAAUAGGCAUUUCUAUACUGUCAAACAAUUGUUUGUCCGACACAAAGCACCAUGAUUGUGCUUUGAGUGCACUGAUAAAAGCCAUAGCAAGAGCAGCUCUUUGGGAAUUUGCAAGGUUUCAUUGGCAUGUGGUGAGAUUCAGAGAGCAACUGAGGCCACCGCACUCCAAAAGACAUGUUAAAGAAAGAUUGGGUCUAUAAUUCGGUCUAGUACGUCACAUGCACAAUCAAAUUAAUUGAAGGCCUAAUGAACUCAUUGGCGAGAUUGUUGGUAAUUUUCACUUUGAAUUGAAGAUUGAUCAAUAACUUUAAGAACCUGUACACAAACAGGGAAAAAGAGAGAGAGAGAGAGAGAGAGAGAACGGAAUGAACCUCUAAACAAAUAAAAAAUAACAUUUCUGGGUGAAGUUCAAUUCAUAAUAAAUUUCACUGUUAUCCAAAGUUCCAAUCAUUUGGAACCUCCCCCAAUCCCCAUCAGACUCAUGCUUUGAAGGGCUCAGGGUUCUUUUCUUUUCUCAUUCUUACAAACUGUAUGUGUUUUUAUUGUUAUCAAUAUCAAUAUCCAUGGGAUCAAUAAUUGAUACUAAAGAAAAAGAAUCGGGCAGAUUCAAAGAAAUUUACUUUAGAAGAAUAAAAAUCUAAGAAUAGUUAAUUGCAUAGUCAAUGGUUCCCUUGCUGACCAAAAGCCAUACAAAUUGGCAACAUAUCUCUUCAACCCAAUUGCUUGAAAUUUCUCCAUUCACAUUCAUUUAAAUAUGCAUUAAUUCCUUUGAAAAAUUAUAAGAUAUCAAUUGAUUAAAAUAUCUUGUAAAGGUCGGCAAGAUUCGUAUAACAUUACAAGCCAGGUGGGUGCUGAGAAAGUUUUGAUGAUAUUGAUAAGAGCAAAUACUUCUUAAAACGCAUUCAAUUUUGAUUGAAUCCAUUAUCAACUCAUAACAAGAUUAUAAUAUAAAAUCUUUCAAUUAUAUUAAAUUCGAAAGUUCAACACUCUUGCCCUUUCCUUCGUGGCUAAAGUUUUUUCACUUUAAAUAAGAAAUUAAUCAAACUUAUCUGACUAAUUUUUUUUUUGUAAUAAUCUAACUUUAUAUACCACUUGCUCGAAUCAUGCAGGGUUUGUUUUUUGGGCCAAUGGCUCGAUCGGGAAGACUCAAAUACCCACAAGAUUGGGAAUCGACCCCCUCCUUAACAAUCCAUCUAAAUAAUUUAUUUGAGAACAAAGUCAACGGAAUCGUGAUGAGGACCCAACUUGUGAAAAAAAAAAUUCCACAAUUUAAAUGGUCAGGAUCAUCUGAUCAAAUCUCAUCUGUAUAUGAAAGAUAUAUAUACUAAUUUUGCUCACCCAUAAAUAACAGUGUGCUUCGGUCCUGCUAAUUUGCGCAUGCUUGCGUUAAUUAUUAUAAACCAUAAUUACAACCUAUACGCCUAGAUCAUAUAUUUAAUUGCUUAAAGUAUUCUUUUUAGUGGUCACCAAUUAUAUAUAAUCUCUUUAUUUUCGGGGGAAAAGAACUAUAUUAAUAUAAUCUCUUUUGAUAGAUUUACCAAACUCAACGGAUUCCAAUGGCCUGGGAUCAAAUCUACUUUAAUUUAUCCAAAAAUGUGCUCCCACGACUCUUGUUGCUUUUUUUUUUUUUUAAUUACAUGUGAUUUUUGCUCAAUAGUACAAUUCCUAUUACAUAAGAUUACAACUGAUAUUUAUAAAUUAGACUACUACUGAGACUAAUUUACAUCAAUUAUUAUAAAGCACCGUCCAAAUUUUUACCCUCUCUAAUAUUCAAGGAACGUAUACUCAACUCACGUUUCGAAAAUAAGAAAAUUAUUUUCACUCAAAUUGAAAAAAAAAAUUAAACCCUUAUAAUUCAUGACCUCACAAUUGUGAGGUUACGUUUUCUAACCACUAGGCUUUAGCCUAGUAGCUUAGACUCUUCUUGCUUUUAAUAUUUGGAAGCGACCAAAAAUCAAUUUUACAUUUUGCAUGAUAAAGCCAUCUAAUAUCUUGUGCUAUUUGCUAAAACAUGAUUGAUAUCGGUCACGUAUUUAGAAAAUUAUAUCUACAUGUAUAAUUUACUGUCGACAUAUCUGUGUGAAUAUUUAAGUAAUUUUUAAUAUAAAUUUUGAAUUUAAAUUAUGUUAAUGUAUUUUAAAAUCAAAGUUUAAUGUAUUUACUUGGUGCAAUAGGAGCAAAUUUAUAAUUUAAUUUUAACUUAAUUAGAAAGAAAAUAUCUUAUGUGAUUGUUGGGUUAGUAGCAGACUACACAAUAAAAAUAAAUUAAAUAAUAUAAAAUAACAAUAAUAAUAUGAGUUCAGCUAUGUUGGUUAUGCUCUAACUUAAAGCAUCCAUUGCAGUCAUUGAAUCUAAAGUUGAAACAAAAAAUACUCAUUUUAUCUUUAGAUUCAAUGCAUUCGUGAACUUAAAGCAUCUCCAACAUAACAAAUCAGUUAAUAACUAACUAGAUGUGAGUUGUGUAUGAUGCAGCAGCAUUACAUCAAAUCAGUUAAUAACUAACCAGAUGUCCCAGAAUGCCAACACUUUUACUGAGAAAUAUGAAGUUUGCACGAGGAAAAAGUAAGCAAUUCGGUGCACGCGUAAAGCUAGAGCCGGCUCAGUAGAAGUGCUUUUAAGAUACUACUCUAGUCUAAACUUAUGAGUAGGGAACACCUCAUUUGCCUCUUUAAGUGAAUCUUGGGGUAGUCUUAACACUAAAAUAAUGCACGAACAUUAAAAAACCAAUGAAUCUAUAUAUUAUUAUUGAACAAAGAGUGUGCUUUCAGCUCGUUGGGAGCCACUCACACAUUUUUAUAUUUACAAUUAUUAUCUUUGCUAACAUGCGCUUUCUUUUUGUCCUUAAAAUCCAUGUUGCAGAAGACUAUUUUCAGUCAUAUUAGUUUUACGAGUUCAAGUGGAGAGGGUAAGAAAGAAAAAAAAAAAAAAUUGUACCAUUUUGAGAAAUGGGAAUCUGCGUAUCCACUGCAUCUUCAGAGAUUCACGAUCAAGUUGACAACGGCCAAGAAAAUGUUAUAUUUGUUGAAGGAAAUAUUGUUUCUCAUGGAGUUAAGAAACUUUGUUCCCUUUAUUCUAAGCAAGGAAGCAAAGGCCUUAAUCAAGAUGCAGGCAUUCUUUGCCAGGUUUGUACAAGUUGUUUCUUUCUUCGAGUUUUGUGCUUUACUGCUUUUGGGGUGUUUAUUAAAACUCGGAAACUUUUUGUUUGUUUAAAAGGGCUAUGGAACGGAAGAUGGAGAAUUCUGCGGAGUCUUUGAUGGGCAUGGAAAGCAUGGUCACGUUGUGAGUGAGCUUGUGAGAAAUCGGUUGCCAUCACUCAUACUAAGCCAAAAGAAUGCUCUUUCAAAUAGUAACGUUAAAGCAAAUGGAGAAGUGAUGAUGCCAAGCAUUGACUUUUAUAAAUGGCAAGAGGCUUGUGUUAAGGCCUUUAAGGUUAUGGACAAAGAAGUUAAGCUUCAAGAAAAUUUGGAUUGCUUUUGCAGUGGAACCACUGCUGUCGUCGUCAUAAGACAGGUAUUAAACCAAGUGAUUCUGUAAACAAACAAUGAAAUCAUUUCUUGCAAUUGUUUUCAGCUUUGGAUGUUAAAGAGUUCUAUUCAUUGUAAUCCAAGCAGGGUGAAGAUCUUGUCAUAGCUAAUCUUGGCGACUCGAGGGCUGUGCUAGGGACAGUUUCCGAUAACGGGGAACUCAAGGCUGUUCAAUUGACAACAGAUUUGAAGCCUAGCUUGCCCAGUAAGAAACUAAGAACCCUCUCGCUUUUCGCAUUCAAAAGUAUAAUGAGGUGAUGGGAAUGUUUAGUUGAAUUUGUUUGUGGUGAUUGACAAGCAUCUGUAAUGUAUAGGUGAGGCAGAGAGAAUAAAGCAAUGCCGUGGCCGAGUACUUGCAUUAAAGGAAGAGCCACACAUCCAGCGAGUGUGGCUGCCUCAUGAAGACACGCCAGGCCUUGCAAUGUCUCGAGCUUUUGGUGACUUCCUACUCAAAAAUCAUGGCAUAAUUGCAAUCCCUGAUGUUUCUUAUCGCCGCCUAACAUCUAAUGACCAGUUUAUACUUCUCGCAACCGAUGGGGUAAGUAUUUCGGAUUUCAACUGCUUGCAUCCCGUACUCUUUAUUCAGUUAAUAGAUGUUGCUGAUGGUGCUUAUUGCUUUUGUGUACACAGGUUUUGGAUGUGCUUAGCAGCAACCAAGUUGCAACAAUUGUUUGGGAGGCAGAUAACAAGCAGGAGGCCGCGAGAAAGGUGGUUGAGGCGGCAAACGCUGCAUGGAAAAAGAAAUUUCCAUCUUCAAAGAUGGAUGAUUGCACUGUGGUUUGCCUCUUCCUUCAAAAGAGGUGAUCAAGGCGUUAAACAAUUUGUGCAAAUGUUUCUCUGUAAUUCCUUGCUGCAGCAGAAGUCAAUCCUCCUGUGACUCUCUGUUCUGUUUCAUUUUGAAGCCUCAAUAUUCAACAUUGUCUGAGAAAAGGAUCACAAACAGCUGGUGCUUUGGUUGAUGAACCACUGUAAUCGAAGGAUAGGAAUACAAGGCUUCCAGUUUGUACAAAACAAUAAAUAAUUCAAUAAAACAAAAAUGGCCUCUCCAACACUUGCAAUAACAAGCUCUUAAUACAAAAUGAUAAGAGCAUUCUCUAUCCAAGAGUUACAUACCAAAAGCCUCCAUUGUCAUGGAAGAAAUCAUAUUAGCCAACAAUAAUCACUCUUUAAAACUAUUACUCUCAAUUCUCUCUUCUAAGACGGCGUGAAAAUUUUGUUCUGUUGCCUCUAUAUCCAUAUCUGUACCACCGCAUGUUAAAAAUUAGAAACAAGGCAUGACGGAUUUCCCAAGAAUCAAAUGGAAUCAUUCUUGGGAUCCUCUGCUAGCAGAUCAUCGUAUGAAACAGGUACCCUGAUCCUAUCAUGAACAGAUUUAGGUUUUCCUUCAGCACCAGACUUUCCAUCUUGAUCUUGAGGAACAGACUGAGAACCACCACCUAGAAUGCUGACUGAGGUUCCAUCAGUGGGUGCACCAACAGUUCUUUGUGUGGAAGCCUCUUUAAUUUGCUCUGGAGCAUGCCGGUUGUUUUGCUCUGGCACCUGUCUGUUGUUUUGUUGCCUAAAUUGCUUCUGCAAAAAUAAGAAAGAAAAUUGUAAUUUUGGAAUUAAAAAUUUAGCACCCUAGGAAGUUCAGAUACUGUACACAAACUCCCCAUACAAACUUCACCACUGCUAUAGCAAUGCCACUUCACUGUCGGAGUAAAAAAAAAGGAAGAGAGAAGCCAGAAAUUCUGCACAUACGAAACCAUAUCCAGGUCGAAAAAACGUCAUCCAAUUUUAACAGCUAAAUCCCCUGUUGUGGUGUAAGUGGACCACAGAAUAGGGGAAGCUAAUAAUAAAGGCAGAUUAAAAACAAAAAGCAGAGCAUGUUGGCAAAUGAGAAAAGAUUUUGAAGCAAAUCAUCACGCUUCUUUUUGUUUGAGUUUGCUUUCUUUCUCUUCCUUAGAGUCUGUGUGAGAUCACACACAAUUAGAACCAGGGCAGUUUGAGAUUUAUAGAACCAAACCCUAAUUGCCAUUUUUUUUUACAUUUCUCAUUACUCUCCAAUGAACACACCAAGGACGAUCUAAUACCUUUAAACAUAGGUAUGAAAAGAAAAGUAGCAUCUAAAUAACCAACUAAAACAGUAUUUACUGCAUAAAUUUCACACACACCUCAAAUUCCUUUGUCUUCUUUAUUAUCUCCUUGUAGGCCCCUGGUGCUCGUGCUUUAAUGAUGUUCCACAACACGCCGCCACCUGUCCGAAAACGUCUGCUAUCAGCAGUCAUCUGACCUCCACAUGCCUGAAUUGCCUCCACCUGAAAAUUAAAAUUUCAUCAUACAAUCCCAAUGGCAAAGCAAUGUUUACCCCAAAAACAAAACCCCAAAAAAAAGAAAGAAAAAAAGUCAGCCUAAAAGAAAUGAAAAUUUUCUAAUGACAGACAAUAAUAUCCAUAAUAAACCAAAUGUGGAAGUAGUACAAGAUUAAAAAUACAUAUAUAAAUGUAUACAAGCAAAGACCACAUUCCAUAGCACAAAUUCUCCAACAUAAACUCCAUAUCUCCAUGUAUGUACCUACAAGCAGUAGUUACAUAGAUCACGGUAUGUAUGCUUCCCACAACUAACACACUUCCACUCCCAACAGCAAGUUAAAAUAGCUUUAUAACUCCCAAAUUUCAGUCAACAUUUUCUAAUCAAACUAAAACCAUGGUCAAACGGCUAGUUUAUAAUCUAUGCUUUAUCUUCUGGCGCAAAAUACUUGAUGGAUAUGAAAGUUUCUUUAAAUAUAAUAAAAAGAUGAUGUAUAAUAAAGCAAGGGAGAAAAAGGCUUUCAUUUGAUAUUAAAGCCUGACAAUGAAGACCCUAAAACCAAGGAAAUUACAUAUCACUAGUAAAUAAGGGAACUUUAGCUUACACAAGCAGUGUAUAUGAAACAGAGACCUAAAACAGUACUUAUUUCCAACACUCACAUCAAAAUUUGAAUUCAUUGAAACAAAAGAUAUGAACUAACGUUUGCUCUAAAAAUUUGAAAAAUCCCCCCCCCCCCAAAAAAAAACAACAUAUCUUCAUUCAUCGGUAGCAUUUCUACUUAGAUUUUUAACAUAAAUCUAUGUAGAUCUAGGUAUUUCCAUGCACAAUGUUUGAAAAACUUGAAGGAAAAAUUAUAACAACCUACACAAAAAGUAAACGAUGAAUAGGUUCAGCCAUUGUAUAUCUCAGUUCAGAGCACAUAAUUUGAGCAGCAAAAUGGCUUCUGCCAGAAAGAUCUGCAAGGGUAUUGAAACAAUAUAGAGCAUCAGACAUCAAGAAUGGUAGAAUGGCUUUAAAUAGAGUGGAUAUAUAUUUCAGCUCUGGGCUGGUCCAAAUCCAACUACAACCCAGAUUCUCACCUUUCCUAAAAAAGACUCAAACAAAUCUUACUUUUGCAGAGACUUGAGUGGUUGAUUUCUAAACAUUACCAAUUGAAUUCGCGAAGUGGAGAAACUUCAGGAGAUAAGGUUACAUCAUUCCCAGAAGUAUUCAAAACUAACAUCACAGAUUCAGGACCAACAUCAGCAUAAUGCUGAAAGUUGUUUAAUGAAGUAAUUGGUACACAACAAGAUCUCAGCUCAAAGGUAUGAUUUUGGAUAAUAAUAUUACAACACACUCAUUCUAACACAAAAAGAUGCACAAGUAUAUCCAAAAAUAGGAGAUACUCGCACAAAGAUCACCAAAAACAAUAAACACCAAGUACUGCAUAGAUUUGGUGAAGAAAAUGGAGACAGCGGGAAACCUUUAAGUAAUCCAUGUACAAGUCCAGGGAUGCACAAUUAAUUUAUAAGCAUCAUAAUCAUAAUAAGUAAUAUCACUUUUAGUUUUAUAAUUCUUGUGAAAAGCAAAAUUAGGUAGAAGUAAAGGGAGAACAGUACCUCCUUAACGAGAUCACUUAGUGCAGGAAUGCCAAGACAACCAACAGCUGUGUAUACCAUGUAAGAUUUCUUCUCUUUUAGCCGCUUACAUGUGUCUGAAACAAACCUGAGAACAAUAAGUACUAGAUCAUCAGAACCACAAAAUGAACUCCUACAACCAAUUGUCCAACUGAGUGAUAUACGUAAGAGUAAGAAUAUAACCUGUUUACAUCAGUAACAUUUGGGCCAGGACCACUCCUCUUUUUCUUAUUCUUCUUCUUAUUUGCCCUCCGCCUGCGGUUUUUACUUUGUGAACCCUGAUUUCCUGCACUGACAUCCCCACUGCUGCUCUGCUCCACAUUGGUUUGUGAGCUUGAAUUAUGCUCCACAAGCUCUCCUUCCUCUACAUCAAGCAUCUCAACAUCUUCGCCAUCUUCUAAGUUAUCUUCACUAUCUUCAUAUAUUACUCCUAAAAUGCUCUCUCCUUCAUCCAUGUGAGUCCUAAAACUACAAAAGUAAAAUAAACAAUGAUUUAGAAAGGAACCACACCGACAAAUUAUAUUAACUUUGAAAUCGAAUACUGAUUAGGAUUACAGUUUCCUUAUCAUUGUUUUCCCCCUUAGCCCACUUCAUACCACGAACACAACUCACAACUAAGCCGCCACAAACAAACUUUAUAUUAAAUUAUUUGAAAUUAAAAAAAGGACAUAAAUGCAACUAAAAAAAAUCUGAAAAAUGGUGAAAAUCCUAGUGAUAGAAAUUCUUAAGCUCAAGUCAAAAAUACUGCUGUACGGCCAUUUUUUUUUUUUUUUUUGUGGUGACAGUAAUUAGUUAAUCGCCUAAAGAAUAAGAAACCAAAAAUCCUACAGAAAAAAAAAAAAAAAAUCGCAAGAACAAAGUUCACAAUAUAACUCAAAACCCUAGUAAUUGUCAUGUUAAACUUCAAAACUCCCCUGUACCAUGCAAUCAGUUACCUGACAAUCGUAGAUUGAAAACCUCAAACUAAAACCUUAAUUAGAAAAGUGAACAAGCAAGCAUGAAAUGUAUCUUUUAGAAUUCUAAUAGUAUAAUAGGCACUCUUGAGAAACAACAAAUAGGCGGUGAGUUGAGCUCAUGUUCACAUUCAUCUACGAGGAAAGAGGCCAUGAGCCACGAGUAGGGGUGGGAAGAUCGGGUUUCAGUUAGUGUUUUUCGGGUUUCGGCUUGGGUUACAAUCCGUUGGGGUUGGAAAAUUCAAUCCAAUCGGGUUCAAAACCCAAACACUGAAUUCGAUUUUCGGAUAGAAUUGGAUUAAAAAUUCAGGUCUUCAUUUAGAUUGGGGUUACAAUUCGGGUUACAACCUAAAAUUCCAUAUUCAUUUUCAAAUGAAUCAAAUCCCAACCACCUAAAAUUCGAAAUUCAGUUUCAUAUGAAUCAAAUUCUAGCCCAGAUCAACUGCAAAGGUUGUUGCUUGUCGAUGGAAGAAGAUAUUAGAAAGGUAAAUAAAUAAGAGAAACUCAUAACAGUUGUUAUUUUUGACUUAUUAUUGAUGAUGGCUAACACCUUCCCAACAAACCCAUUUCUUUAAGAAUACCACGACACAGAUUAUGGAAUCAAAAGAGUAAACAACCAAAUUACAGUAUUUAAAUAGCCAUCACCAUUGCAGUAUUUAAAUAACCAUCACCCAAAUUACAGUAAACAACCAUGAAUAAUAGCACCCAAAGUCCCAAAUUACACAAAAAAAAAAAAAAUCUUACCUUUUGCGGCUGACGACGGCGAACGAAGACGGAGGCAGUGACUGGCGACGGUAGAGACGACAGUUUCAGCUUUCGGCUGACCAACGAUUGAGGCAGCACCGGCGCAACUGAAAGGAGGUAACAGUGGCUGCAGCGUGGCGUGGGUGGUUGUCAGCUAAGGGUUAGCGGUUGCGCUAGGGAGAGGAAGAUUACGUGUUUUUUAUUAUGCGUUUUAUACCACUUUUGACUUUUGUUUUUUGUUUUUUUUAAACGGCAAACCCGAUCGGGUUUUUUUUUUAUUCGGGUUGAAACCGAACCGAAAAGAAAACUGAUCGGUUCCAAAUUAUUCUCGGGGAAUGAGAAUAGAGUUAGACUAUUAACACUCCUCCAAAAUUCUUUUAAAGCCGCUUUUUCAGUUAUACUAAAUUUAUUACUAAAAUUACUCUUAUUUCUAAAUAAAUAUAUUUAAUUUGUGAAUUUGUAAAUUUUUUAUUUUUUUUGCUCCUCACAAAUAAUUUUUAUCGGUGAUAAACUUCUUGACAAAAAUCAAUGAAUUAAAUAAAUUAUCUCUAAAAUUAUGAUGUAAAAAGUUUUUGUACGAGUCUAAAAAAAGUCAGAUAAUUUUAUCAAAAUGUGUUUUGUUUAUUAUCAAUAGAUUGUUGUAUUAAUUGAAGAAAAAUUUAUAGAGAAUUUAAGAAAAAAAAUUACAUGUGCGAGUGUGAUAGUAGAGAAAAUAUAAGAAUUUUUUUUAAAGAGAAAAAAUAUAAAAAUUUAAAGUGAGAUAAAAUAGACGUGAGAUAUAUUAAAGUGUUUGUCUUGAAAUAUGAUUGUAAUAAAAGAGGGUUUGAAAAGGAUUAUGGAGGGGCGCCAAUAGUCCAACUCAUGAGGAUAUCCCUGGGCUCGUUUUGUUUUAGCCAACCCAAUUAAUAAAAAAUCCAAGCUUCGGCUAAAAACUUGGGCUGGACCAGAAACAGACGUGAGAUAACCAACCCAAGUAAUUACCAGUUCCUUUUAGACCCCGUUUGCUAUAAUAUAUAUAGUUUAUUAAAAUUGGGUAUAAAAUUGGUGUAAAAUAGAUUCAAAUUUAUCUCAAAUUAAGCACUCUGAUAUUAUAAUUAAGAAAAUCCAGAAUAAUAAAAGUGGAGCCUAAAUAUUUGGAUAAGAAAAGAUGAGCUUGCGCUGGGGCCUCAAACUCAAGGAUCAACAUGGCGUCAAUUUCCUAUUGGAAUAGGUCUUUCAAGUUUUAACACCCCUUUAAAUUUUUUAUAAAACCCUUUUUUUCUCUAUCGAAAUGAUUUAAAUAACUAAAAUUAAUUUUUUUUUUCGGGAAAGAAAAAUUCUUCUUUUAACAAAAUUUUUACACCCAUCCUAUUUCAUAAAUUAUAAUUAUAUUUCCAAAUUUUAAUAAAAGAUUAUUUUAUUGAAAAACUUAUAAGAGUUCAAAGUUAUGGAGAUAAAAAUUAUAUAAUAAAAUUAAAAUAAUUUUAAAUUAUAUAUUUUAAAAAAAUUAUAAAAUGAAAACAUAAAAGAAAGAUCCUUUUCUAAGGUAAUAUUUUAUAGCAAAAUGUUAAUUUUAAUCUACAGGUAUAUAUUUUAUCAAUCAAACUAGUGGUAUUUUAGGAAUAAAAUUAUAAAAAUAAAAAUCGUUGUUGUAAGGAUUUUAGUUUUUAGAGUGAUGUAAAAGCUCCACUCUUUCGUAUCACGCAAGUGUCAGUACACAGACAGCCACAGAUUUCAAGCGGACGACGAUAGAUAGGAUAAGGCACAAAAUAAAUACAAGCGAAAAAUGUUAAGAACGAAUAAAUAAAUAUCUUUAGAAAAGGAAAGUGGGUGGAUCUCCCACGAUUCUUGCUGUUAAAUAAUGUUAAAUUCUUGAAUCUGACAUUAGAGAUUCAGGUUGGAUUCCUGCUCCUGGGGGCCCAAUUAUUCUAUGCCACUACAUCAUGAAACUGACAACUACAAUGACUUUCAUUAUCUUUAAUGCGUCAGAAUUGCCGUGCGUGGCAAGUGGCCAAUAGCAGCAUGACAGUGGCCGCUGCCCAAUUGCAAUUAUUUUCAGCGUUUGCAAAUGCCUACGAGGCUGCGAGGUUGAUUCCCCGUGAGCUUGAAAACGAAAACACCCCAGGCUGCGGGCUGCGGCUGCUAAUUAUGACUGCUUUGUGUCUUUUUUUUUUCCUCUUCUCAAUUAUUAUAAAAAACAACAAUCAUCCGAUAAAACAGCAAAUGCAUCUUCCCGGGACCCAGUCCGAAAUUCAGAAUCUUUUGAGAUGAAACUAAAAUUGUUGCGUUGAAGCACGGCUCCUCUUUCACUUCCUCCAAUAAUUCCGCAGUACACGCCACUCAGGCACUGGCGGUAGUGGCGGUUGGUGGGCUCGUCUCACACUCUCAGUGAAAAGUUAGAGGUCACAAGCAGAUUCAUGUUGCGCGCGGAAGGGAAGGGAAGGUUAGCCAGUCGACGCCACAAUAAAUUUGAGUAACCAUUUAUGCUGCACUACACGUAUAUCUAUUUAAAUUCUGAAUAAAUUUUUAAAUUGUAAUAUUUAUAGUAUGGUAAUCGAUCAUAAAAAAAAAAAGAAAAAAGAUAAAAAUCGUACGUAAACUACGCAAUAGUCCGAAAUUGAACAGCACAUGGCUUGUCACUGUGUUUCGAGGCUUAUUAAUAACCUGUACGUGUCCUUACUGGCAAGUGGCAACCUAGGCGUUCGUGUGCGCUGCUUUCGGUGGCCCAAAACCGAAAGAUAGAUGAUGUUGAUUUCUGUGAAAGAGGACUUGAAAUGAAACCAACCAAUGUGGAAAACUUUAUCACGGCAAAUAUUUGGAAUCCACAAUGGUCAAAUCUACUGUUAUCUAUCUAUAUAUAUUUGGACCGAGGGCUACAAGGUGAUUCUCAAGCAAGAUUGAUUUUUUAUUUUUAUUUUUUAUUGAACAGUCUUGAGCUUAAGGCAUGGAUAUUUUUUACAGUCUAAAUAUCACUCGGGUAGGAAACUUAAAAUCUCAAUUAAUAUAAGUAAAUCGUGGGUAUAUAUUAUGGGCAGGUUCAAAUUUGUGAGAGUGAAUUCUAACAAUUGGUGUGAUUUAUGGACAGGUUCAAAAUGGAAACCCUUACUAUUAUCAUAUGAUAGCAUUGAAUAUAAUAAUUCAAUAAAUUUGAAUUAAUUUUAGUGUGUAUUUGGGAUUGAGGUUGAGCAGCUGUAGUUUAAAAAGUUACAGUACUAAAGUAUUUGGUAAACAUUAACUGUUGUAACUUGUAAGCUAUGUUGAUAUAAUUCUUUACUUGUAUAAUAAAAAAUUUAUUAUAUCUUUAAUAAAAUUUUUUAAAUUAUUAUUUAAAUUUUAUAUUUACUAUAUAUUAUUAACUUUUGUUUGAUAGUGACAUCUUUGUUUUCAUAGCAAUUCUAGCUUAAGAGGUACAGUACUUCAAUUCCAAACGGAACCUUAAUGAAUUUGACUAGAUAUUUAACGUCCCUCCUGCUAAAAAAAUUAUUGAAUAAUUCAUCAAUUGGUAAUUUUUUUAUUAAUUCAAUUCAUGAUACUGGUAAAGAAUUUCAAAAUCAAAGGUAAAAAAGGGGGACAAAAGGUGGUUGAAGUGUGCAAGCAGGGAAAGGAUUCCUUAACCAAAUGGGCAUCAUCGCUUGCUGUUUACUGCCGAUUCUGUUUUGUCUUACAUGAAUGAUUUAAAUUGAUUCCAACUGAAUUCUGAUGAAUCGGCAAGGGCCAUAGGCCGUGGCCCAUGGUCGCGUUAUCUUUAUGUGCACGAUUCCAAAAGAUUCCCAUCGAAGUCAUUCUCACAACAAAGAGGCCAAGUUGAAAAAGUAUCUCGCUUGACAUUUAUUCCAAGUUUUGGUUAGAAAAAAAAAUGAGAUGAUAGGACAUACGUGUGUGCUUCACCAUUCGAUAAUUUCAGAUUCGUUUGAUUGAGCGAUUCUUAUCUCUGUUCCCCGGCUUAUACUUUUUUAUAAUUUAAUAAAAGAAAUUAUUAAAAAUAUCACAAAGAGUGUUUUUAUGCUUUAGAAAACUCGAGAGUUAGGUAGAGUAGAUUUCUCCAAAUUUAUUUCUAUGAGAUUUAUGUAAUUUCAAGCCAAUUUAUGGGUUACAUUCAUUAUUAUUGUGCUAAUCACGGCUAAUAUCCGUUUAAUAAUAAGAAUAAUAAAAUUAAUGUCAUAUUCAAGAAAAUCAAAGGACGAAACACUAUAUAUAUAGUUAUUAUCAAAUGUGGAAAAAAAGAGAGAGGUAACACAUUUAUAAAUUAAGUUAUUGAACUCAACAAUGAAUUAUAAAAAAUAAAAUGUCUUAUACUUAAAAAAAAAGAUUGUGUCUUUCAUAUUUUAUUUACAAGGUACAUGAUGAGUCUAUUGUCUACAUGCAUAUUAUAUACGUAAAUUCCGUUCACAGUUCAUCGUAUUCUCAUGAAUUUUAUUUUAUACACUCUUUUAUUAGGAUAAACCCUAACAUACAUUUAAUGUAUGUUACAGCCACUCACACCACUCAUUGUUCAUGUGAAUAGUGUAACAUACGUUAUGUUAAAAGGAUCCUCUUAUUAGUUAUCAAAAGAUUUUCGAAUUUUACAAUAAUAACAAAAAUAAAUAGUCGUUUGCACUAAUUUUGUGUUCCGUGUAAUACGGUCGGGUGUGUUUUCCAGGAAAAUGAAUAAUUUUUAUUUUUUUCUGGGAAAAAGAACAAAGACGUGAUGGGCCGAAACUCUCUUCGUUUGACGGGAUGAAAAGCAGACGAAAGCAGCCAAUACAACAACAUUACCUAACGAUUACCGGGGCGGCUAAGUGACCCCACGUUACAUCGCCCGUUUAUCCAACCUCGAAAGGGACCCAACCGCAGUCAUGCUAAAUUACCCCGGCAUCCCCUGCACUUCACACUUCCACAAUUCACGGCACGAACCUCAUGGAUCUUUCUUUCAUCAAUGCUGACGUACGGCUGAGACGCCUGGUGGCUGGUGCAGCUGACAUCAACUUUUGUUAGAAGAUCGGUUGCAUCUGGACCGUCCAUAAGAAAAUUAUCCUCACUUAGGCUGACGUGUACGUGCCAUCUGCAACCUCACUCGCUUUACACUAUCUAAAAUUCUCAAUUUCUCUAUGCAGAAUUAGAAUAAAGUAACGCUCAAACGUAAAAUCAACGCGACCCCAAACGUUUUGAUGUAUUUCAUUUAAAUUAAGAGUUUGAGCAGUCUGAAAAAUUAAUAUAACAAAAUAAUUUAUUAUCUUUAAUAAGCAGUGAAAUGAGAGUUGGGAUAUUAUAUUUGAGCUCAUAAAGAAUAGCAUAUAAAUCUAAUCAAGAAUCUCAUACGCUAUGUCGACUCAUCUAUUAUUUACAUUAUUUAUUUAAUAUAGUUUUUUGAUAUUUUUAAUAAAUACCCAUUUAACAUGAUUUUAAUAAAUAUUUUAGAAUAUUUAUAAUGCUGCAUAAAGUAUAAUCAACUUAAUUUUAAUUAUAACAAAUAAAAAUUAAAAUAUGAUCAAUAUAAUAUAGUCUUAAGAUUUCUAAUUUCCAAGUAUAAUUAUUGAACAAAUGAUUCUGUCCUAAUCGUUAGUUUUAACUUUUAACCAAAUAAGUUGGUAAUUUUGUAAUAAAUAGGGUAUUGAUUAAGAAUUUUAUAAAUUAUUUUACCCAAUUGAAAUAAAUUAAAACAUUUUUACCCCUUAUUAAUAUUUUCCCGUUUAAAAUAAAAUAACAAAAGAAAAAAUAUAUUGUCAGCAGUGCAUCACUCGGUAUUAUAAAUAACAGAGCUCUUCCUCCCCACAACAACAUUUCCAUAACUAGCUCCAGCAACCAAUCAACCCCCUUCAAAAAACCAUGACGCGCCUUGCCUCCGGCGUGCUAAUCACGCUCCUAGUCGCUCUUGCAGGAAUCGCCGAUGGAAGCAGAGACAUAGCAGGUGACAUUCUGAAGCUACCAUCGGAAGCCUAUAGGUUCUUCCAUAAUGGUGGGGGAGGGGCAAAGGUCAACGAUGAUGAUGAUUCUGUCGGCACGAGAUGGGCCGUCCUGCUUGCCGGAUCUAAUGGCUUCUGGAAUUACAGGCAUCAGGUCUGCUAUCUGAAUUUUAUUUUUUGAAAUCACGUUUUAUUUUAAUAAAUUCCUUGGAAUUACCAAGUUUUAUUCUUUUCGUAAAUAUUAUAAUGAAAGUUUAUUUUAUUUUUGUAAAUUUUUUUCUUUUUCUUUUUUUCAUUUUUUUUUCAGAAAGUGAAGUAAGGUUAAGGUUUUCUUUGAUGCUUGUAUUUAAAAAGCUCGCCAUAAAUUAUGUCUGAAUAUUGAGAAUCUCAUUUUGCGCGUAACUGUUUAAUUUACGUAAGCAGCAAGUAAGCCGAGACAAUCAGACAAAAGAAAGAAUGUGAAAUUCAUUUCAUGUUUUCGGUUUUUUUUUUAAAAAAAACCAAAUUUCCAGUUUGUUUGUGCAACUUAAGCACUAUCUCUUAAAAAAAUUAAUAAUAAUAAUAAUAAUAAUAAACAAACAAACAAACUAUCACAUAGCUUGACAUAUUUCUUAAUUGUAUCAGUCUGGUUAAAGGUUUUCCCCAAUAAAAAAUUUUGGUUAUUUCUUUGAAAAACAUAUAUAUAUAUAUAUAUAUAUAUAUAUUACUUUCAUUUAUUUAUUCAUCAUCUCAAGUGAAACUUUUGUGAUUUGCCUGUGAGUGACAAUUGUUUGUGUACACUGUCAAUGAUUGUAUGAAUCAGAGGCAAGAUUUCUUACUUUAAAUAAGUGGGUAACUGUAUUUGCACCUUUUGUGUAAGCCGCUUGAUGUAAAUAUUGCUGUUAGGGGAUUUGAUUUCCUAUCAAGUCCACUUUUCAUAUAUAUAUAGAGAGAGGGCAUUCUUACUUUGUUAAGGUGAGAAUGCCAGCAAAAGACAAAAAAUAAAAAUAAAAAUUUCAAUAUACUAAUAGAUUGAAAUAUAUGUUUUUUCGUAUUUUAGUGAUAUCUUAUUUUGUUAAAGUGAGGAUGUCCUCAACAAAGAAGGACUCUCUCUCUAUAUAUACAUGCACACAUACAUGCUUUCUAAUUAUGAAUUUCAGCAUAUUAUACUGUCUAUUGAUGUCAUAAUCAUAUUCUGUGUAGAGCUUCAUAAAUCAUUUUUUGUAUUUAUUUUAUUUUAUUUCUAUUUCAGGCUGAUAUUUGUCAUGCUUAUCAACUCUUGAGGAAAGGUGGGCUGAAGGAUGAAAAUAUUAUUGUUUUCAUGUAUGAUGACAUCGCUUUCAAUGAAGAGAACCCAAGGCCUGGAGUCAUCAUUAACCACCCCCAUGGCGAUGAUGUUUACAAAGGAGUUCCAAAGGUCUCUUUCCCUCAAGAGUAAUUCUAGGUUUACAUAAUCCUCUACAAACUCUACUCAUAUAACAUGUUGUGGCAAUUUUUCAAAGAAAUAAAAGCAAAUAAAUAGUGGGGAACAUAUGAUAGUGAUAUAAUAAUGUCACAUCCGUUCGUAUGGGUAGAGUUGUAUAGGAGCUUGUAUUCCUAUUCUCACUAUUGCAUCAAAGAUCAACCAUCUGAAUAUGUGAUAAAGUUCUUUAUUACUACUACUACUAUUAUUUUUUUCAUGGUUUCUUCUUUCAUGUGGCAGGAUUACACGGGGGAAGAUGUUACUGUUGAAAACUUUUUUGCUGUUGUCCUGGGAAAUAAAACAGCUCUUACAGGGGGCAGUGGGAAGGUUGUGGAUAGCGGCCCCAAUGAUCAUAUUUUCAUAUUCUACUCAGAUCAUGGUGGCCCUGGGGUGCUAGGUUAGUAGCCACGAUUCUUCAUAAGUUCCCCACUCUGUCUUAUAUUGUAUGUGUUUUUUUUGUGCUGUUUGAAUAGUGGCUGUAGUUACCCGAAUUAGAUGGUGGUGGUCCUUGGGCUUGGAUUUCUUCCAUCUUAUGGUCAAUUUCUGGUUUUAGUUCAGCGCGUGUCAUAAAACUUGAUUUUGAUUCUGAAGUGAUUUUUAGAAAAUAGACACCAUAGAAUUGGAUUAUCUUUUUUUCUUUUGGCCCAAAUCAAACCGGUUUUGGUGGUAUAUGACUGUCACUAGAAAAACCCUGUUAGAGAACGUCUCACAUGGUUUAAAGAUUCAAAAUUAUUUUCUUUAACCACUAAAGGCAUUUCUUUUAUGGUAAUAUUAUAUUUACUGAGUCGGGAUUCAUAGUUUGUAUCUCAAGUGAUGAAUCACCAAUCAUUAAUGGUCAUGUUUAAGUUUUGGUUGAUUUUAUCAUUUAUCAAUAGGGUGUCAAUCUUGCAACGUCAGAUGCCACAUCACUUGCGGUGCAAGCUAUGUAUAUAAACAAAUUCUUCUAUUAUUAUUAUUAUUAUUAUUUAUUUAUUUUCAUAUUUGUGAUUUUACUGGGAAUAAAAAUUUGAUUGUGUUGUUAUGCUGUUGCAUGUUGUUUGAAGCCUAGGCCAACAUGACUCAUGUAAAAAUUGGUUACUCAGAAGGUUAAAAGUGUAUUGGUUUUACUUGAAAUAUCCUACCUUAUUUUUUCAACAGAGUGGAUAUAUAUGUUAUAACCGACACUAUUUUUAAACUUCUGUUGUAAAAUUGACUUCUUAGUUCACCUGUUUUGUGAUCUAUUUUAGGGAUGCCCACCAGUCGAUACAUAUAUGCUGAUGAACUGAUCGAUGUCUUAAAAAAGAAGCAUGCUUCUGGGAACUACAAAAGCUUGGUAAGUAAUUGGUGAACUGCCAUUUGACAUGUGUUCUAUUUCGAUAAAAGUCUUGGCAAAUUGAAAUUUUUGUUGGUUUCAAUAUCAAAAAAUUUAGGUAUUUUAUCUCGAAGCCUGUGAAUCUGGAAGUAUCUUUGAGGGUCUUCUUCCUGAGGGCUUAAAUAUCUAUGCAACCACAGCUUCAAAUGCUGAAGAGAGCAGUUGGGGGACCUAUUGUCCUGGAGAGAUUCCUGGUCCUCCCCCUGAAUAUAGCACUUGUUUGGGUGACUUGUAUAGUAUUGCUUGGAUGGAGGACAGGUAUGACAACAUUUAUGAUUUUAUUUAUUUCACUUUGGCAACAUUUUUCUGUUUCCUUGAGUAACAACAUGUCUAUGUCUGUCUUCUGUAAUCUCUGAAAAUAGAAGAAAAGUACUGGUUUGACCGAAUUUAUUAACUUACUGAACAAAACUUUUCUAAAAAUUUAUCAUUUUGUGCAGUUUUUUUCCUAGAGAAGCAGUGUGUGCGUGUGCCUUUUUUUUUUUUUUGGGUGAAUUUUAAUAUUUUGACCUUUGCACAGUGACAUACACAACUUGCGGACAGAAACUCUUCACCAGCAGUAUGAACUGGUAAGAUCUCAUUGAGACUUUAUUACUUCAUCGAUGUUCAUUAUACACAGAUAAUGGUUAACUCAGUGCAAAUAAAAUUAGUAACAGUUGGCUUUUUAAGAAUCCUAGAUCCUGCUCUUACCUGCUUGUUUUGAUAACCGCUAAAAUCAGUUUUUUUUUAUUUUCGAAAUUUCAGGUUAAAACAAGGACUGCUAGUUACAAUUCGUAUGGCUCUCAUGUCAUGCAAUAUGGUGAUAUCGGUCUUAGCAAGAACAAUCUCUUCACGUACUUGGGUACAAAUCCUGCAAAUGAUAACUACACUUUUGUGGAUGAGAACUCCUUAAGGCCAGCAUCUAAAGCUGUUAACCAGCGAGAUGCCGAUCUCUUGCAUUUCUGGGACAAGGUAUGUAUCCAACAAUGCACAUAGCUCAUUAAAUUGAAUGCUGCCUCUCUAGCGUAUUUUAUUCAUUUACUUUUUCAAUCCCCAAUGUGGGGAUGGAUCACAAUUCUAUGUUCAACAUGGGUUUGAAAGUUUGUCAUCUCGUUGUUGAGGUUGGUGUAAACUGUAUAAGGGUCUUAUGAUUGGUUAAGUUGGAAUUAGGAAAAGAGGUUAGUGAUGUAACAAAGCAUGGUAGUAGCUUGAUAUUAAGAAUUUUGGAACCAUUUUUAGGUAUGCCAGUUCUCUAUUAUACCCAAAGCAGUAUAAGCAGAGUCCAUUGGCCAUUGGGUACAAAACCCCUAUAGAACAUGUUGUUUCUAUUUGCUUGAGAUGUGGAAGUUUUGGUUACCCUGCUAUGUUACCUGUGGAAAUAACAGUCAGAACGCCCUAAAUAGAUUUUUUUUUUUGGGGGGGGGGGGGGUGAAUUGUAAAAUAGCGACCCUUUCUGCAGUAUGUCUGAAAAUUUUCUCCUUUCUACUUAAGAAUAUACCUCACUUUGCCUAUCCGUUACUUUAAUAGUACCGCAAGGCACCUGAGGGCACUCCUAGGAAGGCUGAAGCUCAGAAGCAGUUUUUUGAAGCAAUGUCUCAUAGAAUGCAUGUAGACCACAGCAUCAAACUUAUUGGAAAGCUCUUAUUUGGAAUUGAGAAAGGUCCAGAGAUCUUGAACACUGUUCGACCUGCUGGUCAGCCUCUUGUUGAUGACUGGGGCUGCCUCAAAUCACUGGUAAAAUUCCUGAUCAUCAAUUCUUGUAUUUUUUAAUCCCUUGACAACACUUAAAAUAUCAUUAACAAGGUUCUUUUCUGUCUAUUCCUCUGUGCAGGUGAGGACUUUUGAGUCGCACUGUGGAGCUCUAUCGCAAUAUGGAAUGAAGCACAUGCGUUCUCUUGCAAACAUCUGUAAUACAGGAAUUGGGAAAGAGAAGAUGGCUGAAGCAUCAGCACAAGCCUGUGAAAAUAUUCCUUCUGGUCCUUGGAGUUCUCUCGACAAAGGAUUCAGUGCAUAAAGAAGCCGAGAACUGUGCGAAUAUCAUAAGCCAGUCUUGAAAUAUGUUAGUUUUCAUUAUAGUCGCCAAUAUGGCAAUAUCUAUUUUCAUUUGGCUGAUGAUUGCUUCCAUUUAUGGCAAUGUCUAUUUUCAUUUGGCUGGUGAUUGCUUCCUUGUAAUUAUUAUAUUUAAAAGCUCUUCCCUGCCAGACCGCAGUUGUAAUUUGAUAGUAUAUAUUUUGGAUGUAUGCGAUGCUAUUUUAUGCUUAUGUAGCUAUAUUUGUUCCUGAUUUGUAGACCGUGCAACUCAACCCUCUUCGUGGUGUUGCUCUAAAUAUUGAAAUAAAAGCUCUAAUUUUGGAUUAAAAAAGAUCGUAUUGUUCAGCAAAUAUGACAUUUUUGUUACCAGGGUAUUAGAACUUCUCACGGUAUUAAAAUAUUGUUAUAUCAUGUUUGUUAAUUACUCAUUUUAUUUUAACAUAGUCAACACACCCUUAAAAUAUAAUCAUAGUAAGUAGCAAGCAAGCAGAACAUAAAAUUUUCAUCAAACAAAUUGUAAAGGAAAAUUACUUUCAACUUUUAAGUCAUGGCUGUAAUUAUUGCCAGACAUUUCAAAAGAGUCUUUUAGACAAAUUUCUCCGCUGCAUUAACCGAUAACGUUGGCUUAGGAUCAAGCGUUUCUUCCUUCAGCUUCGUUUUCCCCUUCGUCUUCUUGAAAAUCAAAAUAACAAUCCUCCACACUUACGUAAACAAAUUUCAAAACCAAAAUUCACACCCCAAUCUUUCUUUUAACGGAAACUCUUCCCCAGAGUUUCUGCCUGUAGGACUUAAAUAUUUUCCUAAUAAAUCCUUGAUAUAAAACAUUAAAAUAAACAGGGGUCGAUCAUCUAGUCAGCGGCAAAAACAAAGUAAUAAUUCAUUCACGGAAAUACAAAAGGUAACUUAUGGUCUUCUAACACUGUGAUAUACCGACUACUACUAUAUAUGUUUUCCAGAACACGAACCGAGCAAAUACAAAUCCAGACCAAAAUUGCAAAUACUCCCAUCCGAAUGCAUAAACCUGUACGAGAGAACCCCGCACAAACACCACCAAUCAUAUCUGCCAAUUCACGUAGCAGGACUUCCCCCUUCCAUAACUUCAGCAAGCUGGUUUAGCUUGGAGAUUUGCCUAUCUUGUCAGCAUUGAUCUAGCAAGCCUGUAAUAACUGAUUUACUGGCAAUCAGAGGGAGCAAGUAGCAUAAUAAAACAAUCAUAGACUUUUGCCUGGCAUUAUUGUAUUAAUCAAUUUCAUCUUUGUUUUCAUAAAAGACGCAUACAAAAUAAAAUUAAAUAACAAUUUAAGUUCAGAUGUGACCAUGAAUCUAUCCUGCCAUCCAUUUUAUUCUUUGUACAAAAGUUAAUCAGUCUAGGUAGGCUGACGAAAAACACCUAGAGAGGCCACACCAUCAUAGUCAUUCAGGCAUGUCUAUGCAAAUCCAAGAUGCUUAGAUGCUAAAAUUCACAAAUACCCAAGCUUUAUGUGUAGUUAGCAUGCCUUUCAAUUAACAGCAUGACAUACAGGUUCCAUUUUCUUUCUCUACAUUACGAAAGCAAUUUCCCAUGCCAUUAUGUAUUGCAAAUUUAUGUGAGAUAAUAAAGGCAACUGGAGACAUCAGCUUAGGUCUGUCUAUACUUAUAAUAACAGACUAUGCUAAUUAUUGGUAUUUACAGGCUUAAACAUACAAAGAUAAAACAACUUGUAAAAUCUCAAUUUACUUUCUAAAAGAAAUUUAAAACCUUUUCGUCAAUAGAAGCAUAAAAAAGUAAGUUCCAACAACAGAAAUAAACUCACCAGCAAUACAGCAGAUAUCAGAUAGCUGCUUCAGUCUCAACGUCUGCCCCGAUCAUCUUCAUGCUUGUACGCAUACCUCCUUCUCUCACUUGACCGAGAAUCAUCAUAUCUAACUCUCUUGGAGUAAUCCGCUUGUUUGUCCAGCUCAUUUCCCUUACUUUCUUGCACUUCUCCCUCCCCUCUCCCAUGCUUUCGACUACGCCUCUCUUCUUCCUCCCCUCUCUCAUGCCUUCGACUACGCCGCUCUUCUUCCUCCCCUCUUCCAAGCCUUCGACUUCCUCGCUCUUCUUCCUCCCCUCUCCCAUGCCUUCGACUUCCUCGCUCUUCUUCCUCCCCUCUUCCAUGCCUUUGACUUUCUCGCUGCAGCUCUUCAUGAUCCUUUCCGUGCCUUCCAUAUUUGUGUUCUUCAGCUCUCCGAUGCCUUCCCCCUCUAGCCUCCUCUUCAUCCAUGUUUUGCCUUCUAAACCCUGCAUGCUCUUUGGAAUCUUCAUCAUCCCCCCUACGACCAUCCUCAUUCCCACGUGGUCUGGCGUUCAAUUCAGACUCCGGUUUUGCAUCUGCAUGAUGGCCUUCGUGCAUUGCAUCCUUCCCAACAAUACUACUCCUUAACCUUGCUUCUGGUCGCUCCUCCCUGUUUGCCUCAUCAUACUUCCUCUUGGCCAUCCUCAUUUCCUGAUGUUCAUAGGUAGACCUUCCCAUAUCUGCAGCAUCUCUUUCAUACUGGUACAGACUUCGCUCCUCUAAUUUCCUCAGUGCGUCUAACAUAUCGUCAUCUUUUCGACCAUUUCUUUCUCUUUUCCUGUCACUUCCAGCAGGACUGUACCCAUGAUCACUUCGUCCACUUCUACCACUCAUACCAUUUCCACUUCCAGUUCUGUUUUCACCCACACGGUUCUUUCCACUUUUCUUACGUCCGUAAUCACUUGCACUGCUGUCUGAAUCUCCGUCACCACUUCCCUUGUCAGACUCACUCCUAUUUCUAUUGCUAUUGUCCAAAGGAGACUCAUUUUCGAUCGCUUCAGGCCUUCCAAGGGAUGCUUUAUAAUUUUUCCUCCCAUAGCUGGAAUCUGAGUUUUCAUUAUCAGAAUUAUGCCUCCUACUUAUCCUGCGCUUCUCAAUUUUAUUGCCACUGUCAUCAUCAGUGUCAUUCCUUCUCGAUCUCCUCUUUAUCACAUCUGCAUCAUCAACAUCAUAGCCUUGCCUGUUUUUCCCAUAACUAUCAUAGUUGCUCUUUUGGUGAGACCUUAAGUCAAAAUUUUCUCGCUCCCCUCUGCGGCUUCCACCCAGCUGAUUGCCCCUUUUCUCAAGAUGACUUUUAUCCUUUUCCAUACCAAUACCAUUAUCGAAAUCAUCCUCAGAAUCAUGACGUACACUUGCUUUCACAUGCCUACUCCCCUUCCGAGUCCUGUGCUUAGAUGAAUCUUCAUCAAAAUCAGAACCAUUAUCCGAAUCAUGUCUCCUAUGACUUUUUCCAUAUUUCUCAACUUCCUUCAUGGAACUAACCUUACCAGUGUCAUCAGAAGAAGAAUAAUCUGAACUAUCAAUAGAAUGUUUUCUGCUUUUCUUGUGCUUCUUCGAAGAGUUCCUCCUUUUCUUAGGGCUUUCACCAUCACUGUCACUGUCACUUUCACUAUCACUUCUCAGGCUAACCUUACGAUUCUUCUUUGGCACCGCUCUUGCAUGCUUACUGCUACCAGCGUCAUCAGAAGAAGAAUUAUCUGAACCAUCACUAGAAUGUUGUCUGCUUUUCUUGUGCUUCUUUGAAGAGUUCCUCCUUUUCUUAGGGCUUUCACUAUCACUGUCACUGUCACUUUCACUCUCACUCCUCUGGCUAACCUUACGAUUCUUCUUGGGCAUCCUUCUUGCAUGCUUACUGCUGCUAUCAGAAUCAGAAGAAUCGUCUCCAUGUCUUCUCUUUCUGCCAUUACCCUUAUGGUGCCUGGUCUCAUCCUUCUUAAUUUUCUCAUCUUUAACAGUCUUUUUCUGAUCAUCCUCCACAAUUUCCCCCUCUUCUAUCACACGUCUCUUCCGAACAUUCUCUCUAUCCAAAAAGGCAUGUUCGCUUUUCUCAUGCCACUUACCGUCAUCAUUGGAAGCAUUCUUUCGACCAUUUCUUGGUGCAACAUCACUUCCUUCAGCCCCUUGUUCACUAGCUUCAAUCGUACCUAUACCAAGUGCAGCUCUAAACAUUUCCAUUUGUUUCUCCUUUCUAGCAGCAAUUUUAUGGGUCUCUGUUUCUGAUACCCUGAACAAGCAAGGAGAAAAUUAGAAGUUAAUUCCUAGGUAACCUAUACAAAAAUUUCCUACUGAGAAGACAUGAUUAAUCAAGUAAAAUAACUCGGGUAACAGAAAUCUCAAGUGUAAAAUAAACCUGAAAAUGGAACAACUAUUACAAAGACGAAGGAAUUUCCAAGAAACAAGAGUAAGGGAAAUUAGAAAAAAAUUAAUUCCCCUUUAAUGAAUCCCAUUCUGAAUUACAUAUAUGCCUCCAGAACAAAGCCAUCAAGGAAGUGAUUCAACAAUCCCCUUGCAGCCGAAAGGAGAGGCAAAAUUGCAGGUUCCCUAAUUAUACAUGCUUCAAACUUCAAACACAAGCAGGACAUACUAAAAACAUACCAAUUGCUUUAUCACACAUAUAAAACAACGCACAAGAAAACUAACCAUUCAUAAUAUUAUAGCAGUGAAAAUAAAUAAAACUGACACGCUUAAAAGUUACACACAUGAAAAAAUGUCUACAAAAAGACAUCUCUACAAACUGAAGUGGUAUGAGUACUUGAACUGUACUUGUUAUUUUUCACUGUUCCAAUCAUAUCAUGUCACCUCAAGAAUGAAAAUUUGUAUGUAUCUUAUUAUUCAUAGCAAGAAUUACUUACUUUGCAUCAGCGGCAGGCCCACCACUUUCCGCUGAAGCUGAGGCGACUUCAAGAGUCUUCCGAGCCUCCUCAAGCUUCUCGGCAAUUUCAGCCUCAGUGUAACCCUGAUCAACGAGUUUGUCUUCGAGCACCACCAAUUUGAGUUGAAUCUGGCGCUUACGCUCAUGCUCGAGGAUCUCCUGGUUCGGUUUUCUGGUGACUCCAGCCGUUCCCUGACCCGCUUCGAAUCCCUUGACGCUGUCGGUAACCCGACCUGUUUUGGCCUUCACAAAAAACUUGUUCGUUUGUAUGUAUCCGUUGGUUCCGGACCCCCUCGGGGUCUGUAAGCCGAUUCCGUUAUACAUCUAACGAAAAUACAAAACAAUUCUCAAUCUUCAGCAAAAAUGAAUUUAUAGAUCUUGAAUUUCAAGAUCCCGAUGCAUGUGAUAUUUCGAUCGGAGAAAAAAAAAAUCUCACAAAUAAAAGCACGAGAAUAGAACAAUUGGAAAGAAAACAAAACGCACCAGUGAUUAAUCGGUUGAUAUGAAACGUGAUAUCUGAUUGAUUUAGUGUUAUCUUCUUUCCCCUUAACUCGGUGAUUCUUCGUUUCGGCAAUUCAGAGAAAGAGCGAAACCCUAACCUGAUCGCUUAGUGCUUGUAGGGACAAUUUGAUUUGACAAUAAUGUCCUCCAUUCGAGGCCAAUGAAAUCUUAGAUAUGAAGGAUGUUUAUGUCUUUGACCUAAACUUUUUGAAUCCGUUUUUAUCUCGAUUAAAUAAAUAUCAUCCCAUUGAUUGAUAUCGACCCUUUUUUUUUUUAAUUAUGUUAUACAGAUAUGAUUAUUGAUAUUAACAUUAUAAUUAUAAUAUUUAUAAUUAUAUUAAACAACUGAGAUCACCACCAUACAUUAAUCUAUUGAAGCAUUUGUUCAAAUACUUUAAACACUCUCUAAUAUUUGAGGGAUGCCUACUCUACUUAUAUUUUGUAAGGGAGAGACUGUCUACACUCAAUUAAUUGAUAAUUAAGAAAAAAAUUGAAAAUAACUUCCAUAAUACUCUUGUGGAGGCUUGAAUCGUUACACUCAAUAUUAUAAGUAUAAGACUUCUCUCAUUGAACCAAAGGCCAUUGGUGAUUGAUACAGACCUUUAGAUAGUACUACAUAGACCUUUUCUUUUAUUUUUUUUCCUUUAUUUUCCCCUUUAAUACAGAUUUACAUAAUCCAUAAAUCGUAAUAUAGAGAGGUCUAAGUAAUCGGAACACCGACAUUACUUUCGUGUCGGUCUUGUUUUGUUUUGUUUUGGCUUGUCUUUUUAUGUGAUUGUUAUCUCAUAAAGUAUUGUUGUUAUGAACAAUUUUAGAGCAAGCUGAUCUUGUGCACGCCCUCGCGUACGUUAUUAUAGUGUGCGAUUGGCUAUUAUGUUAAUGAUGAGUUCUUAUUAGGGGCUUUCGAGCUACAGCUGAGCUUCCUAUAAUGGGAGCUUACCACGCAUGUCAUAACAUGUAUGACAGCGUGUAUUAUAUAAAGUUGUUUGUGUUAGAUAUAUCAGAUGGUAUUUUCAAAGCACUCUGUUUUUUUUUUUUUUAAUACUGAUUAAUCAUCAGAUUACUGCAUUACACAGAUAUUUACAACAACUGCUUAUUGUAGCAGAGAUAUUACACUGAUAUUUACAAUCAGAUAUACAUGAUUGGGACUUACAUUAUUACAAUGAAUUCUAUGAAGUACAUGCCCAGACAAAUAACCCCUCACAGGAGAGGGAUGUCCAUACUCCACUUGCAUUUUGCAAGGGAGAAGGAUUUUUUAAAUAUAAAGAACAUUUAGCCCCCACAAAAGCUUUGUAGGGGCUAGAACCGCUGCCCUCACAAGUAUUGUGUUGUGAGGGCAGCAGCCCACCACUUCGGCCAAGGCCGAAGCGGCGCACUCUGUUAAAAUAGUUGAGUGGUAAACUGCAACUCUCACAAGUUACCAUUGUGAGAGCUGCGAUUUAAGUUCUUAUAGCAGAUUUCUAUUUCUUCUUCUAAUUAAAAAUUGGGUUUAAAAAUUGGGUAUAUAUUAGAAUCUCUCCUGUUAAUUAAAUGCAGAACAGAUGUCUAAGAGCUGUAAUUUAAGUCACCAGAAAAGACUUCUAUUCCCAAUUAAAAAUUGAGUAAAAAUAAGUUUCUAUUCUAUUAAAUGGUGAGUAUUGAGUAGAGCAGAUGGGAAAUUUGUAACCUACCCCCAAAUAAAUUGACAUUUUGCACCACGCCCCCAAUUCCAUUAUUUUAUCAGUUAAGUUUAACGGUGGAGGGGUAAAAUUGAAAGUUUAUUUCUUAAAUUAAUUUUAAUGGGAAUUCUCUUUAUUGUAAUUAAAAUAAAAAUCUUUAAAAAAUUAAAGAAAAAAUAAUAGUGGUGACAAUGAACAUGUAAGAAGAAUUGUUUUUUUUAUUGCAAUUGAAAAAAAAACCUUAAAAAAUUAAAUGAGCUAAAAAUUUUGUUUUUUUACAUAGAGGGGCAUUUUUGUCAUUCAAUCAAAAGUUAAACGGAGCCGUUAAACUUAACUAAGAAAAUAACGGAAUUGGGGGCGUGGUGCAAAAAUGUCAAUUUUUUUGGGUGCGCAGUGCAACAAGUCAAAUUUGUUGGGGACGCGGUGCAAAAUGUCAAUUUAUUUGGGGGUAGGUUACAAAUUUUCCUAGAGCAGAUAUUCAAUAUAUGAUGUAAAUAUUAGUACGUAUUAAUAAUUUUAGAGAAAAUGUUAUUUUUAAGUUUAAUAAAUAAAAAAACAUGCGCGAUACAUGGUGUUAUUGAUUAAGCAAAUGAUCACUUAGGCUUUAGGAAUAAAAUUUGAUGCUUUGAACUUUCAAAAUCUCAACUUUGUUCAUUACAUAUGACUUUUUAUCAUUCAUGAGCUUGUAGAGGUAUUAUAAACAAUUAUAAUAAGUAAUAAGCUUACAUGGGGGCAAUAUAAAGUUUGCAUUCAAAUUGAUGAUGUGGUAGAUGAUAUGAUUUUAUUUCGUGAGGUCAUUUGAUAAUGGAUUAUUAACUCGGAGUUUGGCAGUUUUCUGCUUAUUUAAAUCAAUAUAUAUAACUUGUUUUCAACUAUAUGUAUAGUAUUCAAAGAUAUGUGAGCACAAACAUUUAAGCGAAAAUAGAUAUAAAUGAGUUAUUUAUUUGAUAUUUUAUCUUAAAAUAUUAAAUAAUGGUUAUUAGAAUUUUUUUUUCAAAAUUAACAAAAAGUAUAAAAAAAUAUCUUAUUAUUAAUUUUUUAUUCAUACUGAAACUUAUAUUUGUUAUUUUUAGUAUUUAAAUCUUUUAUUCUAUUUUCAAUUUAUAUGAUUUAUUCAGUUUAUAGUUAAAUCAAUAAAGUGUACUUGAAAAUAAGGAUUAUAUUGUAAAAUUAUGGUACCAGUGAGUCAUUAGGUAUUAUGAAAAUAAUAGGGAGUAAGUGAUAGAUAUUGAUUUCAGUGUAAGAAAAUUGACAAUUUUCCUUAUUAAUUCUUAUCAAUUAUUAUCUGAAUAGUGAAUUUGUAUUUACUAUCAUAUUAAUUCAAAAUCAAAUUUUAUAUUCUAACUUUAUAAAUAUAUUUAUAUUUUUACCCUUUAAAAUUGUUUUGAACGCUCAUUAAAAAAAAUUAUUGCCUAAUUGGCUUUCAAGGAAAUUACUUAGAUGGCCAUAACAAAUGAAUGAACAAUCUCUUUAUUUUCCGUCAAGUGGUCAGCUCUUGUACAUACUGCAUGGACUUGAGAAGGUGACAAAUUGACCACACACCGACAUUAUUUUAGGCAUUGUUGCAUAGGCCACGUCAAAGCCGUUGAAUUUGAAGCGCACAAAUCCAAAGGCCCAAAAAUAGCCACGUGAUGCUAGUUAAUGGAGAAAGUGACAGAAUCGACCGUAAAUAAAAGAGCAAAUUGGCAAAGGAAACACCGUGAGGUUAAGAGAGACAGCCAGAACAGUUGAGGAAACUACUUCUGCAGUACUGUAAGCGGAAAAAAAAGAAAAAAAAAAAGACGUACGAAUCAAGCAUUUUAUCUAUUGAUAUCGCAGAGCCUUGCAACAAACGUUGCAGAAAUUGGAUUAAUAAAAAUCAAACUUUAAGAUCUAUGAUCCUAUGCUCCAAUAAUAAUAAUAAUAAGGGUUAUUAUUAUUUUAUUACUUUAAAAAUUAUCAAAUAUCAAAUAACUACAACAAAUAUUAUUUCCUAUUAUUUUCUUACUAUAUCUUUAUAAAAAUAGCAUUUUACUACUUUUCUGUUAUAAUCUUGACAAACAAAAUACUAAUUUCACUCUUCAUGAUUAAAAAAAAAAUACUUAAAGCUUAUUUACAAAAUAAAUUUGUAAUAUAUUUAUUAAAAUGGAUAUAAAACACCAACAUAAUUAUUUUAACUGGAAUUAUGAUAUAUGGAUUAAAAAUUUAUCUUAUUAUUUUUUUAAUCAUGAAGGGUAAAAUUGAUAUUUUAUUAGUCAACUAACGGGUCAACUAACGGUUGUAAUGAAAAAGUAGUAAAAUGAUAUUUUUAUAAAAAUAUAAUAGGAAGAUGAUAGAAGACAACACUUGUUGUAGUCAUUUGAUAUUUGGUAAUUUUUGAAACAGUGAAAUGAUAAUAACUCUAAUAAUAAUAAUAAAGAUAUAUGAUUGACCGACUAAGACCGUAACCCCCUUCAAUAAUGUAUUUACUCUUUUCAUCCAUGCUCGUUAAAUUAGAUUGUUUCAAAUCUAACGGCUCAUCCAAAAAUGAAAAAAAAAUACAAGUUAAAUACAAGGUGUUUUUUUUCCCCCAAAUAGAUUCUCAUUAUUGCAAGACAAAAUUUCAAAAUAAACAAGUUAAAUGUUGUAGAAAAUCUUCACCUGUAUAAGAUAAUAAUAAUACCUAAAUGUGAUUUUUAACCAAAGCAUCAACUGCUCUAUUAUAAUUUUUAGAAACAUGGUCAAUCUUGAAAUCUUACUAAAUUAACAGUAGAUACUUCUUAUAAUUAUUCAAAAUAGCUUAAUACAAAUACAAUGAAUACGAGGUUAUUUGUCCUUGUUACUAGAUAGUGAAGCCUUUGAUGCAUAAUAAAAUGUUAAAAAAUAUGAAUUAACAUAAUAAGAUCAAAGACAAGAACUAUAUAUGCAUUUGUACUAUUAAACAAUUUUAUUUGCUAAAGUUUGUGUACUUGUUAAGACCUUGAAGGAUUUUAUAAAAAUAUUUAAUUGGAAAAUGUAUGUUUCCCUUUCACUUUUUGAGGAAAACAAUUUUUUUUUCUUUUUUAAUUGAAGGAAAGAAAAAUCAAGUCUAAACGCAGUAUUACACUCUUUAGAAACAUACAUUUUCCAAUUAGAAACAUACUCUUUAGAAACAUGGCCAAUCUUGAAAUCUUGCUUCAAUAACAGUAGAUGCUUCUCAUAACUAUCCAGAAUAGCUCAGUACAAAUACUAUGAAUAUAAGGUUAUUUGCCCUUUAUAUUAGAUAGUCGGGCCGUUGCUGCAUAAUAAAGUGUUAAAAUAUAAAUUAACAUAAUAAGAUCAAAGACAAGAAGUAUAUUUGCAUUUGUAACAUUAAACAAUUUUAUGUAGUUAUUUAUUUUUUAACUUCGAUCUUAUACGCAAUUAAUUUGCAAAGUUUGUGUAUUUGUUAAGGGAUUUUAUAAAAAAAUGUCUCGUUGAAAGAUGCAUGCACCCCUUUCAAUUUUUGAGGAAAACAAUUUUUUUUUAAUUGAAGGAAAUUUUUUUUAAUACAAUAAAAGUCCAAACAUAUUAUACUCUCACAACUACAUGAGAAUACUCAAACUCUCCACUUUAAUAUUAAGGAGAAGAGUGAUUGACCAAUAUUACCAAGGGAUCAUUACCAAUAAAAUAAAAAAUUACAGACCCUAAAAUGUAACUUUAAAGAAUAAUAAUAGAGUUAUAAAUUCUUAUAUAAGUAAUUUUUAUACAAAUUGAUAUGGUAUAAUAUCAUUGGUUGAGUAAAUAUAUAAUAUAAUAAAGAUAAAUCAUGUGGACAAUGUGUUGGUUUCAUUCAACCAACUAUGUUACAAAAUUAAUAUAAAAAUUUAUAGAUGUAUCAUUACUCUAUUUUAAGCGAACACAUUAAAAAAUCAAAAGCAACUUUGAGAUCAUAUCACUAAAAUGGUCCGAUUAAUAAAAAUGUAUAUACCACCAAAAAUGACCAUUAAAAAUUAAAGCAACUAUAUUACCUAUAAAAAUGACAAAAUUAUUAUAAAUGACCACCGUGAAUAAUGACUGCGUCAUUAAAAAUAAAAUAAGUUAAGAGAACAUUAGAACACGUGCAGGUCAUUUUAUUAUUGUUGUUUAAAUGUUAUUUAUCGCGAUAAAAUACCAAAAUUGCCCUUAUACCUAUCGCUAGAUUCACAGGUCUGGUUAAAAUUAAACCAUGGUUAGUUCACUCACGUGAUUAACUAACCCUACUGUUACUGCGAUGCUCUAAUAAUGAGCGCCCCCACACCGGCUUGAAAAAAAAAAAUUCAACAAUAAACUAAUAAUAAAAACAUAACCGUGGUUUGAUCAGUCACGUGAUUAACUAACCUUAUUGAAUGUAACUCAAUACUCUCUAAUAAUAAGCGCCACCACACCGGCGUUAAAAACAAAAAAAAUUGCAACAAUAAAAUAAUAGAAAACAUAUCAGAAUAAAUAAUGAUAUAAUUCAACAAAAAUUCAACGUCGUUAAAGAUUCCGUUAGAUUGAUGAAGUCCGUGAGGUGAUAAAAAUUUGCCACGGGCGCAUGCUAACUUGAUGAUAGACGGGUGUCGACGGUUCAAAGGAGGAGUAAUCAGGACCGUUUGAUUGAUGAUUGAUGGUCACGAAUGCUCGGUGUGGAACCGAGAGUAUGAAAGAGGGGUAUAAAACUGGUUUUAAAAGGGAGAGAGAAUUUCGUUUAUCAGAAGAAGGAAGGAGAGCACUUUGUGUUGUUUGUUCUCUCUCUGGUUUCUCUGCGAAUUUUCAUUCACUUUCUUUCGUUUUCUCAGAAGCCAAACAGACUACUUUGGCUGAGAAUUGACGAGAAUAUGAUAACGGAAUGUUGAGAAUCUGAAUCCAAUAGAGAGAUAGAGGAGAUUUAGAGGUGUGUAUUACCAACACACUUUUGUUUUUCAUUAUUAAGAAGAUCAAUUUAAAAAAAUUGGCCGGUAUAAUUGUUGUUUGGUUCAUGCUUUAGUUUACAGACAAAUUCAAAAUGACAAAAGACGACAUGGUUCAGUUGGCUUAGUGUUAAUUCCGUAUAAUUCAUCCUCUGAUAUAAUCAUUUUAUUUGUUUUGCAGAUACAUUUCUUAAGAGAAUAGAGAAAUUUCUGUAAGGGGAAGAUCAUAAUCUCUCAUUAGAGCAGGAGAUUUUCAAGUCUUUGAAAUGCCAAUCAUUUCGCUGAGAAGCUGAUAUACAUUCGAUUUGUAUUCUGCCGACUGAAAGAAGCAAAAAAUCGGCGAAUUUGAGAUAUUGGAGGUAUAAAAAACAAGCAUAUCGAUUUUCAUCUCGUCGAUUUAACUCGGGACCGGUUCUCUUUCAUUUCAGUUUUGAAUCGGUUUCCACUUGCUUCUUAUUACGAAGCUUAUACUUAAGUUCGACUCCGAUUCUCGUUUUUUCAGCUGUUUGGCUCUGGCGAGAAUUCAUCAUUAGCGUCUACAAGAAAUUUCAGUUCCAUGAAAAUCUUGACUUGUUAUUGAUGAAAUAUUUUUUUCGUUUUGAUUUUUGUUCUUUUGACCAUCUCUCAGUCUCGUCUUAUUCGAGCUUUAAAAUUUUUGUCAGUCUCGUCUUAUUUUGAGUUUUAGCUGUGGUUGCUUCUCAGAUUUUUCUCAAAUUACCUACGUUUGGUUACUGAGAAAGAAAGCAGAGAGAAAAAUAACAUCUCAGAACUUCUUUCCAUUCUCGAAUUGAUCUCUAGAACCAACGAAUUGGUUCUGAUUGUUGCAAUUCACGAUCCUUCUUUAUUUUCUUUUUCGAACAUUUUCUCGGCAGCCGAGCAAAAGCAUGGAGCUUGAGAAAUUUUUUCUCCGCUUUCUAUGCGUAUUCUUCGUCAGAUCCUCUGGAGUGAGUACGUCUGUGAUCUAUUUUUGAAUUAAAAUUCUCAUUUUCACUGCUGAUGACUAUUACAGCAUCACUCGGUAGAGAAUUCUGCAUUUUUUCAUUUUGAAAAAUCCUUGGCUGUCGGAUCUUCCUCUUCCAGUCUUCGGUCUUCCUCAGUAUUCAAUAUUUUUGUUGCAUUUUAAUAUAUGUGAUUCUUAUGGUAAGCCUACUUUUCUUCUCAAAAUUUGGGAAAAUUCUUAGCCGUUACUCUAAAAUUUUAAUUUUAAUCAUUCGUUUUAAAUGGCGUGGAAGUUGCCGGAAAGCCGAAGCCGUAUCCAAAUUGUUCAUUUUGUUUUUCUUUUUUAGUAUAAUUCUGCAAGUUAACCGUAAUUUAGGAUGAGUAAUUGUAAUUAACUUAUCUGAAUGGGACAGGUUUGCGAAAGGAGAUGGAUAAGGACUUGUUGAGAAGCGGUAAUAAUGGGAGCACUUGCAAAGAUGGGGGAUUAUUAAGAGCUAGCUCAGAGAUCAACACUAGGCAAACGGCGUCGUCUGAUUUCGUCUUACAGUGGGGGAACAGGAAGCGACUCCGGUGCAUGAAAGUUCAAGUCAAAGACGAUUCGUCCGCUUCGGCCCAUCGGACGACGGUUCGAGUCGUAAGAACCGACAAAGACACGUCCAAUCAGCCGAGUACUGCCACCGCUAACCAUAAUAUUGGUAACGGUUAUUUUAAUCUCCGUCGACGGCCAUCUUCGCCUCCGCCACCGCCACCGCCACCUCAGCGUGUGCUCAGGUAAUAACUCGGUAUCAUCGUUUGUUUGAUUUUAUGUUUGAAUAAAAACAGAGAUUUGUAUGCUUAUUCUUACGGCGCGUAUUAAACACUGUCGGCUGAGAUGGUGGAUCUUGUUUUUAGCUGUGGGGUUGUUCGCACUGAGGGCCUGAGCCUGAACCUUCGCUGGUGUUUGCGAGGCAACUGUAGUGUUGUGUGUAUGACGUUUAGAUAAUUGAAUGGGUUGCGCGUGGGCCCGUGACGCGCUUUGUGUCCGUGUUCGCAGUUUAGUGUUAGCUCCUUUAUUGUUCGAUUUCUAUAAUCCACAUUGGCGCGGAAAAAGAUUUCGAUCUGCUCUCUUUGAUGGGUCCCUUUUUACCCUUUAUCUUUAAUUAAUGGUUUUCUGCCGCAAGAAAUAUGUUUUACCGUGGUGAAUUAUAUUUUCUUCUUCAAUUGAAUUGGUGUUUAUGUUAAAUUAAUGUUGAAGAAAGAUAGUUGCCCUUUUCAGUAAUAGCAUGAAUUUGGAUCACCUUUAGUCAUUAGUCGCUGUUGGUACACGGUCACUGUCGACAUAAUUAGUUUGUGUAAUAUCAGUAAGCCCGGAGUCAUUCUGCAUUUCUGCUGAUAUUAUUAUUAUAUUUUAAAUUCCAAUUGCAGCCUUUAUGCUUGUUUUAUAAAAUUGGAAAUAAUUAGUUCAUAGUCUGGGAUAGUAUGUCCCUUGGUAUUGUACUAUGGUUUGAUACAUUUGUCUAUUUCUGGUAGUGGAGUGGACUGUUCCAGGAAUAGAUAAUAUCAUAUGAAUACUAAGCUGGCGUCUGAAUCUUGAUGCCUAAUAACAUUUCAGCAUCAAAUUAUUUUGCUUUUGCUGAAGUGGAGGUUAGUUGGAUCUACUUGUUCAUUACAAGAUGAACUUUUAAACUUCCAAAAUUGGGGCUGAGUACUUACUUAUGAGGCUUAUACUUGUCCAUUCACUAAUUGGUCAGGUUGGUGCAAAUCAGAACUCAGGAGAGCUGAUGCCUGAUGGUGAGUUCAUAAGGUCAGGGUGUCCUUAUAUUUACUAUUGCUUUAGUUUCUAGGAUUUGAGUCUUGCUAAAGUGGGUUGCCCAUGUCAUUUCACGAUCCUUAGAAUCUAAUAGUCGCGUUUGAAGUGUGUGAUCUAUAGAUAAUGCACUUGAGAUUUGGGGAUAGUUUCACUUAUUUAUAAAUUUGAUUAGUUUCUAGACUUUAGCAUAUAAUUGGUGAAGUUUUAGAUGGUGCAUUCUCCCAAUAUUACAUUUACUGAUUUACAUUCUUAAUUGGGAAAUUGGCUGUAAUCUUUGCUUUGUUAUUUGACUGAUCUGCGGCUGCUAAUUGUAGUUUUAUAUGGGGUUAUAUUUUUAUUGUUCUCGUUAUAAAUUGACAUUCUUUAGAACGUUUUUUUAUUUUUUAAAAUCUCAAAUUGCUUCUUUUGCAGAAGAUAAAAAUAAACUGAUCAACUCACAUUUUUCCUUUAUUUUUUGAAUAAAAAUGAGGGUAAUUUGAGAUUUUGAAAAGUGAUGAUUUGAAGAUAGUUAAGUCUCACAAUUUAUGUUUUAUUCUUUUCUUUUUCUAUAUUGCAAUCUUAUUGGACUGAUUUUGUUCAAAGUUGUGCAAAAGAAGAUUAGGUUGAUUAGCAUUCCUAAUCAAACUACUCUUCUUACUCAAUUGUGCUACUCUUGACCUUUUGCAUUUGCCUAGAGGGUAGCCAACUUGUCUUGAGUUCAUCACGCCUGAUUUUAGCCCAUAACGCUGCCAAAGCGUCCUCACAUGGUGGACUCGUUGGAACUUGGAACUAGGAAACAUGGAAUUAGUAAGUUCCUGCCACGCGUCCAAUGAUGCCCAAGUCUAAUCUCAACAAAAUUUCCGCCGUCGAUUGUAAUUGUAUUAGGAAUCUGGUCCACUCUAUCCUACAUGCCAACCCAUCCAUCAACACGUAGCCCAUACCUUAGAAAAGGAAAAUGAAUCCAACGGCCUACAAACCGCCCAUAGGACCAGCUGUGCUCGUUAGAUCGAGAUUAGAAUCAAAACUAUUUUUCUCAUGGCAGCCAAGUUAGCAAAUAUCAACACUUCCUAUUUGUUUAAAAAGCGCAAUCCAAAGUCUCUCCAAAGAAGCCAAAAGAAAAAAAGAACUCACCGUAUAUGACUUUCUUCUCAAAUUUAGCCCGACUUUACUUGAUCACUCCCAAGGUUAUUUUCGUACUUGCAUAAAAAUUCACUUCAGCACAUCACUUUUUUCACUUUUUCCUUAACACUCUACUUGACUGUAUUAAAUUUCAUUUUUAUUUCACAUGUUAUGUCCAGUUAAUUGAUGUGUUGUUAUGUGUGUAUUGUUUGUUAGGAAUUCUGAGAAUUCAAGUGCCAUGAGAGGCCAAAGCAACGGUGGUGUGAGAGGUUUUGCUUCACCAGAUAGGGGUGCGCACGAUAAGAGAGGUACCCGUCACAACAAUCACAACCACCACAACAAUGAUUAUAACAAAUCAGGGGCAUCAUCGGAAACAGCUCAUGAUAGCAAGAAAGGUGGAUCCUCUUCCGCUAGUGGCGAGGCGGCGCCACCCGUGUGGCCCCCGAAAUUUGUGAUUGCUUUAACCAACAAAGAGAAAGAGGAAGAUUUCAUGGCCAUUAAAGGGUCUAAGCUGCCACAGAGACCCAAAAAGAGAGCAAAGUUUAUUCAACGCACAGUCAAUGUAAGCUUUUCUUAUUCUUUCCUUGUUUAAUCCUUCAUGAUAUCUAGACUUAUCUACGAUGUUGUUUUAGUUAUUUUAGAAUUUAGAUUUAACGAAUUUGAUUCUAGUUGCAAUUUAAUUAUCGUGAAUAAUCAUCUGUAGGAAUAUUUUAUUGGGGUACAACAUUUAGGAGCACAAGGUACAAUAGAUCUCUUGCGGCCUUUUGAUGAUAUUUUGGGAUGGGACACGGUUUUUAAGAAUGUAGCUGUUACUACAAAUAUGGUUGCUGGGUCGGACCCUGAUUUAUGUGAAACUAUGAUCUACUUUAUUAUUAUUUUUUUAUUAGUCUUCAAUUUUUGUUUUCGCUUAAAAAUAGGGCUGUGUGUAAAGUGACCAGUGAGAUAUACAUGUCCACGUGUCGGUAAAGGCGUGGACGUGUACCUAAAAAUGACCUGUAGUAACGUUAGCCUCCCAGUGACCGAGUCCUGGUUUGGGUGCGGGAUGUAGAAUAAAUUAACAAAAAUCUGGGGUGGGAAUAUUACCCUUGCCCGAGUUUUGUGCUUUGAUAAUCAAAUUUCUCUUGAUUUAGUCGGAAAAUUCCAUUAAAGUAAUGGUACAUAUUUUAAAUCUUUUGUUUUUAAAAAUUAUUCUAAAUAAUGUGGCAUUCCGUAAUGCAGUAAUUCAUACUUUACUUCGUGGGGGAGAUAAUUGAAUAACAAGAGACAAUUGAGUUGUCAUUAAGUUUUUUCUGUUUUUGAUUUUUUUUAUGUUUAUGUUCCAAUUUAUCAAAAUCAAAUAUUCUUACGACCAAUAAGAGUUACUUAAGUCAAGAUUUUACCGUAAGAGAUUAUCACGGUAAUACCGCAAUUUUGAAUUUAUUUUACUUUUCUUGGCUACGGGGAGUUCUUUUUUUUUUUUUUUAAAGAAAGCGUUGAAAAUGUUGGAUAUGUGGAAAUGAGUAAUAAUAGAGUUAUAAUUACCUUCUAUAAGUAAGUGUAUAUAAAUCGAAGUGACGUGACGGAAUUAGUUAUAUAAAAUUAUUAUGGGUUUAUAUAAUUAAAAAUUAAUUAUUAUUAUUAUUAUUUUUAGCUAAUUUUUAUCCGUCAUUAAUUUGUAUAAAUUAUAAAAUCAUUCGUGGGUUUAUCAUUUUACAAGAAUAUGAGGGGGUAACAGAAGGAUAAUUUUUAAAAACGUUUGAGCUUGUUGCAAGUAGAUGGCGAGAAUUAGUUUAUUUGUAAAAAAUCUCCUACCGUCAAUUAAUUUUAAUAUUGACCGUUAGUUGACUGUGCAAAGACAAUAUUAUCCUUAACAAUAGUUUGUAGACGGAAAUAACUAAAAAAAAAUUAAAAUUAUUGGUUAUUUUACACUCUUUAAAUUAUUGAUAUUUUUUUAAAGUUUCUACAAAAAAGAUAAAAUUAAAAACUUGAAAAAUUUUCUUUAAAUUAUUGAUAUUUUCUUAAAGUUCCUACAAGAAAGAUAAAAUUAAAAACUUGAAAAUGAAAUAGUCAUAAUCUUUACUUAUGAUAUUAUAAAUCUUUGGAAUUGACAAGGAUAAUAUUGUUAAAAAUAGGGUUUGUGCUUUUCGCGCCAAUAAUUUUAAUUUUUUUUUUAGUUAUGUCAGUCUAAAAACUAUUGUUAAGGGUAAUAUUAUCUUUGUACAGUCAACUAACGGUCAAUGUUAAAAUUAACUGACAGUAGGAGAUUUUUUACAAAUAAAUGAAUUUUUGUCAUCUACUUACAACAAAUUUAAACCUCAAGGAAAGUUUUUAAAAAUUAUCCGGUAACAGAAUGCCUUAAACGUGGUACGUGGGGUCAACAAGGACGUGGUAGUACAGAGCUGGAAACUGUAUUUUUCUCUUGGUUUUAACUUUUAAACAUUAUGAGUGUCUCAGAUUGAGAUGGAGGGAUCAAUCUGCAACACGUGUACGAUGGCGAUUCAAUAGACAACACAAACUUAUCAACGAAGUAAGGUCCAAAUACUCACCAAAGGUAAUAAUAUUCUUCGUAAAAGUUUAACCGACGGAAGCGGAUGGGCCCUUUGCCCAUUAUUGUGGGGCAUUUCCGUAAUAUGGACAUUGCUUUUUGGUGAAUUAACUUUUCUUGUCUCUAAUAGUUUUUAAUGAUUAAUUUUCUCUUUAUUGAAAUAAUAUUUAAGAAUAAUUUAUAAUAAACAAUGGAGGUGGUUUCGUGACUCUUGUAGUGGUCCUCCAGGCUGGACCACACUGACAGUGCGUGGAGAGCAAAGAUUGCACGUAGUUUUUCGUCCAUAACUUUCUUAAACGCACGACUUGUAGACGAUUCUUUUUGCAAGUAGUUUUUUUCUUUUUGAGGUUGCAAGUAUCUUCUUGCUUAUGGUGGAAUUAUUUUUUUUUACAAAUUAAUUGAAAUCAUAACUGUUUUAAAAAAGCACAGGAAUCUCUCUUUAUUGCAUCCCAAUCAAAAUCAAAAUCUGAAAUUAAAGGCCAAAGUUGCAUUGAGUUUAUGUUUUUCUUUGCAGCUGGUAAGUCCCGGUGCAUGGCUAUGUGACCUGACCCUUGAACGUUAUGAAGUUAGAGAGAAGAAAAUCUCCAAGAAGGUACUUUUUGUAUUACAACUCCCCAAUUGGAGAAGCAUUUACAUUAAAAAUUAAUGGAGCAUAAUGUUUGUAUCGGGGAUCUAAUCUGAUGCAGAGACCGAGAGGAUUGAAGGCUAUGGGUAACAUGGACUCAGACUCAGAGUAGAGGAAGAGGAAGAUGAAUAGCUGUUGAUAGCUGUUGUUUUUUGUUUGUUGAGAAUAUGACAAAAUGUUGCUACCCUGUAAAUCGUUACCUUUCGUCCCUCCCUCUGAGAUGAAUGAAAGGAUAAAAUUUUAGCCAUAUCUUCUCUCUUCUCUCUUCUCUCUUUCUCUCUUCUCUCUUCUCUCUCUCGGUUAUUUUAUUAUUAUUAUUAUUAUAGAGGCAUCAGGCAUCAACACCUGUUUUUGUUUUGCUUAUAUUUUUCUUUUGUUUCAGCUUUAUUUAGGUGCUGGUUGACUGAGCUGGUCACGCUUUAGGCCCAGUAGUGGGCUACGUCCAUUUUGCUGGUUAACAAGUUAAAAGCUACUUUACCAACUUGGUAUAACCUGUCUAAAGUGGGAGUGACGAAUGUGCCACUAGCUUUGCUUAUAGACAAAGCAAGGCUAUUUUCGCACAUUACAAGAUGGUUGAGCUGAAGUUCAUGAAUAAGCUCAUUGGCUACUGGACAAAUAUGGAGUACUAAUAUAAAUUAUUUCUGCACAUUUUAUUGUGCAAAUUAAUACGAAGAGACCUACAUCAAUUAUUUUUUAAGUUAAAAAAUAAUCAAUUGCACAAAGCGUGCAACAAUAAUAUAAAGGGUUUCGAUUAUGUUGGAGUUUACUUACAGUGGUGUGUGAACUUCAGUCAUACAAUAAUAUAUAAGAGUUUGAUUAUGUUGGAGUUCACUUACGGUAGAGCGCGAAUCUCAAUCAUACAAGGAAAGUGAUGAAUAAUAAAAAAUGAGUUAUUUUUUUAUUAUUUAUUAUUUUACGUGUAAUUAAAAUUCGUAUUUUACCGUAGGUGAAUUCCAACAUAUCAAUAACCUAAUAUAAAAUGUCAUCUCAAACUGUAUUAAUGGAAUAAUUAGUGCUUGUUAAAGAGUUUAUAUUUCUAGAAUUUUUGAUUUAGUAUAUAAUUAUGUAGGGCAAAGCAAACGGGAAUCAACAAUUACGUGGUAGGGUCCACAAACCAACUAUAAUAUUCGUACAAGCUAAGCAAAUGUUGGGGAACUCCAGGUGGGGGGUUGGGUGGGGGCGAAUGAAAAGGGAGAACAACCUCAGCUCACCGGUCAAAUAAUACGUUGCAAAUCACGCUUAGCCAUUGAUUACAAAAGGAUGGUUGGGCCGAAUGAGUCAAUUUCGCAAAGACUGCCUUGUCCAACAUAAACUUUUCGAAAAUCAUCAUUCUGGCGACUUCUUCCAAGGCAUCGCCAAGUGUAAUGAUAUACCCCUAUAAACCAACAAAUUGAAUCAUUGCACAUUUGAUCCCCCUGUUGUUUUCUGUUUCACGAAGGUGCCACAGACCCGAUGACUUGGACUUGGAAUAAUUAAAAAAAGGCCAAAAAAAAAAAAAAUGUUCCUGUUGGUCAUGUUAAAGGCACAGAUUCCCCUUCUCCUCCAAUUCUCUCAUUCAUUGUCCUUUCGCACAAUUGCACAUGGGAAUGGGAGUGCAGAAGCCAAGGAGUAAGCGUGUCAGCUGUGCCUUGCCACUUGGGACUUUUUUGUUUAGGGAAGAUACGAAUUACUGUUUACAAGUGCAUUACUUUUACUUAUCAUCGAUUCUUGUGGGAAAUGUAUUUCCUCUUCUGUCGUCCGGCGAACGCGAUUCGAGUGAAAUAAAAUUAAAUUGAUUUACAUAAAAAAAUUAAAAGAAAAGCGGAUAGUGAAUGAUAUAUAACAUAACAACAAAAGGAAUAGCUUAAUAUAUACUGAUAAUAAUCAUAAGUCUCCAAAAUAACAAACAUAAAUCAAAUCAUAUCAUCACAUCUCCGUGAGCUACAAAGCAUAACUGAUAACUCUCUCUCAUUAUAAAAUUUAUAUGUAAUAAGACUCACUCCCUAAAAGACUAAAAACCCAGUGGAUCCGCCGCUACUAAGCCCACAUAACGUCUAAACAACGCAAAAAAAGAAAAAAAAAUGAAGAAACCACUCUACACACCCAAUAAGCUAGUGACACGUAAUCAGAUAGAGAACCGGCCUCUUAAACCCUGAGAACUGAGCCGAACACCAGAGCGGAAAGGAGAGCGACACCAGCGGCGGCUAAGGAAGGCGAGAUCGAGCCGGCUCCGGAAGCGGGAGCUGGAGCGGGAGAGAGAUCUUGAGCCGACCCUGCGAGAACCAAGGCGGCCAGGACAACGGCCAUCAUCAGCGUAGCCAUUGAAGCCUUUGAGAAUGCCAUUAUUGAAGCCUUUUUUUCUCAGGGUUUUUGAGAGCGUAACCGAAGGAAGCUGAGAGAGAUUCUUUUUCCUGUGUCUGUAUGUGGGAAGUGUUAGUAUUUAAGACAUGAGAAGAAAAUAGUGAGGUUUAUUUAUAGACUGAAAAGUGUGGACGGGAAGAGAGAAUUUCGGGCAGCGGCCCGGAUUUUUCCAGUCUGUCUAUUGGUUUCUUGACAGCUAUGUUUAUUUGUGGGGCCCAGUUAAUUAUAAUUUCACGCGACCGUUUAGGGUAUCGAACGGCGAAGCGACGUCGUGUCGGUUCACGAGUGUGACUUACGCCGAGGAAAUAAUUGAUUCUUUGGGAUUGGGAAAAAUUUGAGCAAAGUAAAAUUACGGAAACAGCAGCGAAUUAUAAUAUCGCAGUCUGUGAUAAACUUGAUAACUAUCUACUUGAAUUGAUAGGACAUAUAAAAAGAACAUUGUAUUAUUUAAAGGAUUGAAUAAUUUAAUUGAUAAAAAUCUCUUACCGCUAAGUUUGGAGAUCCAUUUGCACUCAAAUUUGGUGGAGGAAAAUUUUGAUUUCAGUUGUGUUAUGUUAUUAACAAAAAUUAUUGUUCAAAAAAUGCCUUUUUGUAGCUGCAAUAAAUGAGAAAAUUUUAAAGUACUUUUUUUUUAUUAUUUAUAUAAAUUGAACGAAAUCUUGGUGUGAUUAUUUUGUAAAUUCUCGAGAACUUUUGGGGUGGGGUGGGGGAUUUUGUGUAUGAAUGUAUGAUGAGUUCAUUGAAGAGGCGAAUGUUUAAUGGUGGGAUUGAUGAUUAGGGAUCAGUGAUGGUGCAGUUGAUUCCGCUACAAAGAUUUUUGUAAGCGCCCACAGACAGCCCACGUGGGAUGCGGUGGCUCGACCAUUAGGAGGAGGACGCGUGGAGACGUGGAAGGGCACGGGCUUUUUUAAUAUUCGAAUUUUGAAUUUGAAUAAUCGGAUGUGGACCUGUGGACAGUAUGAAAUGAUCGUGAAUUUUGUGGGUUUCCAGAACUUUCCGUUUGGCGUGUGCGACUGUGUGUUCAUUGGCAGGCACAUGUAGGAGUGUUACGAAGUUUACGCGUUAAACGUAUGCGGAAAGAAAAUGGUUUAACUUUGGGUAAAUGUUUAAAAAAGGAAAUUUCAAUCAACGCUUCUUCUUCUUCUUCUUUUUUUUUUUUUUAUUCCAUAAAAGAAGAUCUUUAAUUUCUGUAAUUAUAUCAUAAUUGAGUCCAAGAAGAUCUGGCUGCAUUGUUGUAAUUUUAUUUAGUUAACCAUAUAAAUUUGAGUCCCGAAGUUAAAAACUUAAUUUUAAUUUUAACUGCUCUUCCAUCUUCUUUUUGUUUUUGUUUUUGUUUUUAAAUGAUCAUGAAACACCUCUUCUCAUUAAUUAAUGUAGAAAAAAAAAGGUUUCAACCACUCCUACGUAUAUUAGCAUGAUUUCUUUUUUAAAUAUUAUUUGAUUGGUAUCAUUGCAAAGUUAAUUUAGAUUCAGUAGUUUAUUUUGGCUAAAACAUCAUAUAUUUAAGAUGCAUCAUCAGAAAAUUGAUUUAGAGUCACCUAAUUUUGAGCUCAAAUAUUAUAUAUUUGCACUCACAAUCAUAUAAUUGGUUUAGAUUUAAUCUGUUUUAAGCUCAAAUAUGUAGCUAUCACAUAAAUAAUUUAGAAUGUUACAAUAUUCUAAGGGCGUGGUCGGGUUAAUUAUAGUGCAGUUGUAGCCUCUACCAAAAUCCGGGUUCGAUUCUUAGAGAUCAAGAUUAUGUUUAGGCUCGCCCACCUCCUCUUACUUUAAAAAAAAAAAAUUUAGAAGGUUACUAAUAUUUUUUUAAUUAUAAAUAUCAAUAUAUAUUGUAAUGUAAUAUUCUUUUUUUUUUUAAAAAAAAAAGGUCAGGUAGAAUUGAUCUCCCUCAUACCAAAUUUUGUAAAAAAUAAUUUAGGUUAUGCCGAUUCAUAAGAUGAGGGGUUCAUAUAGUUUAGUUCAGUUGAUAAUUUUUUUUUUUUGGUUGAAAAAAGAGAUAUGAGAUUUAAAAUCAGUUUAGGUGAGCAAGGACGGUUUUGGGUUGUCACCGAGCUAAAUUAAAAAGGAUUAAUGAGAUGAGACGAGUGGUUUGUUAAAAAGAAUAGUGCCACAUAUUAUAAAGUUUGUGUCAAAAAAAUUCAUCCUAUAAAAGAAGAGACACUCCUAAUAGGCAUGAAAAAAAAUACAAUAAAUCGUUUUAAAACAUAACUGUGACUAGAACAUCCCCUUGUGAAGAUAUAUUUUUUAUUUUUUUAAAAAAAAUUAUUUAAAUAUCUCUAAUGUUCAUGCAACAAAUACGAUGAAUAGUCACAAGGGCAGUCUAGAAAAAGGCAUUUACAAAUACACGGCGGGCCAACAAAGAAUCAUUCACCUUCUAAUCCUUCGAUGUCUGCUUGCAACUCAACUAAACUAACAGCAUUCCAAAAUCAGCAAGAAAACGAUUUAAGAACUUAUUUUGGAAUGCUAUUAGUUUUUAAGGAUUAAUGAGAUGAGAUGAGUGGUUUAUUAAAAAGAGUAGUACCACCUACUGUAAAGUUUAUGUCAAAAAAAUCCAUCCAAUAAAAGAAGAGACACUCGUAAUAUGCAUUAAAAAAAAACACACAAUAAAUCAUUUUAAAACAUAACGUGAAUCAAACAUCACCUUAUGAAGAUAUAUAUAUUUAAAUAUCUCAAAUGUUCAUGCAACAAAUGCGAUGAAUAGUCACGAGGGCGGUCGAGAAAAUGCGUUGACAAUUACACGACCGGCCAACAAAAAAAUCAUUCACCUUCUAAUCCUUCAGUGUCUGCUUGCAACUCAACUAAACUGAUAGCAAUUAGCAUACCAAAAUAAGCCAAAAAAAAAAAAAAAAAAGAUUUAAGAAUCUUAUUAUUUUACUCGUUAAUAUUGCUAAGCAUAUGGCAGCCCUGGGCGGCUGUGGAGUGCAGCCUGGCGUUGGAUUUGCUCACAGACAGGACCUGUAAGGCUGAAACAACACGGCAGCAACAAAGAAAGUAGUUUUAUUUACGUAAUACAAUUUUUUAUACCUUUAUUUUUUAUCUGCAUGAUUUAGUUCUUACACAGACGUGCUAACGAGAAUCAUCCAGUAGCUGGUGUCACUUGUCAACUACUCCUUAACUUAAAGAGCAUAUUUGGGAUUGUCAAGUAUUCCCAAAUUAGUGAUUAUUUGAGAAUUUGUUAUCACAUAUGGUUGGUUCGAGUUAUUCUCUCAGACAUAUCACACCAAUAAUCAUCAAAUAAGUGAGAAUCAAACAAAAUUUGAAAGCAAAUUCUCAAGUAAUUGGUUAGAUUGUAUGAAAAUUUGACUUGUGAAUAUCAAGUAACCUCAGAAUUAGAAUGACUGUAAUGUAUACAUUGGCAUUUACUAUUUACUAAUCACCAAUCAUAGCUUUCUAUUUGGCUCAAUGGCUGAGUGCAAAUCCAGAUGAGCAUGAAAUUCAAAUCAACUCAAAAACCGUUAGAGAAAACAAAAUAUCUUUGAAGUAGUUAUCACUUCAUUAUUAUCAGUAGGAUGAAAAUGAUCGAAGUUAAAAACGUCCAAAAUUAUUAAAUUCAUUUAUCUAACCUGAAUAAUGGACACAUAUACCACGUUGGCUGUCAUUCCUCUGUACAUACAAGAAUCUCACUGUAUCAUCAAAGAGGCUAAUCCUAUGUAACAGUCCUCUCAAUUCGUAUUAUGCAACACGUCUAUCCGAAAAGCUCCUAAUCAUCUUUCUUCCUCGGCUAUUACCAUUCAUUCAAAAGUCAACUCAAAAGGUAGACAAAUUUAUUUGUUAAAAGCCCAAAACUUUAGAUGAUAUAUUCAUCAGAGGUUGUAAAGCACUCGGUGCAAAUUUUCUUCCAAAGAGAAAGCAAACUGUAGAGGGCUGGUUAUUGUAUUUGCAAUGCUGACCUCCAUAAACUUUCUUGAAAAACUCCUCUGUUAUGUCGGCUCUUCCGAAUGUGGCUGGAUGAGCACCACCUCUCGACCAAUCAACCCAAGUGCUGCUUCUAUUUGCCAAGAGAUUUGGCAUUUGAAUAGAUAGCAUGGUGGGAAAAUAGUGUUCGUCCACAUAACAAGGUGGUCUACAGAAUUCCGCGAAUUUUGGAUAAUAUGUAGUAUCUUCCACAAUGUUGACUGCAAGCCUUCGGUUGAUUUCAAACCAUUGGGAUCCUUUGCGCCACUGGGUAAUGUUCACCACAGGUGCCAUGUUCGCAUUGUAGCGUCCUCUCCCAUAUGGUCCAGGGUCAUCAAAUGAACCCAUGAAACUAUGUUUGGAUUUCUUUAUGUAAUGGUAGAUGAGGGAGAAAUUAUAAAGAGGAAUGCAAGACUCAGAGACAAGAAUGAACCAUUCAUUGGAGAUAUCAAGCAAUGCAUUAGCAAGGAGUCUUCUCUCAGCAUCGCACAUGCUCAUUUUUCCCCAUUCAGAGAUCUGCAAAGGGAAGAUACAGAAGACAUUACAAUCUCCUCUAAAUUUUGGGAAAUAUUGUAUUCAAAGCUAUGUGCUAAAGUAAAUAGAAUAAGCAGAUAAAGCAUAACCAUCAAAGGCUUUCAGAAGAAUGCAAGACAGUUCCACUACCAAACACUUCACCUAGAACAUGUAAUGAUAACAUUUGGUAAAGGUAAUCAUAAAACCUGUUAUUUUCCAGGAUCAAAGGGUAUCAAGUAUCAAUUUUACAUUUGGGACAGGAUUAUGGUAGCUGCUUGUUGUUGAAAUGGCACUGUAGCAGAGCUAACCAAAUCAGAUCUCCAUUUCUUGGAGGAUUUGUAUCCUGUUCCAGUUACUACAAGGGGGCAACUCAAGAACAUACAUGUCUUCCUACUUGUCCAAUACAAAAACGUAGGGAGAAAAAAAAAAUCAAAUAAAACGCACUUCGUCGAGCCAAUAUACAUACAGACAGCUCAACCCUCCCCCUUGGUGUUUUGGGAUCCAAAAUUUUUCACCUCCACACGAUAUAUGGCAGUGGUUACCAGCCUUAGAUAAACUUACACUGUUGCAGUUCCCAACUUUCAAAAUUCAACCCAAAAAAUGACCGACUCUUAUUGUUGAUCAUUCACUCAAACCCAGUUUUGCUGGUGAAAGUUAUAAUGUAUGCCAUCAAAUUAAUUAGAAAAUGUUUGCCAAGUAACAUUCAAGAAUGCCACCAUGUCAUCUAUGGAUUGUCCGCUCCUGCUAGAUUCCUCGCAAUUUCUCAUGGACUCCAAUAAUCCGUAAGGCAAUCAGGGGAAAAAAAAAGGAGCAAAAUUUUAACUUGGCUAAGCAAAAACAGAAUAUAUUUAGUUUAUAAACAGAAUCUGUUAAUCAGCAUAUUCCUAUUCAACAGAGUAUUUCUAGACUUUGAUCGUGAAUCACCAUGCAUAUAAAAGUGAUGAUGCUAAAUGGGAACACUACUUUCUACUUUCAAACACCAAGAGCCUACAGAUGACUGAGAGGUCCUAAGAACUGAAGAUUGUUAAACAAAAUUCGGAAAGCUAUGCAAGCAUGCUAACACUAUAUAGAUCCUCAAAAGAAUAAUUCACAUUAUAGGUAAAAAAUAAAGUACUGCUCAUCAUCACUCAAGAGAAGAAGAUCAUAACUUACAUCGUCAUAUAAUCAAUAGUACAACAAAGAUGAUCAGAUGAAGUUUCCACCAGAAUUUUAAAUGAAUAAAUAAAACCUGCAAUAGAUAGAUAUAAUGUCAGGCAUACCUGACUUGGGAUUUGUCUGUUGUAAAAAACUGAUGAAGAUGGAAACUUGUUCUCGAAUGUUGGCAGAGAAUGAACAUAGAUAGAAUAUAGCCCUUCAUGCCCCUUGAAAAACUUCUCCCAAAGAGGUCCAAGAGGUAAUGGCCCCUUCGUCAAGAACAUAAAUGCAAUCUUUGGAACUCUCUUAAAGGGAUACUCCUUCACUCGAGGCACAAAUGAGGCCCUCCAAAAAAGCUCCUUAUCACUCAUUGUGUGCAUUAAAUUUGAUGGAGGAUUUAUCCAAUAAUCCAAACCAUUCGGUAGUUCAGGGCAUGCCACAAAACUGGACUUAACCGUUGUCACAACACUCUGGACUCCAAACCGACGAACUGAGUAUAUACUAAUCAACGAAAAGGCUAUACACAGAGCCAGAAACAAACCAAAUAACUGAAAUAAUCUCAGUGGCAAGGCCCUAAAUUGAUUUGUCUUGUUAACAACUGCAGGGUCUUUGCCUUCCUCUAGCGGAACAACCCUUGCUUGCAUCUUUAUAACUCUAAAUCAAAUCAAAAUUUCACCUUCUGCGUCAGAUCCAAAUCAACAUCCUAGCAUCAAAAGCACUACUAAGCCUCAAAAUACCAGCUAAUUUAUUCACCAGAGCUAGCAAAAAAAACAGCUUUUUUUAAAUAUUUGAAAUUUGUGGAAUUCAAUAUGUUUCAGCAAAACAACCCCACUUAGCAACAGUAACGAAAUUAGAUCUAGAGCUGACACUACAGUACUCAAAAAGCAAGUAUUAACAGAUAUAGCACAAUCAUCAGCUUUCACAGCACAUGGGUUUCUUGAAUAAGAAGCUCUUAGCAAAAAUCAAAAGUCCAGAUCGGACUACUUGAUAGUCUAUAGAUCAAACGAAACCAUUAACGUGAUUGGUGGGGUGAUGAAAAACAGUACACGAUGGUGAACGUUCAACAUACCAUGUAAAUUUGUUGGGGCUAUAUGAGGAAACAAAGUUUGAAGCUUUAGCUCGAAUUGCGCCACCAAAGAAGAGAAACAGAACGGUCAAAUAAAUGAACAAAGUUAGGCAAAGAAAAUAAGAGGAGAAAAAGAGAAAAGUCCUUGGGACGCCCAAAGAGAGAGAGAAAAGGAGGUCCAAGAAAGUGGGGAAUCAAGGAAAUUUUGAGUGUGUGUGUAUGUAUGUAUAUAUAUAUAUAUAUAUAUAUAUAUAUAUAUAUAUAUAUAUAUAUAUAUAUAUAUAUAUGGGACUUUGAAUUUGAGGAAAUCACAGAAUUGUAAUUAGGUGAAUUGUGAAAUGUGGAGAAUUCAAAGAAUGUUUUUUGAUUUAACACGUACAGUGGAAGUGUCUGCUUCGUCUUUUGUGGGUUAGCCGUCACCAUGUGAGAGGCGGUUUUUGCAAGGUAAUAAUACGGCAAUGUCUUGCUGUCAUUUUGUAACGUUUUGGAAAACAAAUUUACCCUGAUUCAUUUGCCUUGAUAGAUCCUUUUUUUUUUUUAACCUUUUUUUUUAUAACUUGAAAUAGAAUGAAAUUAGUCAAAAUUUAAAUUUGAAUGAUAUGUAAAUUUUUUUAAAAUUUUUAAAAAUAAAUAUUAAAUUAUUUGUUUUUUAAUUUUAAAAAACUGACAGCCUAUACUUUUACAUUUUUACCCUUACUAAAUUUAAAUGUUGAAUAAAUAAUAUAUUUUUAAAAGAACUUAAAUAUGAUAAUAACAUUAUCUUUUUUUUUAAAAAAGGAUAAUAACAUUAUCUAAAUCAUCUUCAAGUAAAUGAUUUAUGAAAUCAUUCACUUGGCAUAGGGUUGUUCUAACUUAACCAAUGUUUUUUAUUCGAAUCUUGAAAAUGCAGUUGCGUUAAAUACUUAUUGGAAGAGCUUUGACGCCCUAGUGGUCUUACCCAGCUCGAAUUUGAAUUAGUCGAGACCUAAUGUAGUUUCGGAUACCAAAUAGUUUAAUACACGAAAAAAAAAAUUUAUAAAAUUAUAAUAUAAAAAGUUCUUUAAAAUUAUCACAAGUUCACAAUGCUAGUGCGUAAUAUAAGAAAAAACUAACAAGAUACUUGGGAAGUAAAAAAAAAGAAAGAAAAAACUGAACAAAAAUUCUACAAGAAAAGACUGUCAAUGGAAUCAAUUAUGGACUAUCAAAGGCCAUAAAGGAGAUUCAAGAAAUCCUUCGCGUGAAUGUUGUGUCUCAUCAUGAAAAGUAUCUUGCCUUGCCAUCUAUGGUAGGGAAAAACAAAAGACAAUUCUUCAAGUCGAUCAAGCUUCGAGUGCUCAACAAAUUAAAAGGAUGGAAGGCCAGGCUCUUCUCAAGCGGUGGGAAGGAAGUAUUGUUAAAGGCUGUCAUUCAAGCCACUCCUGUUUAUGCUAUGGGCGUUUUCAAGUUGCCAAAAUGCUUAUGCGAGGACCUACAGCGUUGCAUCACAAAUUGUUGGUCGGCCAACUAUGAUGACUCUAAAUGCAUUCACUGGCUUUCUUGGAAGAAUCUUUGCAAGCCAAGGAAGGACGGGGGGCAUGAGAUUUAGAUAUUUAGGUCCUGUUUGUGAUUGAAGUAUGCUGUUAAAAAAAAUUAUAGUUAUAUUAUAAAAAUUAAUAAUAUGUAGUAAAUAUAAAUUUUAAAUAAUAAUUUUGACAAAAUUAUUAAAGAUAUAAUAGAUUUUAUAUUAUACAAGUGAAAAAUCAUAUCAAUCUAAUUUUUAACUUAUAGCAGUUAGUAUUUACUGAACACUUUAGUGCUGUAGCUUAACCUCAAUCUCAAACGCGCUCUUAAGUUCCUUUAAUUAAGCGCUCUUGGCCAAGCAAUGUUGGGGAAUACUACAAGCACCUGAGUCUCUUUUGGCCAAAGUUCUUAAAGCUAGGUACUUUUCCAACACAAACUUCCUAAGUAGCAAAAUCAAAAGCGGCUCAUCUUUUGUAUGGAAGAGUACUCUAUGGGGCCGUGAAGCUAUCAACACUGGCUCAAGAUGGAGGGUUGGCGCUGGUAGGAGCAUAUUUAUUUAUAGAGAUAAUUGGAUGCCAAGUCCAUUAUCUUUUAAACCUAUAUCCCUGAAGACAUGCAUUGCCGAGUGAUUCUAAAGUUUCAGACCUGUUAAUAAAUGGUAACGAAUGGAAUGAGCAGCUAAUAAAGUAAUUCUUAAAAGGAGUCCCCUUGCCACGAGUCCCUACUAAUGACAUUUUAGUGUGGCGUUAUGAAAAAAAGGAGGAUUUUACACAGUUAAGAGUGGUUAUCAAGUGUCCCUUAUUCUCACUCAUCCUAAUUCCCCUUCAAGUUCAUUUGGCUCCGCUAAUUGGUGGUAUCCCUCUUGGCUUUUAACCAUUCCAUCUAAAGUCAAGAUCUUUUUCUGAAGAGCUCUACGCAAUAUACUCCCUACAUCAAAUAAUCUUUUUCAACGAAGGGUAGUGGAUUCCCCACAUUGUCAACGAUGUUACAGUGCUGUUGAGGACACCUUUCAUGUGCUAGUUAGCUGUAAGUUUGCGAUGAAGGUGUGGAAGUUGUCAACUAUGGCUGCUCACGUCACGAAUAGCCCUAAUAUGGAUUUUGCAUUUUUUUUGCUAAGAAUUUGGAAUCUUCGCUGUCAAAAGAGGACUACUAAUCUUUUGUGAUGAUUGCAUGGUCUAUUUGGCACUCUAGGAACAUAGCGCUCUAUCAACAUCAGAUGAUGGAUCCACAAAAUAUUCUUUGUGGCUGAAGCUGUUUUGAAUUCGACACUGCUACUCAAGGCUCCCCAAUUCAAGAGCUAUCGGUCUGUCCAACCGAGACGGAUGUUGGUUGGAUUCCACCAGAGACUCAUUGGUACAAAAUGAACGUUGAUGCAAACACUGACAUCUCUAAUGGAAUUACAAGUUUGGGUGCAAUAAAAAGAAAUUCCAAGGGAGAUUUCAUGGCUGCCUCAGCUCGCAAGAAAUCUUUUCUUGGUGACGUUGAGAUUACAGAUGCUGAGGUUGUCCUACAAUGCAUCAAGCUGGCGACAGAUUCGGACUUCUCUCCCUUGAUUGUCGAAUCUGACUCGGCAAAUGUUGUUCUUGUUGCAAAAAUAGUAUAUCGAUAUGCUACUUCGAUGGCACAUUUUGAGUGGGUUCCACGUAGCGAAUGUGGAAAAUCUUGUGAGGUUUGGAUUCUACUCCAUGAAAACUUCGAAAGUGUAUAUUUAUGUACUUAAAAUGGUGCUUGGCUGAAUGACAAAUUGUCUCUCAAAGUGCACUCUUGAAGUUGAAAAUUUGAAAGGAAAUGAGUUUUAUCCCACAAGGGAAAAUAAGUCAAGGGAUUUGUGUUUAUAUAUACACUUACCCAUGCAUGAGUAAGAAUUAUAAGGAUAGAGGUUUUCUCCACACGCGCAUGCGCCGGGGGAGGGGGUGUUGUAAAUUCUAGACUUAUUUGGUUAAAUUUGUGUGCGUCCGUGCGUCCUGCGCACGCGAAUAUCAGUCCAAAAUCACCCAAACUUGCAUGUCAAACAAGUUUUUAGAAAUUGUAAUACGCCCAUUAAUUAGCGAAAUUGACACUCUCUGUUAUUAACGAUCUUUGUUUGGUUGGAAGACCCUCUCGCAGACAUUGUGGUACACAUGUAAACUUUGUAUUUGUCCAGCAAGGAAAUGUUUUAAAAAAAAUAAAAAUUGUCGACUAUCAAAGGAACCGAUUCACUCUUAAACUUACAGUACACAAUAUUACAUGCCAAAUUAUGACUAAUUAUGCCUAAUGCAUUAAUAUCCUUUCACAACGGUGAAAUCUGAAGGCCCAAAAAUAUUGUCACUUGUUCAAGCCAAAAUAUUGAGGCCAGAUAAGCACCCUAAGGUCAAUAAAUAAUUAACGAAAUCAUACUAGCUUUCUAAUAAAAUCUAUCGAAAGUAAUAUAAAUUGAAAAAUGAUGGAGCACUUUUUAACCCUAAAGGCCUAAACUCAAAUUCACACCUUUAAGAAUGAAUUAAAAUCUAAUUAAAAAAAAGAUUUUAUAAAAAAAGAUUAUAUAAGGAUGAGUUUAUUAGUUGUACAUGGGUGACUUUUUUGAUAAAUAUAGAAAAUAAAUAAUUAAAUAGAGAUAUUUUUGACAUUAGAAUUUUAGUCGGUUUAUGCAGAAUUUUUAAUUUAGUAAAACGUAAAAAAAGAGGCUUAUUUUAUUCCAUCAAAAUUAUCUAAAAACCUCAUUAAAUCAUAAAAAUAACCAUCUUUAAUUGACUUAAUUAAUUAAGUUGUCAUUUAAUUAGAAAAAGAUACACCCCUUAGUUUUUAAUUCAAUUCGUAAUUAAACAGGAUACGUCUCUGUCAUUUGUGCACAAUUAAUAACAAUGCUUAUCCAGAAUCCUUUUAAUCGGCCUUUAAAUUGAAUAAGAAGAUGUUUGGAAGAAUUUUUUUAUCUCUAUCAUAAAUUGUGAGCAAGAAGAGAGGGCAUAUAACAACUAAGAGAAAAUAAGUACAAAGCACGAAAACCAGCUCUGCACUUUUUUCUAGUUCUUUCAGAUUCUGCACUCCGUUUAUUCCCCUCCCAUGUCAUGAAGAGAUGGGUCUUUUUCUCUUCUUCUUUUUUUUUUUUUUCCUAAUAUAAUUUCUAAAAGAAUUUAUGAACAAACAGGUAUUUAUAUGCACAAUUAAUCACGAGUCGCACAAACCAGUGAUUCCUGGCCACGAUCGUGCGAUAUUACGACAUUGCUGAUUUUUUUUCUUUUCUUUUCGUUGUGAGUAAUUAACAUAUAGGGCCCACCAACCACUGCAUCCCGAGAUUGCGUGCCAAAAUCAUGUAAAUUGAUUUUGGAAGUUUCGGAGCUAAGUACGCGUAGCAUUAUUACUGGAGAACAUUCAGCCUUCAAUGCUACGAGAAUUCUCGGGUUGUUGCACAUUGAUUUUGGAAGGUUGGUGCGCAGAAUGCCAUAGAAAAAGCUCACGCAACUCAGGUAAUUAUUUUUCCACGUGGCAGCUACAUGGAAAAUGAACGGGCACAGACUCCUAAAGUGCCACUAAAAUACAGUCGUAAUAGAUUAUACAAGCAAACGAAAGUUUUAAGAAAAAUGAAGUAUCAUUUCCGCAGCCCCUGCACAGAUUAGGGGAACUGCAAAGACAUGCUUUGACAAGAACAAAUCUCGAUUUCAAUCAUUCAGAAUAUUGACAUGCUGCACAAGAAAUUGAAUUCAUAUAUUUUCUGACCAAUGGUGAGUUGCAUCCCAUGGAUGCACUCCAUCAGCAGAACUGUCAACACACCAUGAUAUUUGUAUCCAGAAGACAAACUUUCCUAAAAAACACAACAUCAUUUAGCGAGCCAUUAAUCAGUUGACUGCUGUUAUGACAGCACUUUAUGCACGUAAUCAGAAGUAGACAUAUUUCGUCAAGCAACUCCCAUACAUUGCAUACUACAUGUAAUCCAGUCAAAUGUUUCUACCUCAUUCACAAGGAACAGUUAGGGCGUAUGUACCAAGAGAAGAGCUUUACUUCAGUGCUUCACCACUUCAAACUUGAAGCGGAGGUUGGAAAUCAUAACCGGGCACUCUCCUUUCUCAUCGUACUCGGCAUAGUCCCCUCCUGACAAGUCAAUGUCUUCAUACUGAGUCCCAGCAAGCUACACAAACAACUUACAGUUAGUUCGACAAAGCAAAACCAGAACAAAUAGAAUUUCUUUUUUUGGGGUCAUAGAGAAUUUUUCCUCAUAUUAAUCUCAGAUUAACGAGAUUAAUUUGACUCAUCAUCAUCGCACAAAUAAAAGAUGGCUUUAGUAACAACAAAUGUCUAUGAGGAUAGAAGCAAAAUGUGCAACAAGAAAAAGCAUCAACAGUAAUUAGAAGAAGAUAUAUUGAUGAUGAAUCUUCUUAGCUGCGGCAAAACAUUAACCCAAAAAGUACCAAGUGCAUUUACAGCUGUCUGCAUGGGAAUGAGAUAGUUAGGAGCACAGUAGAAAAAGAGGAGAAACAUGUGUAAUGCAUUCGCCUGUUCUUAUCGAAUGAAUGCAAGUUACACUUCAUCCAGCUCAUCUUUAAUACAGUUAGUAAGCAAAUAGAAUCUUCAAACAAGGUUUCCAUUCCAAAGUCUGCCCACCCUUCGCCAUUCAAGUCAAGAGUAAGCCGAUAGGAGACUGAGAGAGCAAAAAUCUAUUGUCAUGCUCUCCACCUAAAUAGAGAGGCAGAAACCAUAAAGGCUAAACUAGAGCAAAUAAUCAAACAAUAUGCUAACACAUUAAAGAAAAAGCUGGAAAGAAUUUGUAAACUAAAGAGCUCAAUGUUGAAAAUAUUCACAACCGUGAAAUGCAUAAAAAAGGAUAAGAUGUAUCUUAAAUGAAGAUGGUCAUGCAUAAUCAUAAAUACGAACACUCAACUUGCGCUCUGAUAACACAAUGCAGUGCUCACAAGUCAUUUCCAUCCACCACUUGAAAUAUGUCUAAUGUUUAGUGUUCAAAAACUAUGGGGAAAGGGCAAGAAUAGAAACUUACAGAUUCAACUUUCCAUCCAACACCAAAGACGAAAUCCACAGGCUCAUAACCCCUGCAGUCGAAUAACAUCAAGGGGCUAAAACCCCCAGAUUGAGCAGCUUCCUGGGUCAGUGGUUUACCCCGGCCUGGGAUCAUAGUAACAGUUCCUUCUCUCCCACAAAAUUUGCACUGUGAAGAAAGAUAUGGAGCCAGAAAAUCACCAACAACCAGAACACAGUCAUUUUAUAAAUAGAGUGAAAAAGUUUCAUCUGUAAUAUGUCACAGCAACACUUGAAAAUACAGACAAUAUGUCACGGUCAUUUAUACUACAAGUCUCUAACAGAUUAAUCUACCCAAGAAACUUGAAAAUAUGCAAGAAAUCCAUAGUACCAGAUCCUCAUUCCCACACCUUCAAAGUAAUUACUCAAGCUCAACCAAAGAAACUUAAUAAUUCUUUUUCCAUUCUAAAUCCAAGGCAUCAAAAAGCAUAUAUAGGUCAUUGAACAGAAAAAAAAUACAAUUUAUACUAGAAGUCCCAAGAAAAACUAUAUCUUGAAAGCUUGUCGCAUGCAAGCAAUUUUUACAAGAUAUCAAAAGAGCUGAAGAAUUACAUUCAAAUCAUAAAAAGAAAAGCUCUGAAGUUCACAAAGAAUCAUGAGGAUACAUUAUAGAGUUAUGUUCUAUCAUGAUUCCAUGAACUCGUUCACAACAACAGUAACAGAAAGGCCUUGGUUUUAAGUCCAAGAAAUUGAUUUGUUACACUAUGCUACUGCUAAACAUCUCCAGUUUGACUACAAACAAUAAUAUACAUCUAAGCUCAAAUGGCACCAAUUUUAACUAGCUUGAUGAAUAUAUAUAUUCAAUUAGGGAUCUCUGGUUGUAUUAAAGUUGGGAAUAAGCUAACAGACAAAAAAAAAACAGACUCCAGUGCAGUGUAUUUUGUUCCGUAUUGUGUUGAAAUUUGUGUUUUCUGUCAUUUAACUUAUCCCUAACGUUAAUAUGAUCAGGGAUCCCUGAUAGAAAACUCUCUCUCUCUCUCUCUCUCUCUCUCUCUAUAUAUAUAUAUAUAUAUAUAUAGAUAUAUGUGUGUGUGUGCGCGCGCAAUAGUGAUGUACUGCAACCUAUUUUAAUCUCCACUGCAAGUGUAUAUUACUUGAAACAAUUUACAUUAGCAAUAUCUGGUACAAGUAUCAUGACUACAGACCAUCUAAUUGCAUCAUUUAUCUAAAGAUAAAUGAUUAAAUGAAAUAUGUAACUUCACUAAACUAAGCCUGAGGUACCAGUAUAACAGCUUUUCCUUCACAGUUUGAUCAUUUGGUUAGAGCAUAUAUCUAUUUAAAGUCCUCGCAAUAAGACAAACAAGAUCACUCACAUUUUAAUACAUACACAAAGAGAGGAAGAGAGAGAGGUAUUACUUUUUGAAUGAGAUUUGUGGUUCCCUUGCCUCCUUGAGUAGGAAGAGUUUCAGCCAAGCUCACACAAGUUUCUUUCUGGCUUAGUUCUCCGCAUCCACACUUCAACUACACCUCACAAAAAAUAAACAGAUAAACAUCUAAUUCAGAGAGCAUUGCAAGAUUAAAAUUCAAUUCCAACAUUAACUAACUAGAAUCAACAAAACAAACAUAUAAUAUAAUUUGAUAAGAGUGAUAUACAAUGUUACUGAAAAUCAACUUAUAUGAACAUCCAUAAGCAUAUAUAAAUCAGAUCUGAAAAUAAUAUGAUGAGUGACAGAGAUUGAACUGAAUAUAAUCAUUAUACAUAAAAACACAAACAUACAUAACAGGAGACAACAAAUUUGAACACUUAGAAAAAGAAUCAAAACAAAAAAUCCAAAGCAAAACAAGGUGAAGAGCAUUACUAGAGAUCAUAGUCACAAUAAUCAUCUGUAUUUGAAAAUCAAGUAAAAUGAGUAACCUAAAACCAGAAACCUAAAAAUAAGUACUCGCAUUCAUUUGGUGUACGAGAGAGAGCAAUGAAAACAGAAAAGAAAAAUCCAUACCGAAAUUCAUCCAUUAUGUGAAGCAAAGCGAGCAGUGCAAGAAGUAAAUACGAAGUAAAGAAGAAUCAAGAGCGGCGAAACGGAGGUAAUACUGAGGGAGAGAAAGAGAGGGGACCUUGAAGAAGUAAGAGAAGUUAGGAUCGUCGCAGCCGCCUUGAGGUUGGAGAUUGGUGAGGUUCUCGAGAUCGGCGCUGAUCAUCAGCAUGCAAUUCACCAUUUUCGCUUAGCUUUCCAGUGCCAAAAUAUUCUCUCUCUAUUUUUUCAGCGUGCUGGAUGGACGGAUGGGUUGAGACUUGAGAGAGACAAGGUAAGUGCUCGCCGCUUCGAUCGAGGGAAUUCUAUUAUACGCGCGUGGCUUGGCGAAUGUUGCCCGCCCACGGAGAUUACAUCGAUACGAUAAUUGUUUUGAACGACAUGUCGUAUUUUUCUUGGAUGGUAAACAGACAAGACGUUUAUACUUGGUGAAAAUGCUACAAUUUUGUAAUCGGGAUUUGUAUGACCAACUAGGGUCGCAUAAAGUCAGUAGAGUUUGGUAUACAUGUACAAAUAAUUUGUUACGUGCUUUGUAUCUAAGCUGGAGAUAGUAUUAUGAUUUUAAAAAAAUUUUCAAACGAAAAAUUUUAACGAAAUCUUUCAAUUUUUUAUUUCAUUGUAUUUAACUCUAUAUAUUUCUCUAUUCGUAGAGUACAUUGAAUGUACAAAAAUAGUUAUAACAUAAUUCUUAUUAUUUGUAUUAACAGUUACUCUAUAAACAAUGUUGUUGUGAAGCUGUUAGUUUAAUUAUGUUACUAGUAUGCUGACGUGGCGAGCUGAGCUGGAGUGUGGGCCUGCUGUUAGUUAGAAGCCGUUAUUAUUAACGGUUGAUUCCAAAAACAGAGGCAUGCAUAUAUAAGGGUUGGUUUGUGGCAUAGUUAGCGUGUGAUUUUAAGGGUGAUAGAGUGAGAGAUAAUAAAUUCUGUAAACUAAAGAUUUAAUCUCUGCACUCCAUAGAUUCUUUGUGUAAUCGUCUCCAUUAAUAAAGCUUAAGCCUUCUGCUGGUUUUUCAGCCGUUGAUGUAGGUACCUUGAUACUGAACCACGUAAACUCUUUCUCUGUGCUUGCUUCUUGGUUCUUGGUUCUUGUUGAAUCUUACUGUUGUUAUUUGUUUCUAAUUCUAGUUCUUGGUUGUUCUGAGUUGAUCCUAUUAUGUUAACUAGUUCAAGGUGGUUGCAUUUGUCGAUUAAGCAUUAACAAACUGGUAUCAGAGCUUGGUUCAUUGAGGCUGUUCUUGAUCAAAAUGACGACCACCAGAUUUGAUCUCGAAAGGUUUAAUGGUGAUAACGACUUCUACGUCUGGAGUCUUAAGAUGAGAGCAAUUCUCAUCCAGUAAGGGCUUGAUAGUGCUCUUGAUGAUGAAGAUGAAGAUCCAAAGGGCAAGAAAGAACAUGCAUAGGGCUCAUCAAUAUUAGGAGGAGAUCAGAAAACCAUUAAUAACAAGGCUCACAGCACCAUUAUCCUACAUCUCUCUAAUGAAGUGCUGAGAGAGGUUGCAAAAGAGAAGACUACAUCAGGAUUAUGGUCAAAGUUGGAAGACUUAUAUUUGAAGAAGUCAGUGGCCAAGAGAUUAUAUAUGAAGAGGAGACUGUACACCUUCUCCAUGAAAGAGGGAGUAGCUAUAAAUGAUCAUUUGGAUGAAUUCAAUAAGCUAAUCUUGGAUCUUGAAAAUGUAAACAUCGAUUUGGAAGAUGAAGAUAGGGCACUAAUUUUGCUAAGCUCCCUGCCUGAUUCAUUUGAGCAUUUUGUUGAUACUCUUUUAUAUGGAAGGCAGACUCUCAUGUUAAAGGAUGUUAAAAGUGCCUUGGAAUCAAAAGAUUUGAAGAAGAAAUCUAAUGGGAAAGAUCAAAGCUAUGGGGAAGGAUUAACAGUCAAGUCAAAGGCAAAUAAAAAAAACAGCAAAGAAAAGAAAAAUACCAACCAGAAAGAUAAAAUAGAGAAAAAGAAAAAUAAGAAGAAAUGUUAUUUUUGUCAAAAAGAAGGGCACUAUAUGAAGGAUUGUUUUGAGAAGAAAAAGCUUGAGAAGCUUCAAAAGGAAUCAAAUAGGAAGGUUGCCCUUGUGUCAGAGGAUGAAGGAGACUCAGAGGGUGCUGAUGUUCUAGUAACAGUAGAAAAGCAUCAAAUUGGUGAGUGGAUACUUGACUUUGGGUGCUCUUUCCAUAUGUGCCCAAAUAAGCAUUUCUUUAAGACAUUUAGAAGUAUUGAGGGUGGUAAAGUGUUGUUGGAAAUGACUUAGCUUGUAAAGUUGCUGGAAUUGGAACCAUUGAUAUAAGGGAAAUUAUCAAUCAUAUACCCUUAAAUGACAUCCAUAUCAAACGUGUGUGAACACUUUUCAAGUGUAUCACUCGUAUACCAUAAGUUGACAAAACACUUAUGUCGUCCACCAAUUUGUUAACUUCCGUUAGAAAGUUAACAGAAUUGUGACAAAUUGACUAUUUUGCCCUUGAAACUCAAAAUGAGGUAAAAAUAUAAAUUUACCCAAAAAAUUAACGUAAAUUUUCAAUACACAAUUUUUUUUUUAAUUUUUUUUAUUAACAAUACAUUUUUUUGAUUAAAAAAAUGAAUUAUUAAUGGUACAUAAUAUUAACAAUUAUCCAUAAAAAUAUCCAUAUUAUACCAUAAAAAAUUAUUAACAAUAUAUUAUUUACAAUUAUAUAUAUUAUACCAUAAAAUUUUUUAGUUGGAGCUUGGAAGAGUAGAUCUUCAAAAAUUUAGGUUAAAUUUUGGAGGAGUAGAUUCGGUUGUAAAGUAAUUUUUUUAGUAAUUAUUAAUAAUUAUCCGAUAAAUGGGAUGACAUGUCGUUUUUUUUAAUCAAAGUUUCAUCAAUUUUAAAAGACUAAAUUACCCUUAUGAUGUCAGCGCUUGCAAACGGAAGUUAACGGAUUGGUGGACGGCAUAAGUGUUUUGCCAACUUAGGGUAUACGAGUGAUACACUUGAAAAGUGUUCACAUACGUUUGAUACGAGUGUCAUUUAAAGGUAUAUGGUUGAUAAUUUCCAUUGAUAUAAAAAUAUUUGAUGGUGAAAUUAGAAACUUAGAUCAAGUAAGAUAUGUACCAAAACUUAAAAGAAACCUUAUAUCACUAGGCAUGUUUGAUCAAAUUGGCUGUAGUAUUAGAGCUGAAAAUGGUGAGAUUCAUGUGAUGAAAAAUGGUACUACCAUCAUGAAAUGAGUUAGAAAGAAUGGCUUUUAUGCUCUAGUAGGGUCUUGUCUCUUACCUGGAAUUACAACCACUAUGAGUAAUGAUAAAACCAAGCUGUGGCACAUAAGGCUAGCACACAUAAGUGAGAGAGGGUUAAAAGAAUUAGAGAAACAAGGUUUGUUUGGUGAAGACCACAUAUCCUCAUUAGAAUUAUGUGAAAAAUGUGUUUUUGGUAAAGCUACAAUGCAAAAAUUCAAUACAGGAAGAAAAGAAAUAAAACAGACCUUGGACUACAUUCAUUCAUACCUAUAGGGACCAUCACAUGUUCCCUCUCAUGGUGGAGCUAGGUACUUCAUAACCUUCAUUAAUGACUACUUAAGGAAUGUUUGGAUUUAUAUGUCAAAAUAGAAGAGUGAGGCUCUGAAGAAGUUCAAAGAAUGGUUAACACUUGUAGAAAAUCAGACUGGUAAGAAGAUAAAAAGGCUAAGAACAGACAAUGGACUGGAGUACUGCAGCAAUGAAUUUGAUGAAUUUUGUAAGAGCAAGGGCAUAGCAAGGCACAGAACAGUAAGGCACACCCCACAGCAGAAUGACCUUGCCGAAAGGAUGAAUAAAACCUUACUUGAGAAAGUAAGGUGUAUGAUGUUCAAUACAAACCUAUCUAAGCAUUUCUAGGCUGAGGCAGUUACAACAGCAGCUUAUCUAGUGAAUAAAAACCCUUCAUCAGCCUUAAACUUCAGAACUCCACAAGAAGCUUGGUCAGGAAAACCACUAGAUCUUACUAACCUCAAAAUCUUUGGCUGCAAUGCAUAUGCUCAUGUUAGUUAGGGCAAAUUAGAGCCAAGAGCAUUGAAAUGAUACUUUAUAGGAUAUCCAAAAGGCACCAAAGGGCAUAAGAUCUGGUGCAUACAUGACAAGCCCUCAAGAACUCUAAUCAAUAGGGAUGUGGUGUUUGAUGAAGACUCAAUGCUGCUGUCUAAAGUAGAAAAUGAGGUAAUGUCUACUGGUUCAUAUAGAAAACAAGAUGCUGAGUUGAAGGUGGAGCAUGUUGAUUGCUAUCAACCUGCAGAAAUGACUCUAGAGAAAUCUGACAAGGAGCUCAAAUCCUAUGAGCUUAACAAUUAUCAGCUUGCAAGGGAUAAAGAGAGGAGAACAAUAAAAAUGCCUAAGAAAUAUGGCAUUGCUGACCUUAUCUCAUAUGCACGGAGUGUUACUGAAGAACUAAGUGGUGAAGAACCUAUGAGCUAUAAGGAAGCCAUGUGUAGAAGAGAUAAAGCUAAAUGGCUUGCUGCAAUGAAAGAAGAAUUAGCCUCUCUUAAGAAAAACAACACCUGGAUCUUGGUAGAAAAACCCUUCAAUAAAAGACUAGUAGGCUAUAAAUGGAUUUAUAAGCUCAAGGAUGGAGAGUCUGCUGAUAAACAACCCAGGUACAAGGCAAGACUGGUAGCUAAAGGCUUCACACAGAAAGAAGGAGUAGAUUUUAAUGAAGUGUUCUCACCAGUGGUAAAAAACAGCUCCAUAAGGUUGUUGCUUGCUGUUACUACUUUUCUUGACCUGGAGUUAGACCAAAUGGAUGUAAGAACUGCCUUUUUACAUGGUAACCUUGAUGAAGAAAUCUUUGUGACACAACCUGAGGGUUUCAUAGAAGAAGGGACUGAAGAUAUGAUGUGUUUACUUAAGAAAAGUUUAUAUGGCUUAAAGCAGUCUCUAAGGCAGUGGUAUUUGAGAUUUGAUUAGUUUAUGAGCAGCCGUGGUUACAGCAGAAGUCAGUAUGACACUUGUGUGUACUACAGAAGCUUGACUCAUGACAGCUACAUCUACUUACUUCUCUAUGUGGAUGACAUGCUCAUUGGAUGCAACCAGAGGGAAGCCAUAGAGGAACUCAAAAUGCAGCUCAGCACUGAGUUUGAAAUGAAAGAUUUAGGUGCUGCAACGAAAAUUCUGGGUAUGCAGAUUGUAAGAGACAGACCAGCAAGAACUUUGUUCUUUACUCAGGCUGGUUAUGUAAGGAGAGUGCUCAAUAGGUUCAUCGUGGACAGUGCUAAACCUGUGUUGACACAUCUGUCAACUCAUUUUAAGCUCUCUAAGCUCUAUGAGCCAACAACUGAUGUAGACAUAGAAUAUAUAAAGAAUAUUCUCUAUUCAAAUGCAGUGGGGAGUGUUAUGUAUGCUAUAGUCUGUUCCAGGCAGGGGUGUCAAAAACCCCGCCCGGACCGGAUCUGACCUGAACCCGGCCAAUCCGGUCUGGGAAAAAUCCGGACCGCAUAUACUGAAAAAGUGGAUCCGGGUUUCAGAAUUUAAAACCCGGACAUUUCCGGACAUGGUCCGGGUUCAGCACUAAAAACCCAAAACCCGAACCCGGACCCGUUUUCCGAAUAAACUUAAAAAAAAAAACUAAAACUAGUUACCCAAACCCAAAUCGCAAAACACCUAAAUCCGAAAUCCCUAAUUCCCCAAAUCGCAAAACACCCAAACCCAAAGGCAUAAGCAGCGAUGCUACCACCGUCACCGUUGGCUAGCACCCACCGUCAGUCCGUCACCGUCGCCCCUCGGCAGUCGGCAGUCGGUAGUCGGCAUCAUCUCUUCUCGUUUGGCAUUUACUGACUCGGUUUUGCUCGAUUUUGCUCGGUUGUGGCUGUGACGGGAGUUGUUCGUGCAGCGGCAGCAGCGCAGUGCAGCCCCCUCCGGCGCCGUCAGCGUCAGCGUCUGCGCCACCGUCUCCAACUCUCCAUUGCCACUUUGUCAUCCACCAUCAGUCCAUCACUCUGCCAUCACAGCCACCACUACCAGCCGCAGGUAUUGAUUUUUUUCCUUCCAUAUUUUGUCUUCCUAGUUGCAUUUUUGCCAAUUGCUUCUCCAUUGGUGUUGGUUGUUGCUAUUCGUGUUUAUCUUCGGCCAAUUUUGUGCAUUUUGACCGUAGAAUAUGAGGAAAAUAUGGCCAAUUUUGUGAGGGAUCCUUAUUGCCUGCUCGUAUAAUGACAAUGUUGAUAAGCAGAGAAAAUAAUAAUCACGGGAAAAGCAAUUUUGUGCAUGGUUGCUGACUUAUAGUGUGAGCCUGUGAUUACUGUAACUGUUGCUCUUUUUUUUCGGCCAAAUCCUUUUGCCUAUUUUAAUUUUAUGUUGCUGAUUUACUGUGAGCCUAUUAGUUAUGUAAUCUGUGAGCCUGUUAGUUAUGUAAUGAUAAGUUUAUUCGUGUUUAUCUUCGACCAAUUUUGUGCAUGGUUGCCGACUUGCUGUGAGCCUGUGAUUACUGUAACUGUUGCUCUUUAAAUCAAUUCUUCGAGUGCUCCAGAUUUAUCUCGUAAUGUUGAAGAUAAAAUUGAUAAUGAGGUUGAGGAAAUUUCAGUGUCAACCGUGAAUGAUAAGAAAAGUAAGGAAGAAACUAGAAAAAAGAAGAAAGUCUCCGAAGCUUGGGAGCACUUUACAAAAAUAAUGGUAAAUGGAGAACAAAAGGCAAAGUGCAUGCAUUGUAGUGCAAUUUUAAAAGCAAAAUACCAAUCUGGGACUUCAACUUUGAAUAGGCACGUGGCAAUGUGUUUUAAGUAGAAUCAACCAGACAUAGAAGAAGCACUUCAAGGAAGCCUUAAAGUGAUUAAAAGAGAGGAUGGAACUUGUGGCAUUAGUUAUGGCAGUUUUGAUCAAAAUGUUUUACGGAGUUUGAUAGCAAGAAUGGUUAUAAUGCAUGAGCUUCCACUUACAUUCGUAGAAUAUAUAGGCUUCCGAGAAAUGAUGACACACAUAUAGGCUUCCGAGAAAUGAUGGCACAUGCUAACCCCGUGGUUAAGCCAAUGAGCAGAAACACUUUGAAGAGCGAAAUCUUGAAGUUAUAUCAAAUCGAGAAGGUUAAGACUUUGCAUUUAUUGGGGAAAAAUCAUGGUAGAGUAGCCAUUACUACAAAUUUAUGGACAGCUAGUAAUCAGAAAAAUGGAUAUAUGGUCGUGACGGCCCAUUUCAUAAUGACAAUGUUGAUAAGCAGAGAAAAUAAUAAUCACGGGAAAAGCAAUUUUGUGCAUGGUUGCUGACUUAUAGUGUGAGCCUGUGAUUACUGUAACUGUUGCUCUUUUUUUUCGGCCAAAUCCUUUUGCCUAUUUUAAUUUUAUGUUGCUGAUUUACUGUGAGCCUAUUAGUUAUGUAAUCUGUGAGCCUGUUAGUUAUGUAAUGAUAAGUUUAUUCGUGUUUAUCUUCGACCAAUUUUGUGCAUGGUUGCCGACUUGCUGUGAGCCUGUGAUUACUGUAACUGUUGCUCUUUUUUUUUGGCCAAAUCUUUUUGUCUUUUUUAAUUUUAUGUUGCUGACUUGCUGUGAGCCUGUUAGUUUUAUGUCUCUGUCUCUCUUUUCUGUUCACUUUUUCGUUUCCACACUAAAAUCUGAAAUUUAGUAUAUCUUUGCUAUUGUAACAGCAGAGUAGUGCAAUGUCGGACAAUGUGAAAAUCAAUUCUUCGAGUGCUCCAGAUUUAUCUCGUAAUGUCGAAGAUAAAACUGAUAAUGAGGUUGAGGAAAUUUCAGUGUCAACCGUGAAUGAUAAGAAAAGUAAGGAAGAAACUAGAAAAAAGAAGAAAGUCUCCGAAGUUUUGGAGCACUUUGCAAAAAUAAUGGUAAAUGGAGAACAAAAGGCAAAGUGCAUGCAUUGUAGUGCAAUUUUAAAAGCAAAAUACCAAUAUGGGACUUCAACUUUGAAUAGACACGUGGCAAUGUGUUUUGCAGAAUUAACCAAACAUAGAAGAAGCACUUCAGGGAAGCCUUAAAGUGAUUAAAAGAGAGGAUGAAACUUGUGGCAUUAGUUAUGACAGUUUUGAUCAAAAUGUUUUACGGAGUUUGAUAGCAAGAAUGGUUAUAAUGCAUGAGCUUCCACUUACAUUCGUAGAAUAUAUAGGCUUCCGAGAAAUGAUGACACACGCUAACCCUGUGGUUAAGCCAAUGAGCAGAAACACUUUGAAGAGCGAAAUCUUGAAGUUAUAUCAAAUCGAGAAGGUUAAGACUUUGCAUUUAUUGGGGAAAAAUCAUGGUAGAGUAGCCAUUACUACAAAUUUAUGGACAGCUAGUAAUCAGAAAAAUGGAUAUAUGGUCGUGACGGCCCAUUUCAUUGACAAUUCCUGGAAAUUGCAUAGUCGAAUCUUAAGGUAAUUUGUCUAUAAUUUUUUAUUUGCUUAAUUUUUCUUUUUAGUUUAUUAUUACUUAUAUUAGAUUUUUUUUUCAAGUUUAAAUUGUAAUAUAUUUUAAGUUUGUGUAUUUAAUACCGACUUUUGAAUAUUUGAUAGGUUCGUCUAUGUUCCAAGCCCCCAUACUGCUGAUGCCCUUUGUAAUGAGUUAGUACAAUGCCUAUUGGAUUGGAACGUGGAUAGAAAGUUAUCCUCAGUGACAUUGGAUAAUUGUACCACUAAUGACGCAAUGGUGGAGAAAUUAUUGUUAAUGUUUGAUACCGAUACCUUAAUUUCUAGUGGUAAAUUUUUUCAUAUGAGAUGUACUGCUCAUAUAUUGAACUUGGUUGUGCGGGAUGGGUUGAAAGUUAUAGAAAGUGAGAGUGGAAAGAUUAGAGAGAGUGUGAGUUAUUGGACACAAACACAAAAGAUAUGAAACUUUUGAGUUAGCUGCUAGACAAUUACAAAUUAAUUGUAAAAAAAAAUUGAAAUUGGAUUGUCCUACUCGUUGAAACUCUACUUAUGCCAUGCUUGAAGUAGCAUUGAUGUAUAAAAGUAUUUUUUCUCGGUUGCAACAACGUGAGCCUCAGUAUAAGAGCUUGCCAAGUGAUGAGGAGUGAGAUUUGACAGUCAUAAUGGUGGAGCAUUUGAAAUCAUUUUGCAUAUUAAUGGAGAUGUUUUCGGGUAAAAAAUAACCAACUGCUAAUUUGUUUUUUCCGUUGAUAUGUAAAAUGAAAUUGUCAAUUAAUAGGUGGCGCACUGCUGAUAACCUUGCUAUUAGGAUUAUGGCUGAUAAAAUGGCUGAUAAAUUUGACAAAUAUUGGAAUGAAAUUCAUCCGAUGUUAGUUGUGGCUGUUGUGCUUGACCCAAGAUAUAAGAUGAUGUUAAUUCAUUUUUAUUUUCCAAAGAUAUAUGGUGAUACAGCAGAUGAGCUUAUUGAGUGUGCACAUAAGCUUUGUUAUGAUUUAGUGAAAGAAUAUGAAUCGAAGGCAGUGCAUGUGAGUGAUGGGCAGAAUGUUGGAUUGGAAAUUUCUCAUUCUGAAUCUUGUUCGAAUUCGAAUAAGUAUUGGGAUGUAGAUGAGUUUGAAACAUUUUGAAGCCAAAAUAAACGUGCUAAGGUAACUAAGUCGGAGUUGGAUAGGUAUUUAGAUGAGGAAUUGUUGGAUUCUAUUCCGGACUUUGAUAUUUUAGCUUUUUGGAAGAUGCACACAAGCCAAUAUCCUAUUUUGGCUGAGUUAGCUAAGGAUAUCUUAGCCAUUCCUGUAUCCAUCGUUGCCUCUGAGUAAGCUUUUAGUGCUAGGGGCAGAUUUUUUAGUCUGCAUUGUAGUAAACUUCUUCCUGACACUUUGGAAGCCUUAAUGUGUGCUCAAAAUUGGAUUUGGGCUUCUACUUUUGGAGGUAUAAAGUUAUUUGAAUUAUAUUUUAGUAGUAUUUAUUUGCUUAAAAUGCUUUGAAUUUUAAUGUGUUAUUUUUGUUGUAAGGUGGAGUUUUGGAGGAUGAGAUUUUUACUGGGGAGGAGGUAAUUUCGGAUGAUGAUGAUGAGCCACAAGCGUCGAUGAGUAGCAUGACAUGAACUUUUAUUUAUUUAUUUGGAAUUAGACAUGAACUUGUUAUUUAUUUAUUUUACAUGGGGGUGUUUUGACUCUUUUAUGAACUAUUGUUUGAGUUGUUGAACAUUUUAGGAUUUUCAUGUGUUGUAUUGAUAAUUGGUGUCAUAAUUAUGAACUUAUGAUAUGUUGGAUGUUAUUUAGAUUUAUUGUGUUAUUGAAUUUAAUUUUUUUUAUAUAUAUAGAUUGAAUGAGUUUAGGUUAGAAGUUAGAUGAAUUUUUAUUUAUUAUUUGUGCAAAAAUUGUAUUGUUAGUAUGUUAUAAGUUUGUAUUUAACUAUUUCUCUAAUUUCUCUUUGACUUAAGUUUGAGAUUUAUCUUGUAUUAUGAUACACAAGAAAUGUGCAUGCAUGUUGUAUUGUUGUUUCACUUGUUUGGUGAUAUUUAGGUGUCAUACAAAGACAUAAAAAUGAAAGAAAUUUUUUUUGAAAUAAUUGUUUGCGGGCUUAGAAGCCCGGAAGACAAAACCCGGACCCGGGACACGUCGGGCUCAAGCCCGGACCGGACAUGCAAAAGCCGGGUUUUGUCCGGGUCCGGGUUUCAAUUUUUGGCGUCCGGUUCGGUCCCGGGUUGCACCAAACCCGGACCGGACCUGGGGUUUUGCCAAGCCUAGUUCCAGGCCUGAUAUAGCAUAUGGUGUUGGAGUUGUCAGCAGGUUCAUGGGAAAUCCAGGCAAAGAGCACUGGAAUGGAGUCAAGUGGAUAUUGAGAUAUCUUAAGGGGACUUCUGAUCAUGGAAUUUUGUUUGGGAAAGUCAAUGGAGCCACCUGUGAGGUUGCUGGUUUUGUAGACUUAGACUUUGCAGGUGAUCUAGAUAAAAGAAUAUCCAUAACUGGUUUUGUUUUUACCAUGUGUGGAGGUGCUAUUAGCUGGAAAGCUUCACUGCAGUCAGUUAUUGCUCUCUCAACAACUGAAGCAGAAUACAUUGCUCUAACUGAGGCAGUAAAGAAGGCAAUCUGGCUGAAGGGUUUAGUUUCUGAGUUGGGUUUCAAGCAAGAGACAGUCACAAUUAGCUGUGAUAGCUCUAGUGCUAUACAGUUAAGUAAGAAUCCCAAGUAUCAUGAGAGAACUAAGCAUAUAGACGUGAUGUUACACUUUAUAAGGGAGGAAAUCAGUAGUGGUGUGGUGAGUGUUGUCAAAAUACCUUCUAAGGUUAAUCCAGCUGACAUGCUUACUAAGCCACUACCAACAAUUAAGUUCACGAGUUCUUUGAACUCGAUUGGACUUGGUAACAUGUGAACUAAGUCUCAAAUGCUGAAACAGAGGUGGAGGAAAGCUUGAAGUCAGAAUAAACUAAGGUGGAGAUUUGUGAAGCUGUUAGUUUAAUUCUGUUACUAGUAUGCUGACGUGGCGAGCUGAGCUGGAGUGUGGGCCUGCUGUUAGUUAGAAGUCGUUAUUAUUAACGGCUGAUUCCAAAAACAGAGGCAUGCAUAUAUAAGGGCUGGUUUGUGGCAAAGUUAGCGUGUGAUUUUAAGGGUGAUAGAGUGAGAGAUAGUAAAUUCUGUAAACUAGAGAUUUAAUCUCUGCACUCCAUAGAUUCUUUGUGUAAUCGUAUCCAUUAAUAAAGCUUAAGCCUUCUGCUGGUUUUUCAGCCGUGGUUGUAGGUACCUUGGUACUAAACCACGUAAACUCUUUCUCUGUGCUCUUCUUCUCUUUGCUUGCUUCUUGGUUCUUGUUGAAUCUUGCUGUUGUUAUUUGUUUCUAAUUCUAGUUCUUGGUUGUUCUGAGUUGAUCCUAUUACGUUAACUGGUUCAAUGUGGUUGCAUUUGUCGAUUAAGCAUUAACAGUUGUUUUGCGGUGCUAAUGACUUAACACUAUUUUUAUAGUUUCAGAAUGUUUCUUUUAAGGCAUAUUGGUUGUUAUUCGCUCUAUAGUCUAUAGAGACAUGUUUUAUAUUUGAUAGGUGAACGACAUCUACCCCGGAGGCGAAUUUGAAGACCGUGCAAGUACGUCUUCUUCGCAAGUCUAGCUAAUUAUUUCGCAUGCAGUUUUCAGUGUUAUGGGCUGUUCUUCGAAAACCCAAAACCAUGCCUAGCAGAUUGCUUGAUGAAACGGUGCCGUUUAACACUUUCAAUAAUUUAAACAUGGAUGUUGAGCCACACACACACACGUAUAUGAAAUGUCUGUUUAUUCUCUUUCUCCUAGCUAGCCGAUGACAAUGAACUCACAAAACAAAUUAAACUUGCAUGCGCACAGUAUGCAAAUUAAGAAGGCGCCAUCUGCAGAAGCCACUUGAAAUGGCACAUGCUGCAUCUCAAAUAUUGAAGAUGCGUCAUGCAUGUAAACUUAAAGCGAAUGAGAGUAGAAAGGUGAAUCAUGCAAAUUUGGUGUCUUCAAAAUUGCGCUCCAACUAAUAUUAACAGCAAAGAAUUUUCCAUGUCACUUCUGUUUGAUUACCAAAAGUAUAUAUGUGCUGCCUUUUAAGGAGUUCUUGUAUAUUCAAUAAUCAUUGUUGUGUAAAAAGAAAAUUAUUCUAACUUCUACUUAAUUGCAUUUAUAUGUUGUGAAUUUAAAAUAAUUGGUGAAAAGGUUCUGUGAUCCCAUGGAGUAUAUACUGGGAUGCAAAGGGUUCAUAAUUCUACUAGGAGUAACUUUUGUAAUAAGUUAUGAGUUUGCAAAGGGUGAGAUAAUCUCCGGACAAAAGAGUUCCUAUAUUGGAAGGAAAGUAAAUCAUCUCAACAGCAACGGCAAUGUAGUGAAAAGCAUUCAGGUAUGUAUAUAUAAAUAUAACUUCUUUGACCUAUAUUUUUAAGUUAUGUAUCAUUGAAACUUCUUGGUCCUUAUAGAGUGAAGAUGGAGAUAUUAUCGAUUGCGUCUGCAUUUACAAGCAGCCAGCAUUUGAUCAUCCUGCUUUAAAGGAUCAUAUUAUCCAGGUACAAGUACAACACUUCUAGUAUUUUCUUUUAAAUAAAAAAAUUCAAUAAUGUUACCACUAUGUAUUUGAUUCAGAUGACACCCACUUAUGAUCCAAAUGGGAAGACAGUGACAACAGGAUCAGCUGAUACAGAAACAUCCACGACUGUUAUGGCAUCACAAAUAUGGAGAAAAAAUGGAAGCUGUCCUGAAGGAACAAUACCAGUGAGAAGAAUUCACAACUCGAAUUCCUUUGAAGGUUAUGGCAGGAAGCAGCCAAGCUUCUAUCAUCGUGUUAAGCAGCUUAAUGAUAUUAAGCAACCAAACCUUCAGCAACCAAAUCAUUCAGUAAGAUUCAAUCAUACAUGAUGGAGUGAUAAAACUAUACUUAAUUUUUGCAAAUAUGUCUUUAUCUGACUUGGCUUUGUGUAAAAAUAUUAGAAAGCAAUACUGCUUACAGUAGGGUACAUGUUUUCUGGAGCAAAAGGAGACAUCAAAGUCUGGAACCCUUUUGUUGAAUCAGAUGAUGAGUAUAGUACUUCUCGUGUUAGUCUGCAAAGUGGCCCUUACUAUGACUUUGAGAGCAUCGAGUCUGGAUGGGCGGUUAGUACUAAUUUAAUUAUGAAGCCACUCAAUUGUCUUCAAGUUCAUUAUCAUUCAUUAAAGAAUCUCUUAAUCCCCACAAUUCUUUCUUUCUUUUAUUUUAUUUUAUUUUAUUAAUUUAUUAAUUUUUGCCUAAAUUUUCAGGUAAAUCCAAGAGUGUAUGGGGACAGAAAAACUCGAUUAUUUGUAUAUUGGACUGUAGGUUUAUGCCAACCAUGACUUAAAAAUGUUGUAAUGCAUAUUGCUGUAUCAAUAAACAAUGUUUUGUUCAUGUAUUAGGCCGACGCAUCAAAGACAACAGGGUGCUUUGAUGUCACUUGCCCCGGUUUUGUUCAAGUCAGCAACGAGAUUGCGCUUGGUGCAGCAAUUUAUCCCAUUUCAAAUCCUAAUGGGCUUCCAUAUCAGAUCACUAUAUACCUCUUUAAGGUCGGAGAAAAUGCAGCUUUAUUUUGAUUUAAUUAAUAGUUUGCAGGGGAAGCAAUAAUGGAUUUUCACAUUUUUCUGAUGGAAGGUUCUUUUACUUGCAACUUCCUAUUGGUUCAUCUCUUAUCUUUUCUGAUUUCAGGAUCCGGACACAGGCAACUGGUGGAUGCAAUAUGGAGAAAAAAUCAAUGUAGGUUACUGGCCCCCUAAGUUGUUUAGUUUGUUACCCAGUGGUGCAGAAAGUGCCGAAUGGGGAGGCGAGGUCUAUAGCUCGAAGUUGGAGAAUCCUCCUCACACAGCAACAGCAAUGGGAAAUGGGCAUUUUCCUGAUUAUAUUUCCGGUAAUUCAGGCAGUGUCAAGAGAAUUAGAAUUCUUGACAAUUCUCGUACAUUGAAGUUUCCCGAAUGGGUGUAUAGUUACACAGACCAGUACAACUGUUAUGGUGUCGAUUAUGUUGGAGACUACAUUGUAGAUCCUGAGUUCUACUUUGGAGGACCUGGAAGAAAUCACUUGUGCCCUUAAACUCUUGUAACAGAUUCUAGCUACAAACGGAUGCUUGCUGAUUUGCCACCACUUUCUUGGGUGGCAAGCUAAUAUUUUAGAUGCUUCUUAAUUUUGAUUAUUUGCUACUUCUUGCAAAACACGACCGGUCAUAUUUGAAGAUUUGAUAAUUCAGCUACUCAGUGGUCCGCAAGAAUAAAUUCUGCGAAUAAUCUCUUUUGGAUGCUGCACCAUAAAACACAAUUAGCCAGUAAACAUCAGAAUAAGUGGAGCAAAGUAUAAAUGGAAAUACAAAUGUCAGCUUAAUGUGGAGUUUUGACGCUUCCUUUGUUGUUUUUGCCUAUUUCUUGCAGUUUUAUCCAGAGCUUUCCUUUUUCCCUUUUUUUUUUUUUUUCCUUCUACCAAAUAUAACUUUCUGAAUCUGUAUAUUGGUCAGAAUUAGGGAACUUACAACUGAAAUAAUAACACCGCAAAUUAGACACCAUAUGUGGACUCUCCUAGUAAGACAACUUAUUUCCAUUUUGAGAAAAACUUCUGCUGGUGUCUUUGGUUUAGAAUAUUGCUUAUAAAUCAUUUGGCUGAUAAGCAAGGAGUCUAAAUUGAAAUGGAAACAAUAUCAUAGCUUUCCAAAUCAACCUGAAGCAUGGUUAAUACACCCCAAUGCAUUAUGAUAUUAUAUAAUUGUUAUGUUGAAGAUGAAACUGUCAUUGGCUUCAUACUUGCUUCUGAAACAAAAAUGGAGAAUGCCAAAACCAUUUCUGUGCUUUUGCUGGUAACGUUUGUAUCUGUUUUGGGAAAUGGAGUCGAUAGUAAACUUAAAGCUGGACAAACUAUUUCUGAAAUUGAUAGGAGACUGAAGCUUCUCAAUAAGCCUGCAGUAAAAAGUAUUAAGGUAUGUCACAUGCUACUAGUCUAGUACCCCUGGACAAUUUUCGUCACUUAUUAUGUUGGCACUCUAAUGUAAGAGAUUGUUCCCGUAGAGUGAAGAUGGAGAUAUUAUAGAUUGUGUUGACAUCUACAAACAAUCUGCAUUUGAUCAUCAAGCAUUGAAGAACCAUAAAAUUCAGGUGCAUUUAUUAUUAUUCUUACCCCUUCUAUGAUUUGGAGAACAUUUGUUUUCUGAAAAAUGAAGCCUUAAGUGGACUGUCUUCAUUCAUGUAAUAAGCAGCUGAAACCUAGUGUUGAUCUACUGUCGGAGGAAUUGGAUAGAAGGAACGAGUCUCCGCGGCCUGUAAUGAUGCAAACUUGGCAAAAGAGUGGAAGUUGCCCAAAUGGAACUGUUCCCAUUCGCAGAAUCCAGAGGGAAGACUUAUUGAGAGCAGCUUCUCUUGAAAAUUUUGGAAGAAAAGCCCCGGAAAUUCCCUCUUCAGCAAACAAAACAAAUGUUAAAGAAACUCAGUUUAUGUCUUUCAACGAUAGCAAACCAUUAGGAUUUCCUCCCAUAGUUAACCGUUCUGUAAGCCCUCUUUAAGCAGCUGCCAUGUUUUUUUGCCCUUUUUUCAUUUCCUGAACAUAUUUUUUUGUUGCUUAACUCCUAAUUUCUUGAUACACUUCCUGAACCAGGCUGCAUUACUUGUUACAGUCGGAUACAAUUAUAUAGGAGCUCAGGGAGAUAUAAACGUUUGGAACCCAAAAGUUGACUUACCAGAUGAUUAUACUACGGCUCAAAUCUGGCUUAAGGGUGGCCCUGGUGACAAUUUUGAAAGCAUAGAGGGAGGAUGGGUGGUUAGUGCAUUUACCAAAAACAAACAAAAAAUGCCAACAGUUCUAUAUCUUUAUGCUUUGCUCCUAAUCUUAUUAUAAACUGUUUUCCAGGUAAAUCCCAAGUUAUAUGGUGAUAAACUCACGCGUCUAUUUGUGUAUUGGACAGUAAGUACACCAAUUAUCUGCGCAAAAAAAAAAAAAAAAAAAAAAANNNNNNNNNNNNNNNNNNNNNNNNNNNNNNNNNNNNNNNNNNNNNAAAAAAAAAAAAAAAAAAAAAAACUCAUCCCAUAAGUGGAUGACGGUACUUAACUACUUGUUCCAUGCAUGUUCAUCUUAUAUUUGUUUCCAGAGGGAUGGCUACAAAUCGACAGGUUGCUUUGACGCCAUUUGCUCUGGGUUUGUGCAAACAGGACAAAUAGCCCUUGGCGCAACCAUUAGCCCCAUCUCCAGUUCUGGAGGAUCCCAAUAUUAUGUGACUGUUGGCAUAUCCCUGGUAAUAUUUUAAAUUACAUUUUUCUUCCUUUUUGGAUGCUACUAUGUAUGUAAACUCCAUGUCUGUUGAUUUUCAGGAUCCUAACUCAGGAAAUUGGUGGUUAAAACUUAAUGGUAACGUUGUUGUUGGCUACUGGCCUGGAAGUCUCUUUGGUUACCUAAGUCACAGUGCUACAAUAGUGGAGUGGGGAGGACAAGUUUAUAGCCCAAAUGUGAAGAAAACUCCUCAUACAAAAACUGCCAUGGGCAGUGGAGAAUUUUCACAUAGUCUUCAAGGUUCUGCUUGUUCAAUAGAGCACGUUCGAAUUAUAGACUAUUCUCUUCAGCUCAAGUACCCUCAAUGGGUGGGCACUUGGGCUGAUGAAUAUUAUUGCUACGAUGCAUAUAAUUUUGUUGAAGGAUACACAACUGAACCAGUGUUCUUCUUUGGAGGGCCUGGCCAAAAUCCUAAUUGUAAGUGAGAAUCAUGAUUUAAAGCAAAAGCGUUACGUACUCAUUUCAAUGUAACAAAGUAAUUUUCACAGCUCCCCAACUGUAGCUAUACAUCAAAGUAUCCACUCAUUUCAUAUUGUUGCUGUGAAGUUUAAUGGAGCUGAUGUGCCAAAAUCGGAUCCAUUAUGGUAGAGUUUACAUUUUAGAUUGGAGUGGGAAUUCUGAAGAGUGAGAAUCUUGAAAUUAAAAGCGUGGAAUGAGAGUGAGAGUAUGUUAUUUACUUACACUUGAGUGGGAGUAUGAAAUUGUCUUGGAUUGGUAGUAAAUAAUUUAAAUUACAGUUUUACCUUUAUUUAAAGAAUUAUAAUUUUUAAUUACAAAAUUAAUAAAAAUAUAUUUGAAAAAUAAAAUAUUUAUUUUAUUAUAUUUAUAAAUUAAUAAUAAUUAUUAAUAUUCUUAAUUAUGUAAAUCAUAAUCUUUUAUUAAUUUUAAUUUGAAUUAUGUAAAUACAAAAUUUUUAAUAAUAACACAAAUGAAACAUUAUUAUUGAUAAUCUNNNNNNNNNNNNNNNNNNNNNNNNNNNNNNNNNNNNNNNNNNNNNNNNNNNNNNNNNNNNNNNNNNNNNNNNNNNNNNNNNNNNNNNNNNNNNNNNNNNNNNNNNNNNNNNNNNNNNNNNNNNNNNNNNNNNNNNNNNNNNNNNNNNNNNNNNNNNNNNNNNNNNNNNNNNNNNNNNNNNNNNNNNNNNNNNNNNNAGCAGUAUUUUAUUUUAUUAAAUCUAAUAAAAUAAGUAUGUUUAUUAUUAUUUUUAAUAAAUGUAAUUUAUAAUAUAAUAUAAUAAUAUUAUUUAAAUAAAUAUGAUGUUAUUUAUUUUAUUUUAUUAAGAGAAAUUAUUAGUCAUAUACAUAUAUUAUUAUUUUUAAUAAAUAUAAUUUAUAAAAUAAUAUAAUAAUAUCAUUUAAAUAAAUAUUGUUAACUUCCGUUAGAAAGUUAACAGAAUUGUGACAAAUUGACUAUUUUGCCCUUGAAACUCAAAAUGAGGUAAAAAUAUAAAUUUACCCAAAAAAUUAACGUAAAUUUUCAAUACACAAUUUUUUUUUAUUUUUUUUAUUAACAAUACAUUUUUUUGAUUAAAAAAAAGAAUUAUUAAUGGUACAUAAUAUUAACAAUUAUCCAUAAAAAAAUAUCCAUAUUAUACCAUAAAAAAUUAUUAACAAUAUAUUAUUUACAAUUAUACAUAUUAUACCAUAAAAAUUUUUAGUUGGAGCUUGGAGGAGUAGAUCUUCAAAAAUUUAGGUUAAAUUUCAGAGAAGUAGAUUCGGUUGUAAAGUAGUUUUUUUUAGUAAUUAUUAACAAUUAUCCGAUAAAUGGGAUGACAUGUCAUUUUUAUCAAUAUAUAUGAUAUGACAUGUCAUUUUUUACUAGGUAAAUAGGAUGACAUGUCGUUUUUUUAAUCAAAGUUUCGUCAAUCUUAAAAGACUAAAUUACCCUUAUGAUGUCAGCGCUUGCAAACGGAAGUUAACGGAUUGGUGGACGGCAGAAAUUUUUUGUCAACUUAGGGUAUACGAGUGAUACACUUGAAAAGUGUUCACACACGUUUGAUACGAGUGUCAUUUAAAUGUAUAUGAUUGAUAAUUUUCCUUUUAUUAAAUAUUAUUUAUUUUAUUUUAAAUAUAAGGAUAAAAAGGGAAGAGGGGGGAGUGGAUUCAAUCCACUCUCUCCUUAAAAAUUGUAAGUAAAUAUUAGAGUUGGAGGAAUCCAAACUUCUCACUCUCACUCCAGAAAAUAAACACUACAUAUAAGCAGUGCAAUCUAAUAUAUUUUAAAGUAACUAUCAAUUGUCAAUUUGAAGGGUGAAAAAAAUGAAUGGAAAAUACUUCUUUUUUUUAUGUUUGCUUUCGGAGAUUUGCAGAUGCAACAGAGGGGAAUCAAUUGAGAAAGCAAUUCUUUAAUUGUAAGUCAAAAACUUUGUUCUUUUGCCUAUUUUUGUAGGUGUGUUCGUACUCACAACUCAAACGUUAACAAUGAACUAAUAACAGAUAUCUCAACAAGUUUAUCACAAAUUAGUUGUCAUGAGAUGUGGCAUUAAUUGAGUGAUUAUGAUUUUGCACUAUUUUUAAUCCGCCAUUUUACCCUCCACUUGAAGAAAUGAAACCCACGUGAGUUUAGGAUAAACUUUUAGGAUAACUAGCAUUCUUAAACAUUAAUAACACAAUAUAUAUUAAGGAAAUAACUUUUAAGACCUCCGAGGGAAUUAUCCCUGAAUAAGGCAAUUUUGUAUUCCAUUUUUAGAAAAAGAAUAAAUCAGUUGGAUUUGGGUUUGUUUGGAUAAAAUAACUUGAUUGGAACUUUGCAAGAACCCACCUGCAAUGGAAACAAAAAUUUGACUUUUCAAAUGAACUUGAAGCAGGGUUAAUGAGCAAUAAAUAUUACAUAAUUGCACUUUGGAAAAUGACACUUUUGCUUUACAGUGUUUGUGUCAUCAGGAAAUUUCGAUUUUCCAAUCACUCUUGAUGCUUUUGUUUCUGCCGCCAAAGCUGCUUUUGUAACAGAGCAAAAAUGGAGAAAACAGUUUAUUUGUUUUUGUUGUUUGGGGCUAUAUCUACCCUGUGUAAUGGAGUAGAAGUGAACGCUAAAGCUAGAAAAACUCUUCCUGAAAUUGACAGGAAGUUGAAGCUUCUCAACAGGCCUGCAGUAAAAAGCAUUAAGGUAUAAGUGAGUAAUGGUAUUUUACAUCCUUAAUAUUUAUUAAAAAAAAAAAAAUUCACUCUUGUUUUGGGUGGUUGGUAAUGGUAUUUUACAUCCUUAAUAUUUAUUUUACAUCCUUAAUAUUUAUUAAAAAAAAAAAAAUUCACUCUUGUUUUGGGUGGUUGGUACUCACUCCCUUAACUUUUGAGUUUUGCUACCAACCACUCUUGUUACUAACCAUUAACCCAGGAGUGGUUUCUGCUGUAAAUAUUUUAAUACUUAAAAAAAUAAUACUGGCUUGUCAAAAAAUUAAUAGAGCAUCAGCAGUUGUUUUUCCUUUUAAGACGCUGAAAAACUAGCAUUUAUGGUAGAGUUUAUCUUUCAUAGAGUGCACAUAAUGGGAUGUUUCCUUCUGUAGAGUGAAGAUGGAGAUAUUAUUGAUUGUGUUGAUAUAUACAAACAACCUGCACUUGAUCAUCCUGCAUUGAAGAACCACACAAUUCAGGUGCAUUUUAUCAUUUCUCUCUUCUUUUCCUGAGCUACUUAUGAAAGAUCAUGGUUAGAAACUUGCACUGACUACAAUUCUGUUAGAUUUUUACUAGUCUUGCUUCAUACAAUAUGCAGCUGAGCCCCAGUUUUGAUAUACCAGCCGAGAAAGUGGAUAGAAGAAAUGAGUCUUCUAGGCUGCCGGUAACAAUUCAAACUUGGCAAAAGAGUGGAAGUUGUCCAAACGGAACUGUUCCAAUUCGAAGAAUUCGAAGGCAAGAUUUAUUGAGAGCAUCUUCUCUUCAGCAAUUUGGGAGAAAAGUCCCUGAAGUAUCCUAUGCAGCUAAUAGAACAGAUGCUACACACAGCAAAUUUGAGUCUAUAAACAACAAAACGAUCCACCUUGGUCCUCUAGUUGACCGUUCAGUGAGCAGCUGUAGCUUUUUCAUGCCCUUAAUAAAUUCUUGUUGUUUCAAAUUCUCCUAAUUUUCUUGAUGGUACUAAGUACCAGGCUGCACCCCUUCUUACAACACAAUACAAUUGCAUAAAAGCUACUUCUAAUAUUCUCGGUUACAAUUCCUGAACCAGGCUGCAGUACUUGUUACAGUCGGAUUCAAUUACAUAGGAGCUCAAGGAGAUAUAAACGUUUGGAAUCCGAGAGUUGAAUCGCCAGAUGAUUAUACUACUGCUCAAAUUUGGCUCAAAGGUGGGCCUGGUGACAAUUUUGAAAGCGUAGAGGGAGGAUGGGUGGUUAGUACAUUUACCAAUAAUGUAAAUAAAAAUGCUAACAGUUCUACAUAUUUAUGCUUUCUUCCUAAUCUAAUUAUAAUUUUUUUUUUCAGGUAAAUCCAAAGUUAUAUGGUGAUAAACUGACGCGAUUAUUUGUAUAUUGGACUGUAAGUGUAUCAAUUUUCAUUAAAAACUCUCACCCCAGAAGUGAAUUGUGGUUCUUACUUACUGGUUCCAAACAUGUUCAUCUCAGAAGGAUAGCUACAAAUCGACAGGAUGCUUCGAUGCCAUUUGCUCUGGGUUUGUGCAAACAGGACAAGUAGCCCUUGGAGCAGCCAUUGGUCCUUGGUCGAUUUCUGAAGGACCCCAGUAUUAUUUGCCGGUCGGCAUAUACUUGGUAUGAUGGUAAUAAUUUUUUUUUCUUUCUUUUCCUUUAAUGCACCUAAAAAUGUAAAACUCCAUUUUUUUUUUCUUUUUCAAUUUCAGGAUCCUAACACAAAAAAUUGGUGGCUAAAAGUUAAUGGUAACAUUGUUGUCGGCUAUUGGCCUGGAAGUCUCUUCAGUUACCUAUCGUACAGUGCAAUAUUAGUGGAAUGGGGAGGACAAGUUUAUAGCCCAAAUGUGAAGAAAACUCCUCAUACAAAAACUGCCAUGGGGAGCGGAUCAUUUUCACAUGGUCUUCAGGGUUCUGCUUGUUCAAUCGAGCACGUUCGAAUUAUAGACUUUUCUCUUCAGCUCAAGUACCCUCAAUGGGUAGGCACUUGGGCUGACGAAUAUUACUGCUAUGAUGCUUACAAUUAUGUUAAAGGCUAUACUACUGAACCAGUGUUCUUCUUCGGAGGGCCUGGUCAAAAUCCUAUUUGUAAGUGAGAAUUAUGAAUUAAAGCAACAAGCAUAAUGAAAUCAGUGUAAUAUAACAUAGUGAUUUUCACAGCUCCUUAUCUGUUACUGUACAUCCAAUUGGUGAAAAACAUCAACGUAUCCGCUCCCUUCAUGAUGUUGCUGUGAAGAUUAAUGGAGCUGAUAUGCCCAAAACGGAUCCAUCAUAAGCUGUGAAAUCCAAAGUAUUUUUAACUAGUAAUCAGUUGGCAAUCCGAAGGUGCAAAGUAUGAAUGGAAUUGCUUAAGUAUGUUAGCUUUAGAGAUUUACAGAUACAACAGAUGGGAAUGAACUGAAAGAUAGCUAUUCUUUACAGAUAAUAUGUUAGCUAUGGAGAUUUACAGGUACCUGACUGAUAAUGUACACGGGGCAUAAGAUUGCUAAGGUGAAAACUAACAUGAGGAGAGGAUCCUAUCCGCUAUAGGUGUAUUCGCACUAACAAUUCUCUUAUCACAACAUAUAUUAAGGAGUAAGUUUUAAGAUCUGUCUGGGAAUUCUUCCUGAAUAGACAAAUUUGUCUUCCAUUUUUAGAAAAAGAAAAAGAAAAUCCACUGCUUUUGUUUGGAUUAGGCUACCUUAUUAAAUAACUUGCCUGGAACUUUGCUAGAACCAACUUGAAAUGGAAACAGAAUUAAAAGAUUAAUCGACUUUCCAAUAACUUGAAGCAGGGUGUUUGAACACCAAUGAUUAUUUAAUUGCACCUUGAAGAUGAUAAUUUAGCUUUACAAUAUCUUCGUCAUCUGGGAUUUUCCUACAAGUCCUGUUGGCUUUUGUGAGAAAGCACAUAUGGAGAAAACAGUCUGUUUGCUUUUGUUUAUAGUGGCUGCAUCUAGUUUGAGUAACGGAGUAAAAGUGAAUGCUAAAGCUAGAGAAACCCUUUCUGAAAUUGACAAGAAGUUGAAGCUUAUCAACAAGCCAGCAGUAAAAAGUAUCAAGGUAUGGCAUACAAUAAAUAUUUAGAUCUUAUCAAGUUCUAAACUUGGGAGGCCAAUGUUGUAUCAAUGAGUCCAAAAGUGAUUAAGGGUGGUUUUUCUUCUUAAACUUGUAGUAUUUAAAAAUCCCACUGGCUUGUCAAAUGUUUAAUAGAGCGUUGCUGGGCAGUUUUUGUUAUUAAGAUAGUGAAAGAAUAGCAUAUACGGUAGCCAUUUUCUUCCAUAAAGUGAUGAGUUCUUUAAUAACAUAAUGUGAUGGUUCCUCCUGUAGAGUGAAGAUGGAGAUAUUAUCGACUGUGUUGAUAUCUACAAACAGCCUGCGUUUGAUUAUCCAGCAUUGAAGAACCACACGAUUCAGGUACAUCGAUCAAUUCAUUUUUCAAUUUCCGAGCCACUGGUGAAAAGAACCAAAGGUAGAAAGUUCCCUUUCUAUCAAAAAUACAAAGAAUUUUGCACUUGCAAGAACUUUGGUUAUUUUCUCACUUGUCUUUGCUUCAUGUUAUAUACAGCUGAGGCCCAGUUUUAAUAUACCAUCUGGGAAAUUGGAUAGAAGAAAUGAGUCUUUUAGACCAGUAGCAGUCCAAACUUGGCAAAAGAGUGGAAGUUGUCCGAAUGGAACUGUUCCAAUUCGAAGAAUUCGAAGACAAGACUUAUUGACAGCAGCUUCUCUUGAGCAGUUUGGGAGAAAAUUCCCAGAAAUUUCCUAUGCAGCCAACAAAACAGAUGCUAAACACAGCAAAUUUGUGUCUCUAAACAGCAAGACAGUCAAUCUUGAUCGUCUGGUUAACCGUUCAGUGAGCAGCUAGAGCUUUUUCACGCCCGUAAUUAAUUUCCAUUGUUUAACUUCUCUUAAUUUUCUUGACGGCACUUCAUGUACCAGGCUGCAGUCCUGCUUACAGUAGGAUACAAUUACAUAGGAGCUCAAGCAAAUAUAAAUGUCUGGUGUCCAAACGUUGAAUCAACAGAAGAUUAUACCACUGCUCAAAUCUGGCUUAAGGGUGGGCCUGGUGACAAUUUUGAAAGUGUGGAGUCAGGAUGGAUGGUCUGUACAACUACCCAAAGCAUGCUUCACAAAACAGUCAAUGCUAACAAUUUAGCAUCUUUAUAUUUUUCUCUAACUUUACUAUAAUCUCUAUAUUCAGAUAAAUCCCAAGUUAUAUGGUGAUAAACUCCCACGAUUUUUUGCAUACUGGACUGUAAGUAUAUUUUCUACUAAAGCUUCUCUAAACUACUUUGGAUUGCAAGUACAGUAGCUAAUUUGUUCCAUGUCUAUCUCAAUUUUUUUAGAGGGAUGCUUACAAAUCAACCGGUUGCUUCGACCUGACCUGCACUGGUUUUGUGCAAACAGGCACUCAGAUUGCCCUUGGUGCAUCCAUUAGUCCUUGGUCUAGUACUGCCGGACCCCAGUAUUACAUUCCCAUUGCCAUGUCCAGGGUAACAAUUUAUAUCUGCUUUUUCUUGGUUAAGUUGAUUGUUUGAAGUUAUAAAUCAGCAGUAAAUAUUUAAUGAAGUCCAUUUUUAUUGAUUCCAGGACCCUCAAACAGGAAAUUGGUGGUUAAUGUAUGGCGAUGCUGUUAUUGGGUACUGGCCUGGAGCUCUCUUUGAUUACCUGAAGCAAAGUGCAAUCUUUGUUGAAUGGGGAGGGCAAGUCUACAGUCCAAAUGUGAAGAAAACUCCACACACCAAGACUGCUAUGGGCAGCGGAUCAUUUGCAAGUUCGCUCUACGGAUCAGCGUGUUACAUUGACCAUAUUAGAAUCAUUGAUUAUUCUCUCCAGCUCAAGUACCCGCAAUGGGUAGGCACUUGGGCUGAUGAAGAAGAUUGCUAUGAUGCAUAUAAUUUAAUUCAAGGAUAUACUGUUGAACCUGUAUUCUUCUUUGGAGGGCCUGGUCAAAAUCCUCACUGUAUGUAAUGUGAGGAUAAGAAUGAAAAUGAAACGAAAUAUUGCAGUGCAAUCUUGCUAAUCGCGGAAGUUAAUUAUUUGCAAGAAAGUUGUGAUCUGUUUUCUUCCUUGUAUCAAUGAGAACAUCUAAAGUCAUGUUGAAUGGAUUGAUUUUGUGGGAAGAAAAGGAAGUUCUGCCAUAUGAAGAGAAGAAUAAAAAUGGUGCUUUCUCAAUGACCCCUGCUGUAUUUCCAUAUAUAAAAAUAAUCCCCACUUAGAGGAAUCUGAAUAGUCAAAGUAAAUCAAUAAGGUUUCGUUAGCAAUAGGUGAGUGAUUUGAAUUUGCAAUGGCUGCCACUAUUUCAAUCCACUGUUGCUUGCAUUUGACUCUAGUUAUCACCGGUCUCAUGUUGAUUCAUGGAUUUGCUAAAGAGAAAACUGCAAUGAUAAAAAACAAAGAGAAGCUUAUCAAGCAUAAACAUGCUUUUAAGUUUUAAAACCAUUUCAGGUUGUGAUUACCAUAACUUUUUUCUCAAUUCAUUUGGUAGGAUGAUUUCAUAGGGAUGUAUUUGCUUCUCGAAAAUGGGGUUAGUGUCGACUGCAUUGACAUCUACAAACAACCGGCUUUUAAUCAUCCUCUUCUCAAGAAUCACAAGAUACAGGUUUCUUGGUUUUAUAAGUACUUGGUGCAAAUUUAUAAGCACAUAUGGUAAACCCCUUCGAAAUUGCUAUUAUUUCAAGUGACUAGUACUCGGUAAAUGCUCUUGUUUCUGAUUUUCCUUAGAGUAAUUAACAGAUGAAGCCUACUUCACACCCAGAACAAAAGAAAUCUAUGGCCUCCAAAAAUUCCCACACACAGCUUAUUCAACUCAAGGCAGUCGACUGUCCAGAAGGAACAGUCACCAUUUUAAGAACUCGCCAGAUGGUAAUCUUAUGGACACUCGAUCAAGCAGAAGUGCCACCUAUGGAUUCGGCUUUAACAGCAAUGAAUAUGAGGUUAAAUAUAACAUGUAACAAUGAAUAAUGCCGCCUAUAAUACUUUUCACAUUCUGCUAAUCAUUUUCGUUGAUGCAGACUUAAAUAUUGCUGAUGCUGGAUGGAUAUGCAUUCAUGGCUUCAACGUAUACAUUUUACGCAUAUGGAACCUUUGAUACAUGCUCUUCCAAACUGGAUAUGAUUAAAUAUGUAGAAUGUUGAUUUUAAACAAAGAGAACAGAACACAGAGAAAUUGGGGCUGUUAAUUGCAUGUCAUUCAUUGUUGCAGUAUCUGAAUUUAUUCAAAGAAAAGAAACAAACAAAGCCAAAAAAUCUGCCUACAUAUCUUUAACAUAUAUCUGAUAUCAUAAAUUCAAAAACAAAUUGUUCCUACAAUCUUGCAGGAUAUUAUUGACAGCAUAAUCAUAUCUUUGCUGUUUUUAUUUUUGCUCAAAUCCUGCAGCAAAUAUAGCAUUGUCAUCAUAGAAAUAUUGAACCAGAACUUGGAGCAUAUUUCGUCGCUCUUAUUAUUUUGAUCAUAGUCUAAUUGACUGUUUAUGGGUAUAUUUUUUUCGCGUUUUUAGGUGAAUCCAACACUAUAUGGAAACAACCUUUCACGGCUAGUUGCAUUUUUGACAGUGAGCUUUAAUUAUCAUAGAUUCUCUUAAUCAUAUAAAUUGUCAAUGUUUUUGCUUAACAUGCAUGUUAAUUUUCCAUAUUGUAUGUCAAAUUCAGAAAGAUAAAUUCAGCAAAACAGGUUACCAUGAUCUCAAAUGCUUUGGUUUCGUUCAAGUGUCCAGUACACAGUAUCUUGGCUGUGUACUAGAGCCUGUUUCUGAAGAUGGUGAUUACAACCACCAAUAUGAAGUUUUUAUUGCGAUUUACAAGGUAAUUUACUCAUGCUUUACGCCAUAAAAUUGCAUGCUCAAAAAAAUUAGCAAGUGUUUCAGGAUAUAGGCUCGAGAAGUUCGUGGUUAAGAUAUAAGGUGUAAGCAUCGGAUACCGCCCAACUACAAUUUUCACAAAACUGGCAGACAGAGCCAACAGGGUGGUCUGGGGGUGUAGAGUCUACACAUUCCAGCAAAAAUGGGCACACAUUAAAAACAAGGCGGUCUGGAUGCCAUGCUUUUUUUUAUUUGAGUCUACAAGGAGGAGAAAAAAACGACCGGGGCAGUUUCUUUUAUUAUGGUAGUUUUGCAGCUUGGUAUGAAUGCCAAUAACAUAUAUAAAAAUAUUUGGUAAUUAAUGUGACAUGCUUACGCCUGCAGUUAAAUAAAUUUGUCAAGAAAUUCCAAUAGCACAGCAUAGUAAAGGCUCAGUUCAUGAUAAGUGUUUGUAUUGCUACAGAUGUGACAAGCCUACAACAUACGAGGGAAGUCAGUUUUGUGGACUUGGCUAUGUUGCAACUGUAGUACCGUGCCACAAUUGCAACUCAUUAGAUCCACUUGGAUCCACUGUUGCAACCCUCAUCCAAGUGGAUCCAAUGGCUGGUUGCAACUGUGGCACGGUACUACAGUUGCAACAUAGCCGGACCCCAGUUUUGUCAGUGGAAAAACUGUCGUCCCCUUCCCUUAUGGAGAGAUCUAUCCCUCUGCCUAGGAAUAAUCUUAAACACAAAAAUAUUUUCAUACUAUACAGACUUCCUGUAUCCUUCUAGAGAUACCUACAUAUGAAUAAGAAUUAUAAUCACAAUCCAUAAGAGAAAAUACAACAUAUCACACCAAAAAAGGAGAGCAGGGAAGGACCAAGCAACACUCCGAAAGAGAAUCGCAGAAUUUAACCAGCCAGAUUUUAUUUGAUGUAAAAAAGCUAAAUUGAGUCAUACUGUUUCCUCUCUUCUUGUAUAGACUGGAAAAUUCGAGCCACAGAUUCAGUAGCUGAUCUAGGAUUGUGAGGCACAACUUUGAUCACUUUUGUUGGCUGGUCUGCAUCAUGAGGCUGAGGGGCCGCCUCCUGAACAACUGGAGACACGGUAGAAACUUGAAGUGCAUCUGUACCUUCAGCAGCAUGACCCAUCCCAUCACCUCGCACUCUCUCACCUGGACUACUUGCCGUACUUCCUUGUAACUCUGUGUCUUUAGAUGCCUGAAACUGCCUUACUGGUGGAACAGCUCCAUUCUUCUGGGCUGGUACAUUACAGGAGCUCUCUUGUGGCAUGUAAAAAUUAGCAUCUCCUUGAGAGAAUUGAUCACGCGAACCUGGCACAGCAAACUGAUUCUUUUGUUCAGCAGCUGAACCUGAGACCGAUGGGUUCAUAACUGGCAUGCCAUAAGGUGGGAAGUAACCAUGACCAACUAGAUGAGCACCAGGCAUAACCCCAUUUCCUUGAAGAGGAAUAGGUGAUGUAAUCCCAUAGUCUGGAUGCAUAAAAUUACCUGUCAGAGGUGCUGGGCCAAAAGGUGAACAUCCUCCCCCGCAAACUGUUCCCAUAAAUCCAGGUCCAGGAUAUGGCUUGUAUAUAAGCCCCUCCGAAGGGGACAUAACAGGAAUCAACCACUGCUGCCCAGGCGAUUGAUGAAAACACCAAUGAGCCAUUCUGGAAUUGGUGGCUUCCAUUGGUGGAGGUUGGUUUGCACAGUAAGGCCCAUAAUUUGAAGGCUGACUACCAUUUUUCACAGAAGAAAGAGACGUCUUCCCUACAGCAUUUUCCGCAGAGGAUUCUAUCUUAUGGUUAGGCUUCUCAGAAUCAACUUUGCGCUUAACACUGUGUGGCAGUGGUUUUACAACAUACUCCAAUGGAAGUUUUUUAGCAGGAGAGGCCUUCAAAGAUGGUUUGCCAAGACAGGCGCUCUCUUCAAGCAAAACGUCUGGUGAUUCAGCAAUCAGUUGUUGGACCUGUUUGAAUACACAGAUUAAUUUAAUUUCCUUACAGCAGGAAAAAAAUAAAGGCAAGAGAGUCUGCAGCCCUUGCCAGGAGAAGUAUAAGCUACUUCACAGAGUUAAGACAUCCUUACCUUGAUUAGUCUAUGCAACUCAAAUACUUGAACUGCAAACACUCUUUGCUGACUGUAUACAGUAACAGGAGUUGCAUCAAGAACCAAAUUCCAUAGAAAUCAUUAAAGGAGUUUAACAAACACAGCACAGAGAUAGGACUAACAAGAAUCCAAUGGACAUCCACAUGCGAUCAGAUAUCAUAUACCAUAAUUAUGAAGGCUGUAGCAUGCAGAACAAAACAACUUGCAUACAUACAAAUGCAAGAUGUUAUUUGGGUUGGCUUUAAAAUUACAAUAUCCAACAAAAAAUUUCACCAAGUACAAACUUUUUAGACCAUAACCACACUUUUUAUCCAACGCCCAUUGUAGAUACAGCUAGCCUCACGCACCUACAAGUGUCAAAGAAGCCUAAAAUCUCUCCCUAGCUCUCUAAUUACAAUCAUACUCUAGCAAUCCUAGUGCACUCCAAUAAAGUCAGAGACAAAAAAAAAAAAAGGAGAAUAUGGUCAAAGACUACGAUACACACAAUUGUAACAAGUUCCUAAACAAGAAUCACUUGGCAAAAUUUCAGUAAUAAAUACCACCAGCAGAAGACCGGAAUUUUUCAUUUCAAAACUUGUACAUUUUCUCCCUUGGGAAAAGCGAGUGAAGUGGAGAACUCUAUUAAUAACUACAAAGAUGUACAAAUAACUAGAAGCAGUACUAGACAUCACCUUGAUUUUACAAUAGAAAGGAAUAAGAAGGAAUAAGAAAAUACAUGCAAGAUAAUGAUUCAGAAUGGAGAUACGUACAUUUUGCAUCUACUUGAAGAGAUGAAGCAUAAAUUUUCUGUUCGAAAUAAUGAAAACGUGUAUAACACAUACAAACUGUACACGCCUAACAUAUAUCAUAAACACAUUGCACAAAAGACUGCGAAUCACAACCCCACAAUAUCUUCCAACAUAAAAAUACUAAGACAUCAAAUGAAACAUCCCAUUCGCCUCCAAGUACUGUAAAAAAUUAUCCCGUUUCUCAGAGAUCCACCCAACAUAAGCUUCAGGGAUCAUCCUCCAGCGAUAUUUCCUUUCCUGCUCCAAGCCCCCAAGUGCUGUGGAUAGAUAAACUCCCAGGAUCACAGGGAAAAGAAAGCAACACCACACCGAGACAGGAAGAUAUGCGAAAAGCAGAUGCAAGACAACAAACAAAAGUGAAAUGAUCCACUGUCUCAGGGCCUCCUUGCAUACCUCGAUUAGGAUUGUCCAUUUCCCUGCUGUAAGAUGAUCCAUUGUUAAAACAUUAUUGAGGGCCUUUGAACAAAAAAGGGGUCACUUACGAGGAAUCCCGGAACUCCACACCAUAAACCUUCCCUCCCUCAAAGUCACAAGUACAACUCUUAAUUCACAAGUGUAGCUUUAUACUGUGAAAAUACUACAAUGAGCAUCUCUUCUCCAAUAAAGAAAUUCUCAUAUUCUGAAAUUUACACCAUAUUAGACAAACUAAGAAACUGUCAAAGUUUCUAAAAGAAAAAUCUAUUACAAUCAUCCUGAAGUCAAUAGUAGGCCCAGCCCCAGACCACAAGCAAACUCAUGCCAGUGGAUCUCAAAAAGAAAAUUGAGAAGAGGCUGCCACUGCAAAUUACUUGCGUCCAUAAAAAGAACAACGAGUCUAGCAUGAAAACAAAAACUCUAAAAGUACUGAAAAAAUUAAGGAAAUGAAUUGUGGGUCCAUCCCAUUUCGACUUGUCACAGCCAAAUAAGAUAAUACACGUCCCAUAAAACCUCACUACUCCACCCCUUAGUUUCCUAUGGCAUACCAGCAUCCUUACAUUUGCAUAAAAUACAGAUAUAAUAUCAUCUAACAGAUAUGGUAUAUCCACUGCUUAUACAACAUACAAUGGUGCAUUAGGACGAUUUCAAGUCCCAAAUUCAGAGCCAUGAAGAAGAAAACAGGAUAAGAAGCUAUUAAUAAGCACCAGAUACUUACUUGACAAUUGCUCUUCUUGCUUUCCAGAAAUGUUUAUGACCUAUUAUUCCAACAACAUCAUCAGGAGACAUAUCCACGCCUGACAUAGAAUCCACCAUGGAGGUUUCAGAGACAUCGUCACUUUUAUCUCCACUUCCCAACUGCAGUGACCCACAAGUCUUGUCUACAUGGUAUCUGCUGUCAUUAUGAAGCCCACUUCGAUGGCCACAGUCUUCUGUUGAAUGAGUGUCACCUCUAGGCUGGAGAACAACUUCCUUCUGAAAAUCCCCAGUGGAGUCAACAUCAUCAUAACGACAACAGCCAUUUGGUGGCAAGCCAGCUCCAGACUCCAGUCGUAAAGAAGCAUCACUAUCAUUUAUUCUGCUAAAAUCAGAUCCUGAGAUUUCUCUAUAUUCUUGAUUAGGAGAUGCACUUACUUCCUUCACAAUCCCAUCAAUCUUUUCUCUAAUUGAUAAAUUCACAGAAGAUUUUGCAGGAAAGUUUCCAAUUGAGAUGCAAAUCUUUGGGUUCUCUUGACAAGCGUGUCCUCCCUGUUGUCUCAAACUGAUACUAGAGGAGCUACUGCGUUUUGGAUUCUUAUCGCAAGCAUUUUGGAAUUUUGUAGACUUACGGGUAUUAGACGGGUUAAAGGGAGAGAGGUUUCCCUUAUCAACAUCACUUUGAGAUUUACCAUGACAUUGUCCCAUCCCUGCCUGAUCGAAUAUAGGAACUGCAAAAUCAUCCUCCUCACUUACUUUCUUACUCUGCUCAUGAUGUUGCAAAUGAGUGUUCAAAGUGGCUCCAGCAGGCUGGUCAGAAUGACACUUCUCAUCCAAAUGAGUGGGUGUUGAAGGAUGUACAGAAUGUGCGAAAAGCAAAUUUCUUUCAAGGCCAUUCCCCUGCAAAUACAACAAUCAUUUAUAUAACUGCAAUGAAGCUGGUCCCUCAUAGAUACUCAUACAUAGAAAGCACACAAUCAUACACACAGACAUAAUUUACUCACAUUAAUCAGAAGUAUCAUAUGUGUAUCACCAAUUAACAUAGGUAAAAAUGAAGUUUUCCUCACAUGUAAACAAAAACAAGUGCACAAACAGUCAGAAGGCCACUGGCCACCCACCAAUAAGACAAAAAUCAGAAAUGACUAGCUGCAACGAAUGAAUCUUUCAAUUCCCCUGGGAGUACAUAAGAAUUUCACUAACACUUGAAAAGCCAACAUCAAAGUCAAACACUUGAUGACCGUAUUAAGAUCUACUUAAACAAGAAGCUUCCAUCACAAUAGGAAAAAACAAAAUAAUUAGUUUUUUUCAUCAUAAUUCAACUGAGCCAAUACAACAAUACAUAAUAGUACCCUUUAGAUUAUCAACAUUGGCAAUACUUUAUCAACAAAAGACCUAGAAGAUCACUCGUGAACUUUUCACCUAUCUCUAACAAAUCAGUUACAGAAGUUGUUGAAGGUACCUGGCUUGAAGAAACUGGAGGAACCAAACUGCUACUGUUUGAUGGAUUCAGAGGCAAAACACCGGUACUAAACCUCUGAGUAGGGAUACUGAGCUGUUCAUAAAGGGCCAUCUUGUUCCUAGGCGGUGCUCUUGGUCCUCCUUUCUCAGUAUCAUUAACAUGUAAUCUAGGGAACAUUGGUCCCAUGAUCUUUUCAUCAUCUUUUCCUCUCUUCAUUUUUUUUUCAACCUAUCUAUUCUAAACAGAACUCAAAAACUAACCCAAAAUGAAACAACUUGCUUCACAUCAAAUUCACUAACAAAUCCCAUGAAAGUCACCUAGGAAUCUAAAACCCACCAGUAGAAACUCACAAUUCAACAUACCCAGAAAUCAAAAUCAGUUCUUUGUAAAUAUCAAGACUCAAAUCUUUAAACAACACAGAAUCUACUCAAGCCUCCAAAACAAAAACUUACCAUAAAAAAAAAUCAAAAUUUCACAAACCCAGAUAACCAAAUCGGCUCUUUCACUAAAAAUCUCUACCAACUUACAAAGCUCAACAUACACACAAUUCAGUCAAAAGUUGGAGCUUAGUAGCUGAAUCGAUGUGGAAAAUGAAAAAAAAAAGGUGAAUUCUUUUAGGAUAUUUGCAAAAUUGUGAAAGCAUAUACAAGAUUGUUAAAAAAGAGAGGGAAUCGAACAAAUUCGAUAAGAAGAAAGAAGGGAUUGGGCUUAUGCUCAUAUAGGGAUUCCUGAGAAGUACAGCGACUUUUAGGAAAAGGGAAAGUGAAAAGUGCUGGAUCCGGGCCCACUUCGGAUAGGCCUAGAAGGCCUAGCACAUUGAUUUUUAUAUUAAAAACCAUGAUCUGGAUUUGUUGCCAGCUUGCUAUUUUAAUUUUAUUUAAUUUAGAUGUUUACGUUAGUUAUUAUUACCCAGUGAAUUGGCUCUUUCGCUGCAAAUUUCUUUAAAUCCCAAAUGAUUCUAUCCAUUUCAUUAAAAAUAUAGUUAAUUACUCAAUGAGCACUUGGCGUUAACAUCAAUAUUUGUUAAUUAUGUGAUAUCAGUAAUUUUAUUAGCAUUUUUAAUAUUUACUAACAAAAAAGACUUCAACCUUAUCCUCAUAAAAUUAUUUUGUUACUUAUUUCAUUAGGAAUUAUUGAUGUUUUAAUACAUUACAUUCAUGUAUUUAUAAUUCAUGUGACGGUAUUAAUACUCUUAAAAGAAGUUCUCUUUUACUCGUAGCUCGCGUUUAAUAAUAAAAUGAUUGUUUUUCAUAAAAUUAGUUUUCUCUUUCUCAUUUUUGUGAUAGUUUUCUCUUUUCUUUUCUUUUUUUUAAUAGUUUUGUCUAUUUUAAAAAAAUUUCUCUACUUUAUUAAUGUUAUUUGUAGAAUUUUUUUUCUUUUUUACUUAUUUUGUGGUUAGACCGGAGUCAAGAUUUUUCUCUAAUCUCGUUCAUUUAAAUAGCUUCUAAUUAAAGAUCUUUUAAUUUAUACGACGUGGCUUAUUAAUCAUUUUUCACACUCUCUUAUUAUGGAGUCAGGAGAUUACAUUUCAAAAUCUUGUUCGUGAUAACAAUGAUUUUGUGAAAGGAGCCGCAACAGCGGCGCUCGCCUACCUAUUCUUGAAAUAUUGGGGCCUGUAAUCUGUAUAUUCACUUUCUAAUUUGAUAUCGAUUCUUCCCUAAUUAGCGUUUCUCGUGAUCAGCGUUUCUGUGCCACAAAUACACGGUCUGUCACAUGUCAAUAGAAUCAUAUCUCUUUCAAUGACGUGGCGCGAAGUGAGUGGUGUACUCCUUGCGGACUUAUUGUUACGGUAAACAUCAGAACCAAACUCUUUUUGCCUUUUUUUAACUUUUUCUCAAUUUAAAUUCAUUUCCGGAAAAGAAAAAAGACAAGCCAGAAUAAAAACCCUAAUAGGGUACAAUACAGAGGGGAAAAGAAAAAAAUUUUAAAAAAAAUUGAUCUGGUUGGAUGGUCCCGAUGACAUGGCUUCGUCUCCUUCUCAUCAAACUCAUAUUCCCCUCUCUUCAGACCCUGGUAAUUAAUUAAUUUAAUUUACAUUUAAAUUUUUUUAAAUUUCGAUCCAGAAUUUUAAUUUUUGAAAUUUAGGUUGUAAUUGAGCAUUUGCAAAUCGUUAAUUGGGGAUUGCUCUGCUCAUUUGAUUAGAUUCGUUUUUCAUUUAACCUUUUGUAUUUUGAACUUACCUUCUGUUUGGUUACUUAGAAAUUAUACGAAGAUGAAAAAUUAUGUUCUUUAAGAAUCUUGAAUCUAAUUGGAAAUGGAGAUUUUUUUGGAAACAAUUUCAAAUUCACGCACUAAUUUGUUAGAAUCACAUUUACAAUUUGUUUUCUUAAUUUGUUAUAAGCAACUGAUAUAUUCUUUUUCGAGUUAUUGGUUGAAACUUUAUUGAGUUGCAACAAUUUUUUUUUUUUGCUGUCUUUUUUCUUAUAUUUCAGAUGGAAAGCCCAUAGAUUCAGUGGUUCCAAUCCAUAUUGUGACCAAUGCUUCUCAACUUCCUGCUGAGUUCCUGGAACCAUCGUCUGAGAGGCAAUUGGUCAUUGGUUUUGACUGUGAGGGAGUUGACCUUUGUCGCCAUGGAAGUCUUUGUAUUAUGCAGGUAUAAUGUGUUUUGCCUUCCCGUUUGAUCCAUCUUAUAUUUGUUCGAAACGAAAUACAUCUAUUUACUUGUUUCUGUUUCAAUAGGAAUGAACCAAAUCCCAUCUACUGUACGUAUGUCAAUUUGAUUUAUGAGAAAAUUUAUAAACUUAAGCUUUGUGCUUUUUGGCAGCUAGCAUUUCCAGAUGCUAUAUAUCUGGUUGACGCUAUUCAGGGUGGGGAGACGGUUGUGAAAGCCUGUAAGCCUGCACUUGAGUCUAGUUACAUCACAAAAGUUAUUCACGAUUGCAAACGAGAUAGUGAGGUCUCUUAUUGAAUUUGUUUACUUCUGCAUCAUGGCAUGCAUGAUAUGCUUGACAGUAUGUUAUUUCUGUUUUUAAAUUUAUUUGUUUGUUUUUGUAGGCAUUAUAUUUUCAAUUUGGCAUUAAGUUGCACAAUGUUGUGGAUACCCAGGUAAAUAUCCUUUAUAACCUACUGAAAACUAUUGCAGGAUUGUGUGCCCUUUUAGUACCUUUUCAAGAUAAAGAAAAGGUGUCCAAUUUUGAGUUUGUAUGGAGACAUUAGGAAUGGAAAACAAGUGAAGUUUUGAGCAUGUCAAAGUUUCUGUUUUGUCUUUUUACCUAGAUGCUUAACUUACCUUCAUUUAUGGACGGGUCUGGAUUGAACCUCUUGCACAUAUUAUUGGCUAUGCCUGUUAAACUAUCAUUGACUUUAUCGUUAUCGGCUGGAGAGAUCUUGUAUAUGUAGAAGGAAAAACCAAUCCCAGUUGUAUAAAGAAAUUUUGCAUUGUCAGUCUGUAAUUUACUUUUGGAAAUGGUUUAUGGAGUUAUUUUGGAAACCUGUUAAACCACCAUUAGACUGAUGUGGUGCUUCGAGAUCAAAAUGUAAUGAAGGUAGAGAAGAUUGGUCCUUAGAUGUGGUUGAUGAAUUAUGAUAUUCCUUUUUAGUAAUCAAUAAUAGAAACAAAAUUCUCGUUCAUUAGCACUGGUUUGAUGUUUAAACUUGCUUUUACUUGACAUGGACUUGUACUUUUUGCUAUCACUCGUCAAUUUAAGUAUCAAUAUCCACUUUUACACUUAUGUUACGGGAACAGCAAUUAGAUUUGAAAUCAAUUAUAAAAGCAAAAUUCUUGUUCACUUUGGAGCCAUCAAUUUAUUAUUGACAUAAUCAGUGAACAUAUAUCUAAGAAUGCCUUUUUCUCCUGGUGGACUGCAGAUUGCUUAUUCUUUAAUAGAGGAGCAGGAAGGUCGGAAAAGAUCACCGGAUGACUACAUAUCAUUUGUUGGUCUUCUCGCAGAUCCACGCUAUUGUGGUAUUUAUAUGUCGUGGUAUCCAUUUAAGUAAAUAUUUGUUUCGUGUCGUCGAAACUUUUUGUUUCCUCAAUGUUUGUUUGUUUGGUCAACUUUUUAGUGAGCAGAGUUUAAAUUGCUUUCGAUAUUUUAUCCUUAGUAGUUACCCCUGAUACCUUUCUUUUGUUAAGCCAGUUAGGUAUUCCUGAUUUUGAAGUUAGGAUUUGUAGACAAUUUUCUUUUCCCUGUGUGCAAUUAAGCCAACCAAGACUAGAAAAUAGAUAAGAAGCAAAGAAGAUGCAUUAGUUUCAUCAAUUGCUGUAUUACUGCUUUUACAAUCAUCUUCUAUUCAUCUGGUUACCCUGCUCUGCUGUAAAGUGGCACUCUACACUUUUUAGUUCUUUACUUGAUUUUUUUGCCCUAUCUCUGCAGAGAUUUGAUAAAUAAGGUUUUGUCUUGCCUUUCUGCUCAGGAUUAAGUUUUGGUUUUGUGACUUGAUAGAUUUAAGAGCAUCUUUUUGUUAUAGACUUGAUUUAUUAUUCAUAUUUUACUACUGUUUGAUACUGCCUGCUAGUGUUGCUAGACUCUUCAAAUUCAUGAUCAGACAUGAUUUGUUGACCAUUCUUUAAUGUCUAUGGCUGUCUCAAAGUCGCUCCUGAAAUUUUUGCAUUAAUUAUUAGGUUGCUGAAAUGUGUUGCUUUUAUUUAAACGCAGGUAUAUCUUAUCAAGAGAAGGAAGAGGUUCGUGUACUCCUUAGGCAGGUUAGUUUUGAAUCUAAUUCAUUCUGAAAUUCUGGGCUAUGGUAGUUCAAAUUUUUGGAUCCUAGAAUUAAAAGUAUUCUUGUUGCCUUGGUUUGAUUCUAUCAAAUUCUUUGGGAUGUGGCUUCUUGGGAAGCCAAAUUCUGUUGUUUGGAAGAUUGUGUGAUAGAUUUCACAAUGUAAUAAAUGGCUUCCAGCUAGAAAGGAUAUCAGUAUAUGCUCUUUUACAACAGUUUGCAAGCUAUUAGACUUAAACCUCAAAAUUUAAAACAAGUACACUGUAAAUGUUGAUUAUGAUCAGUGCUGACACUUGGCCCACGUACUCACCAUCCUAGAUACUUAGACAAUUAUGUUUAAAGUUACUGUAUAUAGGACCAUGUUGUUCUAUGAGACAUGGACCUAAAACUUUGAAACAACUUGGACUCUUAGUGUUCAUGAAAAUCAGUGCUGACUCUUUGCCUAAAAACUUACAAAUGCAGACUGAUAAUUUUCAUGAAAAGCAGUGCCAACACUUGACAUUAUAUUUUAUGUUUGCCCAAACAACUUCCCUUUUCUGAUGCUAAGACAAUUUUGUACACAAUUACUGAUAGAUUGAAGAUCCAACUAGUCUGCAACAUGUGCUACCACAGUAAUUGUUCCGCUGGUUGUCAUGUGCAGGACCCCCAGUUUUGGACAUACAGACCACUAACUGAACUGAUGGUCCGAGCAGCUGCAGAUGAUGUCCGCUUUCUACCGUACAUCUAUCACAAUAUGAUGAAGAAACUAAACCAACAAUCCUUAUGGUACCUUGCAGUGCGUGGUGCACUAUAUUGUCGUUGUUUCUGCAUCAAUGAAAAUGAUUAUGUGGAUUGGCCACCUCUCCCGCCUGUUCCAGGUUUUUAUAUCUUGUCAAUUUCCAUACUGUUAUAGAUUAGUGUAACAACAACACCCCACCCCCCGGCGCAUUUGCAUAUUCCCCGGAGUGUAACAAAUUUGUCAAUAGACUUUGUCCAAUCACCAUUUUGCACGAGGGAAUGUUUCCUUGCAAUUACUCAUGUUGAACAUGCGACAUGGGAAGAACAGUCAAAAUAGGGGAGGAAGCCUGGUGUUUGGGUUUCUGAAACUUGUCUACCUUGAUUCCAUUUGAAUUAUAAAUACACGAGGCAAAUUCCAAUUACAUAUCACGCCCACUUAUGCAUGAGUUGAGUUUCAAUAUAGAAUUCUCUGCUCAUAAGCUUCUUAUUAAUAAUGCACUUAAUCAAUCAAUCAUCCAGCAUCCUAUUAACAAACUUACCAAAGAAGAUAAAGUGUUGCUAUGGUGUUGUAAAGUAUCUGCUUAUAGUUUGGUCUAGCCAAUGUGUUUCUUAUGAUUUAUAUCUACUGUUCUGCUGUCUUUCAUGAUCAAUAGGACUUUGGGCUUUCAGUUUAAUAUAAGAGCAUGUUAAAGUCAUUAUCUAAAUUCUGAAUAAGAUGAGUGAUUCUUGAUGGUUGAAAUGUUGCAUAUAUUUAGCGAGAAACAUAGUGCAUUAGUUGUGCAACCCCUUGGUUAGAAAAAUCUGUAUAUAAGCAGCUUAUGAUUUUUAAUAUUCAUUCACUACAGAAUGUUAUUUUGGAUGGUAUCUAGAUUGAUAGUCAUUCAAAACUUGUGAUGUGUUGUUUUAAUAACAUUAUAUGUAAAGUUUCGGCAACUUUUUGUUUUCUUUUUUCCAUAAGCUUGGUAAACCUGCUGUUAGGAUUUCAAUGUGUUGAUCUAGGUGUGCGGUUCAUCUAUGUAGAUUACUUGAUAGUGGAGGGAGAUGUUCCUGAAGAAGAAAUUCUAUCAAUUCUUGAUGUACCCCCCGGAAAGAUGGGACGUAUAAUAGGAAGAAGAGGGUCUUCUAUUUUGGCUAUAAAGGAAUCUUGCAAGUAUAUAUACCUCUUUCUUCUCUCUGUGUAAUGCAUAUCACAAUUUCAUGUUUGAAAAUGCUAAAUUGAUUAUCUUGGUCGCAAUUUUGCAGUGCCGAAAUUCUCAUUGGAGGUGCCAAGGGUCCACCUGACAAGGUUAGUCUACAAAAACUCAAAAUCUAUUGAAUAAUUAUAUUUUCACCCACACAAAAACAUUAAUCUCCUCGCGCAAACUCAAAGAGUUUCUGUUGAUUUAGGAUGAAAGCCUACAUGUACACUGUGAUGUGGGAGUAUGACUGAAUUUUUCAAUCGCAAUGCUAAAUGAAGGACCACACUAGUGCGUUUGUGACAGGAUCCUCCAUUUUUAUCUUUCUAAAAAUGAGAAUAAAUAAAUGACUAAGCAUUAGUAUUCUCACUCCUCUGGCCGCAGCAUGCAAUCAAAACGCAUAUGGUUGUGAAGUUGAUUUAUAUGGUUUGAGAAAUUUCGGAAGCAUUGUGGACAUGUCCUAAGCCUGCUUAGCAUUGAUUAAAGGGCUCUAUAAUUUCAACACUGCUCACCUCUUUUAAUCUUUUAUAAGUUAUAUUACUUAUAUUACUUUAUUACCUUCUCUGAGUUCACUUCUUUGUUGUCAAUUUGCUCCCCCAUUAUUUUGUUAAUUCAUGCUCAGACUUUAUAUAGUGCCUCAAAUUUUUCCGUGAAUCUCAACAGCAAAAUAUUACAGGAACUUUUGAAAUGCUGUAUCAGGUUGUUCAGCGGAACCUCUUCAAUUAUUUGUCGUUAAUUUUGCUUUACAGUUUAUUUUGUUAUUCUCAGCCAUCCUUUAUCAAAGUAUAACAAAAACUUUUAAGGUGAUGGAUUUAGGUUCAUGCAUGUAUAGGAAAAAGGACUCUUCAAAAUAAGGUGUAGAAAUCUGUCUUUCAAGAGCCUGAUAAGUAGUGGGUUCAUGCAGGUAUUCAUCAUAGGACCGGUGAAGCAGGUGAGGAAAGCAGAAGCCAUGUUGAGGGGAAGAAUGCUGGAGAUGUAUUAAGGAACAUAUGUCAUUAUGCUUGUUUGCAACUCUACAAUAAUAAUCACAAGUUCCAGUGGAUUAAGUUUUCUUCUUAAUGUUGUGGCCCUUCCUCAUUAUAUGGUACAGAGUAAUGAUCAUUCACCCUGUAGUAUAGUCUUUAAGACCAUAUAUUUAAUUCCUGUGGUGCUGUGGUUGAACGUGAAAGUUCCGUAGCGAAGCACCAAAACCUGUUUAUUGAGUGAAACAAUAUGUCUAGGUAAACGAUAAAUGAAAUCAAAGUUAAAUAACUACAGGACCAAUAAAAAUGGUUGUAGAAUCAUCAAAUUAAACCUGUUUAUUGAGCAGAUUAAUUUGAAUUCCUAUCCUCCGGUGGUCUGGACCUACGACGGUAGACUACCAUUGUGACAAAAAAUCUUUCACGGUCGGAGGAAAUUUUAAUUUUUGUUGUAUAAAUUUUCUGUUUUGGGACAUGUGACAAACGAAGAAGCUUUAAAAAAAAUCAUAAUCUUUGCAAAUUAAGAUCAUAUUUAAAAUUGAGGUGUAACUUUUGACGUCAAAAACACAAAAAUUGAUACUGUAAUUAUAAAAUAAAAAUUAAUAGUAUGUGGUCAAUGUAAUUUUUAAAUAAUAAUUUUAAUAAAAUUAUUUAAAAUAUAAUAAAUUUUUGGUCAUACAAAUAAAAAAUUAUAUUAACAUAAUUUUUAAAAUACAACAAACUAAACACUUUAGUUCCAAUAUCAACCCCAAACAGGUCUUAACUCUAUUGUCCGAUGCCAAUGCAACUGAAAACGAGUAUACUUAUAGCCUGACAACACCUAUGAACGUUGCAACGUCCCCUAUCGGAAAUGUUCUAGAGCAGCAGAGUUUCAAAUUGCCAAUUUACUUCAUUCAAAAACAUGAAGCAGAUGAAAAUUCCUCCCAAUAAAUAACCAAGCAAGGAGCCACCACAACUCUGCACGACUUAAAAUAUUUGCAACUUCGCAUCCGAUUCGGUUUAACUUACAACAAAAAGUCCUGUAAACUCUCUGUUCAUGAUUACACAAUAAUCAAGUCACUGUAUUGUUUAAUAUGUAUUUAUGGACAAGAAAGACUCAGGCUUGCAAUAUGCUCAACGCUUCGAAUAUCUUAACCGAAUAGGCAAAGAAUAGAGAAUACAGUAGUGAAAUGAACAUGAACAUGGGAAAAAAUUACUUUUUAAAACUACCAAAUUGAUAUUGUUGGCUGCCAAAAUUUGAGAAUGGGUCAUCUCCUACCGACUGUGGAGAUGUGAACCCAGAUUUACUGAAACCAGUUCCAGUGCCCAUCGCUCUCCCCAUGUAAAAUGAUGUUGGUGGACCCUUUUCCCUUUCAUCUGAACCAUCACUUAAUCCACCCACAACCCCUACAUCUGCCAGUGAUACCUUCUUGGCUGCAAAGUGCACAAAGUACCGUAUGAGAGAAACCUAAGGUAAUUAAUUCACAAUAACAGAAGCGGGGAAGACAUGUCAAAAAACUGUUAUAUGAUGCAAAUACAGACGUCAGUAAUAGAUCUGAAACAGUAAACAUGUGACUGUACUAUGCUAGGAAAUUACAGUACUUAGGAAGAUAAUACUUACAAGCAGAUAUAUUAAGAUCAAUGAUCCCACGACUUAAUGAAUCUGCCCAAAUUCCAGACUUCACCUGGAAAGCAUCCUUUUUGGUUGGAGGAUUUGAGACAGCUGAACACGUUCCAACCAAGUUAUUGAGGCUAGAAUCACUGGCAGCAUUUUGUGUGGUUCCCGUAGAUACUGAAUUUGAGUCGGAAGUGAAUGCUCCAAAGAAAUCAGAUCCAUCAUAAUUGUUCAGUGGAACCGUCGCAAAUGGAUCAACAAUAUUAGUAGUUGUUGGCUCAGAUUUUGGAGCCUUAGGUUCUGGAUGCACAGCUGGUUCAGGGGCAGCAAAAAGGUCAACUGGUGCAGGAGCUGCAGAAAAAUCCACGGGUUGAGAAGAAAAUAGAUCAACUUCCGUCUGCAUAAAUGGACAGUAAAAAAUAUAAGAUUAGCACAUAAACAAAUUCAUUUUAGCCAAGGGAGAAUUAUUACACCCUGAUUCCUGCUUACUAUAAACCAAUGCCUCUAAAAUUCCAAAAGUAAACCAAAGUAUCUUUCAAUUUAAUUAAUCAAACAAUUUUAUACAUUCUUUAUGCUCUUAUUAUUGCCAGGUCCGUUAUAACUCAUCCAGGUAAUGUAGAGGAAAAAAAAUUAUUUCAGACUUCUGCAGGUAAUUCCCAAGUCAUCAAAUGCCUUCUCAACAACACACAAACACAAACAUGCAAACACAUAACAUAUGGCAUUUCUAGAAACAUAGAGGAAAAACAAUCUGACCUUAGUCUGAGAAUUUAGUCCCAUUCCUUGCUCAGGUUGUGCUGACACAAAAGUUGCAUCAGCAAAAAGAUCAACCUCUGAGGCAUUACCAUUCGUGGCAGAUGUUUGAGCAGGGGCUGGAGUUGGUGCAUCCAUGAGAUCACCAAUCAAACUAUCUCCAAAUGGAUCCACUUGCUUAGAGUUCCCAGCAGCAGACUCUGUCGAAUAGGCCAAUCCACAACAUAUAGUGAGACACACCUUGCUAUAUGAAUUAUUAGAAAAGGAACCGGCAGUAAUCAUUAGUAUCAACUCUGGUAAUACUUUCUGCAUUCAAUGAAGCAGAAAUUUGGUUUCCACCAAGUAUCUAAUCGUACAUAUUCACUAUAAUAAUAUGAAGUGCAUCUGGUAGAAAUUCUUUCUACAACUACCACAUAAACACUGUUUUGCAGAAAUGGCAUUGGGCACUACAAGGUUUCCACAGCAGCACCAAAUUUCCGGCACAGGAUGUAUACAAUCAUGUAUGUUAUCAAUGAAUCGAUGCCUUGCUAACAGUGAUCAAGCUCUGUGGACUUCAAAUAAUGUCAAAAACCCAUCAAUCAUCCCCAUAAAAAUCUCCUCCCUGGACCCCCUCCCACAACCCGAAAAAAAAAAAAAUACCACCCAAUGUUAUGCAUUCAAUCACUUCUUCAUGAUCAAGGAACAUUAUGUUGAAUGGUCAGAUGACACUUUUUUUUCCCCCAAUCUAUUCAUGUACAAUCUUUUUAUUUGUGGUAAUUGAUUGAAAAUAAAAGUUUAUGGAAGAUACAUACUCCACAAGGGUUCUUUAGACUCAAUUGAAGCAGACAACUGCACAACAUAACAUGUCACACAGAAUACUUACUAUUACUAGAAGUUCCUCGAGGAUCAAAAUCAUCAAAAUCGUCAUCAUACUUAUUUGAAGGAAUGCUUGAGCUUUGAGAAGGAAUUGAACUGUAUUUGUCAGAGUCAUUUGACUUCAUUGCUGAUUUUGAAGCAUUGGAUGACAUAUUGUCUUGAUCCUUGCUGCAAUUUAUCAUUAUCAAAUUAACAAUAUCAUACAUAAAACAAAAUGCAAACUUCAAAGAGGGAGCAUGUGUGAUUACGUAUCAGUGAGUGUGUGUAAGAGGGAAACUUAGACGGAGAGAGAAAAACACUGGUACGGCAUCCUCUUAACCAACUAUCACAAGUGACUAUAUAAAAUUCAAUAUUAAUGCUAUUGCAUGCCAAGCAAUAACACGAAUCUCUUCUCAUGGAGCCAAUAUAAAAAAAUAUAUAUAUGGAGAUAUCUCCAAGAAAACCUUUAAAAUCUUAGCACAUAUGCCAAUCU